rnacentral:lncRNA from 1 species
CCCUAAAGGGGAACUAAAGUUCCCCUUUAGUUCGUCUUCUUUAGGGGAACCAAAGGGGUGUGUUCCCCUUCGGGGAGACGAAGGGGAGACGAAGGGGAGACGAAGGGGUGUUCCCCUUCGGGGAUACGAAGGGGAAGAACUAAAGGGUAUCAAAUCGCCUAACAUCACUUGGGUCUGUGGCCGAUCACACACACACACACAUACACAUACACAUAUACAUAUACAUAUACAUAUACAUAUACAUAUACAUAUACAUAUACAUAUACAUAUACAUAUACAUAUACAUAUACAUAUACAUAUACAUAUACAUAUACAUAUACAUAUACAUAUACAUAUACAUAUACAUAUACAUAUACAUAUACAUAUACAUAUACAUAUACAUAUACAUAUACAUAUACAUAUACAUAUACAUAUACAUAUACAUAUACAUAUACAUAUACAUAUACAUAUACAUAUACAUAUACAUAUACAUAUACAUAUACAUAUACAUAUACAUAUACAUAUACAUAUACAUAUGUGUGUUACAUGGUUGGGCUGCGUGACCCCAUACCUGUAAGACUACCCAUACGAGCCGAAGGCCCAAGGGCAAUACUACAACGCCUAAAAGCCACGGAGGAAAGGAAACACCGCACAUCAGCCCAGACUAGGGUCCACACACACAUAUAUACAUAUACAUAUAUAUGUACACACAUAACCACCUUCGCAACCUCCUCCUUUCCUGUUUGACCCCUCCGUUUGACCCUCAUGUUUGCGUCCCGACAUACAUACAUUUGCAGCGACUGCUCAAGUACAACCUGGGUGACAACGAAGACAGCAGAAAGGUACGACAGUUGUACGGCGACACGCAGGGAGAUGUAGGUAUGCAUUGCUGCCGGCAGACGAUCUGGGGCUGUACGGCACCGGCAGGUGCAGUACGGUACGGCAUAGAUGCAGCAGUAGCUAGGGCAGGGACGACGAGCUUUAAGGAAGACCCCCCCCCCGGGGGCAUUCCCGGACUUUUGUUCCGGCAAGUUGAUUAUUAUCAUAUACCAAAGCUAAGGGCUGUUUUCUGUUAUAUAUAAAAUGUCUUUGUUGCGAUUUUAUUUAUUUAUGGAAUGGCGAGACCUCUAGCAGCGAUAUGUGGUCAAAAGAGCCCUGUGGGCAGUCGGCGUACGUCAGCAGCAAUCAGUUGACGGUUGACUGUUGUCACCAUUCCUGCGACGAAUAUACGGCGAUCUCCGCGUCACCGCCCCGCCCCCCGACUUCCUGCCUGCCUGCCUGCAAGUCACGCAUAUGCGCAAUAACCCGCGCCCCGCUCACGCCUCGUAGAGGGGUCCUCCAGGGGGGGGGGUCGUCCCCACGUCGUCGUCUCAUUAAAUCGUUACAUGCGGGUCGGCGCAGUGGGUCGCGUGGCUGGGGGGAUAUAAGAGGAUAUAUAUACCGAUGCGCUCGCCACGCGUAUGUACGGCAUGUGUACUGCAGGUUGCCAUGACAGCUCCAGUGUUAUACGGUCUGGAUAUUGACUGGAAGGCCUCUUCACGGCGCGAUCUCCGCUUUCGCGACCGGUUCUCCGUGUCCUUCUUCGUGCCGUUCAGAUACCAGGUGGGUCGGAUGCGGAAAAAGGUGAUAUGUGCUGUGUGAUGCCGCCGUUGCUGUUAUACUGAUGUGAUGUGAUGCGGCUCUAAUGACGGCAACAAUCGUGUUGCUGCCAGACACGGACAGACAGACAGACAGACAGACAGACAGACAAGACAGACAGACAGACAGAUGGCUUUAUACUUUCCUUUGUGCCGUUGUCAUCAUCCUUUUUUCUGAAUUUAAUCUCGUCUCGUACAUUUCCUGCCUGUCGUACGUUCGUUACGUGGGCAAAAAUGUUGCAUGUACUGCAUGUAUUGCUGCUGUUGCAGGACAAACCGCCGUCUCCCUCGAACCCGGAUGUGUUCCUCGUGGAUGUGAAGGUGGGAUGAUGGGCCUUAUUUGGUUUCGGGGUGGGCCGUAUUAUUAUUAUUAUUAUUAUUAUUGUUAUUAUUUCUUUCUUUUCACGAUGUACGAACGUAGGAACGUUUCUACACGUGCUCCAACAACUUUUAUAAUUAACUGUGCUCAAUAUUUAACUGUGCUCAAUAAUAACUGUGCGGAUAAUGAAAAUAAUAGUUAACAACAUCAAAAGGCGCACCUGUCACUCCCGCUGUAGGAGGUCGACAUCUUUGUCCGUUCCUUUGACGGGUAUGCCACCGGAGCUCGCAUCCACCGCGUCGCGGCUUCCUUCCUGCGAGAUCUGUACGACGAGGGGCACCGCGUCGACUGUCGUACAGCGUACAUCGCGCAGUACAGCCCGCCAUUCCAGGUGCAAUGGCUCCUCCUCCGGGGGGAAGCAAAAUGAGGAGAAAGGGAUAGCGCGCGAAUAAAUAAAAUAUAAAUAAAAUAUAUACAAGGGAAGUAAAGAAGCAAGCUCCCGUCGUAUUACGUGGCGUGAGGAGUUCCUGCUGGACACAAGAGAGAAAGCACUGGGCAAGAAAGAGGUCACGCCAUCUUUAUUGUUGCCUAACUUGGCAAGGUUAUGUCGCCCACUUCCCGUAUCAGCCACCUGCCCUAGAGAACCCCUCCAUAACCAUCAUAUAAGGGUGGAAUGAAACCCCCGGGGCCGGGCUCACCCCCGGUUGGCGCGCCUUGACCUCUUUACUAAUGUCGGUGUCGGCUCCUCAACUCGCUGUCCAUUCCCUCUCCCCCCCCCCUCCACCGACCCACACCGACCCACACCGGCUACCACACAUUGCUGCCUUGAACAAAAUUCCUCGCACAACAGCCCGUCUUCCGAUACAACGAGGUCUGGUUUCUGCGCCGCCGCCGGCGGCACCUCGCCGACGAUGAGGAGACUUUCCCCUCUGCAGCCGCCGCCGCCGCCGCCGCCGCUGCUGACGAUGACGAAGAUGUCGCCGACGAUGAUGAUGGGUCGUGCAGCUUCCUAACCGGGGGUAUCGAGUACGAGGCGGAAGGUGAGGAUGAGGAGGUACUGCAGCAUCAGCAGCCGCAUCUGGAUGGGCUGGACGAGCAGGACGUACUUGGGCAAUUGCAACAGACAGCAACUGCGCGCCAGAGGAGAGCGGCGGUUGAAGAGGAGGUUAUCCAGGCCGUAAAGGAAGUGGUUUCGGAGGCACGUCGGAAUGGCGUGUUUGUAAAUCCCCUGCCGAUGGAGGCCUGAGGGGAGGGUAAAGGAUGCUCUUCUUUCCUUUUUUUCAAAAAGCAGUAUGGGUGGCUGGCUGGUUGGCUGGUUAUGCCUUGUUAUUAGUUGCGCCAUCAGUUUGCGGUUGGCUGACCGCAGAUUCGGGUUAUGUGCAUCAUCAUCAUCAUCAUCAUCAUCAUCAUCAUCAUCAUCAUCAUCACCUCCUCAAGGACUGGGCUCUGUGUUGUGUUGAUUGGCGAGAGGAGAAGCAAGUAGUGGUGCAUAGGAUAGAUUGGGUUUAGGGUUUUAGGGUUUGUUUGGAGAGGCGGAUGGAUGAAAUAGAUGUUUAUGAUGCUGAUAUGCAGUAAGUUGCAGACGUUGAGAAAGGCGGGUUGGAUGGUGGGUGUAUGUGCACGUGUUGGUGUUGGUGGAAGCGUGGAGAGUUUUUGAGACGAUGAUGGUCGUUGUUAACGUUGACCGUUGGCCUUCAUUUUUCUGCUUCCUUUUUCAAAAGAAACACAAUCGUAUAACAAACAUGUAUAGCUAGCGCCCACGACUCGGCCAUGCAUACCUCUUCAUCUGAAAUUUUGCGCAACGGAUAGGAUUUUUGCAGGAUGUUGGACGAGCAAAGUUGAACCCGUACAAGUCACGACAUAGCGACCGGCAAUGACAGCGGGGCAGGCGCCUGUCCUUCGUAAUAGUACUCUGCGUAAUAUGCGUACGUAUCCUGGUGUUAAUGGAAUGGAACGACAGCUACCGCCGCCUUGAUCGUCGAACAGACUCCCUUAACACGUCCUUUUUCCCCCUAACCCCCCUUUGGUUGAUUUCUAUAUUGCUUAAAAGGCAGUCUUAGCGCCCACCGGGCCGUUCAGGAGCUGCACCGCACCUGAAGUAAACUACCACCCUUAAUUGUUGGAAAUUCAAAGAUCUACACAACGUACAACUACUUGCCGCCACUUUUAAAACAAUAUUAAAUGAUGUCUCGCAAAAAUAUUACGCGAAUAAAAAUAGGAUUAUUAGUAAUGGUUAGGUAAAGAAUUGCAAAAAUUGUAACAAGAAGCGAAAAAAAACAAAUCCACACGCACCAGUAUCCUGGACAGUAGCAAGCAGCCAAAUCGAAAUGGUUGGUAAGCACACACAGCUGGUAUGUGGCCAUAUUCGCACACAGACGCACUACAAAUCCCCGGGAGAGCAGCCGAGCAUGCGCUCCUCCGGCACCCCACCUUCUAACUCACCCCACACACGCCGGCAACCAGAAGUUGCCUUUCUUCCCAUCUUCUGGUGCACUAUCAUCUAAUAGUUCAUCACGCGCCCACUUCCACUUCCACCCCGCAGCUCAACAACUAUCACCACUACUAUGCUGCAGCCAUCACCACCACCACCACCACCACCACCACGGACCUCACACCCCAUCAGGAUGAUGAUGAUGAUGAUGAUGACGAUGAUGAUGGAGGAGGAGGAGGAGGAGCGACAUCAGACGUCGUGAAGCCACACAGCAUGCUCCCCAAAAUGACCUCGCACUUGUCACACAUGCCGUACAUCUCCCCGUGCACUCGGGUGGAUGCCGCCGCCUCGGUGCCGCUGUCAUGCCGCGCCCUCGUCGUGCCCUGCGAUGUUGCCGUGUUGGGCGGGCUGCCGUACCAAAACUCCACCAACCCAACCGGUGUCAAACCUUCCUGUACGGCAGCCCAGAUCAGUUUGGGUGCGCAGCAGUCACCUGUGCCCGCGGGGAAGCCCCCCGGACUGCAACUUGAAGCUGCGUGUGUGAGGACUUGCCGCUGCUGUUCCUGUUGCUGUUGCUGUUGCUGACGAUGAUAAUUAUGGUGGUGGCGAUUAUGAUGACGAUGAUGCAGGGUACUACUGCUGUGGCUACCGAUGCUGCUACUGCCACUGCUGCUGUUACUGCUGUUGGCGGUGGUCCCAUGCUCAGCACUCCAAAGGCUCCGUCGCCCCUCUUCAUCACGGUGACGGUGACCGGGUCGGGGCUGCCCUUCCUCUUGCUGCUGAUGUCCCCCCUCCCCCUCCCCCUCCCCCUCCCCCUCCGCCUCCGCCUCCGCCUUCUCGUCUUCUGGCCGUAUCCGCCGCGCUUGCUGUUCGUGCUGUUGGUCUUGUUGGCGUUGGUCUUGCCGCUGGCGCAUUGCCGUGUCGUACACAUCCAGCAGCCGCAGCUCCUGACCGGCAAAGUUUCGGAGGCUGUAGCUGUUCUGAAUGCGACCCAACAACUCGAGGGACAGCGCGCGGCGCCGGGCGCGCAGUAGCUGCCGCUGCCGCAGCAAAAAGGCCUCCGCCUCCGCCUCGGGCUCCACCCCGCUGUUGGUGCCCCUGUGGCUGUUUCUGGUGGUGUUCUGGGAGCCUUGCCUGAUACCACCUGGGGACUGGCGUUCGCGUCGUCGCAGGUUCCGCUGGUCACGUUCCUGUCGUCGUUGCCGUGGUUGCUGGUAGUUAUGGCGGUUGUGGCGGUUAUGAUCGUUAUGUUGCUGCAGUGCGGCAUCCAGGGAGGCCAGUCUUGCGGAGUGGGCCUCCUGUGGACGAGGUCGUGCAGCGCGCCGUACUAGUCUUAUACUGGGCGGCAUAUGCCGAAAGGACGAAAGGCGUGCGCGCGUGUGUGUUUCAUAAAGACUCAGCAGUAAGGACACUUGGUAAGAUUUGCCGAAGUAAGUAAGCCAGGAGAUAAGAUUUAGAAGCUUCCUGUAAAUCUGUACACAGUAUUAAACAGUGCGAAGCCCCUUCUAAGUAUUUAGAACGGGCGGAAAUGAUUUCAUUUUUGAGGAUUGAGCCGCGCGCGCGAGCAGAAGAUUAUGAAGAGGCGACAAAGGUCGUGAAGCGCACGGUAGAUUUGGCAGGCAGGCGUUGCAGGGAGCAUUGCCAAACGAACACGUGCAUGCGUGUGUGCGUGUGUAUGCAUGUGCAGUGUCCUGGCCCCAGCGUGCUCGUGGGCAGGUUAGUCAGUUGGCCAGUGGAUCAUAGUCUGGUUUCGGGGCGACACGGGUGUAGGGGGAAGGGGAAAACUGGAGAGAUUGACGCCGGCUUCGGGGCGCGGAAUCACUCGACUGUGGAACUCUGCUUUAAAUCCAAAUGCUUUCAAUUCGCGCGGCUGCAUAUACGUCACUACCCCGUCCCUUCUAGUAUCAAAUUAUCAUGUGGCAGGAUUUCAGAGUGUGCGACGUUCAGUCGGGAAAUCAGCGCAAUUGACUGACCGUGAGGGCGCGGUAGUCCUGGUAUAGCGGCGUUGCGUUGAUGACAGUAGCAAUAGGGCCCACCCAUCCAGGAACGUGCCAAUAGUUGGUCAUCUGACCGCUGAAGGCCUUUAGGACAACAAAUGCGGACGUUCCUUCCCCAUCGUCCGCUCCCUCCCAACUGCCAUGGGCUCGCUUGCAAACCAAGACGCCGAACAUCCUGCCAGGUCCUUUAGUCCAAACGUAAUCAAUAUGGAGAAAUUGAUUGGGCGUUGCGCUGUCAAAGUCGAUGCGUCCCUCUGCAUCAAGCUUCUGCAUCAAUUUCCUUGCCGCGUCCAUAGCCUCAGGUGUCGGGCGGACAAAAUGGGUUCCGCGACAACAUGUACAAAAUCCUCCAUAUUUAAGAACAGCACACGCCGAAAGCGAAGAAUCUGCUAAACGCAAAGCAUGCUGCCGCCAGCUGUCGCUGUUUCCUAGACGUGUGCGGCGGGAUGACUUGACAAAAUGGCUUCUUAGGCGUUUAUUCGGAUAGCAGCAUGCGGGUACAGGGCAAGCCUGCCGCCCCUGAAACAGCAACUGCAUAGAGGUUGAUGGACGCCUUCCAAAGGCCAUGACUGCCGACUAAAAGAAGGACGAACUAUCCUUAUUCAAAAGGGCAAAAGCACGACAUCAUGCUAUGCCCAAAUUGCCCACAUUGCCAAGCAUGGAUGAUGUUACCGACUGACUGGUACCGUUGGACCCUAACCACCCAGAGUGCGCCGUACGUUGGGGAGCGAAAACGCCGCUGCCAGAUCCUCCCUCUCUAUACCACCGCACAAGGCAUCAACCCUCUCCCAUGCAACUUGAACCCAAUUCUCCUCGUUGCUCCUCGUCCUUCAGUCACAUGUCACAUCUCUAGGUGGAUGGUGCUGUAUGGUAUGAUAAAUUGUAGAAAUGACGACGUGUUCAAAUGGCCCAGAAGCCUCCCACUCUGUAACAAUUCAACAUCUCUAGGUAUAUGCGGUCUCCGGUCUGCGGCGCACUCCGGCAAAACUUAGAACUCCGAAUCCUCUAGCCCUGGAAUCCUGGACGAGCUUUCGUACAUGCUCGGCACCGCCGCCGCCGCCCCGCGCUGCCGCCGCAACUGCUGCUGCUGCGACCUCCAUUGCAGGCUGCUCAUACCAGAUUGGCGCUCGGCGACAGUCGGCCCCAAGCCUGGCGGCACAGCCGCCGCCGCGCCACCGCCGCCGCCGACCAUGCCCGCCGGCAGCCCAGACAUCUGCGCCUCCACAGCAUCCAUCUGCAUCUCCGGCGCGCGGCUGUAGUACGCGGAUGUACGGGUAUCGUACUCGCCUUCGAGCUGACGUUGGAUGAUAAACUUAUUGUUGCGAUGGCCGCCGCCGGUGGCGGCCUCCGUGUACGGACUUCGGUCGUGUACGGCGGCGGCCUGGAUUCGUUGCUGCGCGUGCCAGGUACGCGGCUCGUACCUUGCAGCAUACGACACCAACGGGUGUACGGCAGCGUACGACAGACGUAUAGUAAGAAGAAAGGCAUUGGCAGCUAUCAUACACGAAGCAAGAGAACGGAGCUUCGAGGUGAUGAUUUAAAUAAACAGAAUUUCGUCUGUAGAACUUUCAUCGUACAGCCAUGCGAUGUUGGAGCAAAAGAAUGCUCCCGGGAGCACACGCCGCGGAUUUCUCCAAACGGCAAACUCAUGCAACUUCGGAUGCUUUUCCGAGAGCACAUGCGCCAUGUUGCAGAAGAGUCGCGCUGAAGUCGCCCCGCCCCUCUCCUCCUUGUAGCCCUCAUCAGAUCAGUGCUGUCACAACAAUACAUCCAAAGUAUCGUCCCCCUCAUCAUCGUCGUCGUCGUACUGCCGUACCUGUACAACACGCUGUACAGCCCAAAAUACAGGAACGCCGUGAUGCCCAGUACGAACGACAUGAAGCGGCCACUGUGGGGCAGUAGUAGCAGCAGCAACAGGACAAGGUUGGUUCUGACUAGAUCGGUUGUCGGUUGUCAGUUAUCGGUUGAAGGAUAGAGGACACUCCCAGUGGAUUUUCGAGUAAACUGACAACUACUUGGGGCUGAAUACGACAUUCAGCCCCAAGUAAACCCAUUCCUCUCAAGCACAUGACCACCAGGUUAACCACCACCACAGCAACAGCAGCAGCAACAGCAGCAACAGGAGGAGGAGGAGGACGUUGCGACUGCGGGUGAUGGACCCAUGGGACCAUGGAUGGAUGCGGUGGUGGAUGCGGUGGUGAUGAAUGUGGUGGCCCUCCUCCACUUGACAUCUCACUCACCCACCCACCCACCUCUCAUGCAGGCCCGCGUCCACGACUUUUUUGGCGAUCAGGCACAGCACUGCAGUGGGGACGAGGGGAAAGUGGGGGCGAGGGUGGGGAGGGACGGGAGGCAGGGACCCGGAGGAAAGGCGCCACAGGGGGGUGGAAAGGAGUGGAGUGGAGGGGGUUGGAGGGGGUUGGAGGGGGUUGGAGGGGGGUGGACGGGAGUGGAGGGGGGUGGACGGGAGUGGAGGGGAGGGGAGGGGGGUGGACGGGAGUGGAGGGGAGGGGAGGGAAAUCUUUAAAAGUAGUUUCUAGUUGUUAGAUCUUUCAACCGGGGGGAGGCGGUGAAAAUCCAGGUUUCUGAAACCCGGACAGAGACACUGGACGGUGACACGGAGCCGCGACAUGGCGCAUGGCGGGACUCAUGCAGAUGCAGUAAGUACGGCUGAUGUACGGCACUCCUUCCCCAACCGGUGUGGACGAACGAACCGGAAGGGGAACAUUCCACUCAGCCGGCGGCCAAGAUACACCAACACACACCAACACACACGUGUGCAAUGCCCCUCGCUCUUGCCGCUCGCUGCCUCGUCGAAAUGCAUCACGAUGUGUGAUCGUGCCAAACGAAACACAGACGCGUCGGACAAACGCCUGCUGCUAACCUACAUACUUACGUAAUCCGACCGGUAUCAGCAGCAGCUGACCGUACUGACCUGCGCGCGCAGGGGGGGGGUUAGGGAGAGCGUGGGGGUGUAGGGCGGGUAUGAAUAGGAGGGUGACAGGGAAAACAUACACACACAUACAUGCAUACAUGUGUAAUCAAAGCUAUACAUACAUACAUACAUACAUACAUACAUACAUACAUACAUACAUACAUACACACAUAUACACACGCACCCGCCGCGGUCCUGACACACUCUCUCGGCGCUCCCGUGGCCACCCAGCCCAUGGUCAGGAUCUUUAGGGCCCCCGCCAGCAUGAAGGUGUAGCCCGCGCCAGGAACCCGCCGUUCAAGGGAGAUCUGCGGAUAGAUCGGAGCAACCAUUACAUCAACGGCCAAGACAAGAUCCGGGAAACAAAAACACCCGAAAUCAUCGGAAUCGAUCAAGCGACCCCGGGGUAAAAGUUUGGGGCCAGAUCGCCGGAAAUUCCUUUUUCCAGGACAACUAAUAUACAUUAUAACAUGGUUGGCCUUUCAGGGUGAGGUUUAAGGGUUUUACGAGGUUUUAGAGGCUUUACAGGGUUUUAGUUUUUUUUCCAGGUGAUGCCCGCUCCAGGGUUGGUCUUAGAAUUAAUACAGAAGAAAUCGGUGACAUCGGCUGUCGUUUGUGGUUUCGCGGUGUACGGGAGGAGCCGACUUCGUGUACGGUGAGGUCAGGAAAAGCGGAUCGAUUACAUGAGAGCGGAUGGAGCCUGGCGAUUGGAAGUUGGUCCAUUCUCUACCCCCAGGCAUACGAAUAUAUGACAUGCAUACAUGCUGCAUAUACAUACAUACAUAUAUAUACGUAUAUGCAUGCGUACAAACACGAUUUACUAUAAUUCCGGGUUUUGUGCCCUCAGGGGUAAACCCCAGAGGGGGUGAGUGGCGACUGACUGUCGUUUACAUUCCCGUCCUACGCCGCGCCUCCAUCUCCGGGAGGGCACACUAGGGCACAGGACAGAGAAAUAGCCCUAAGGGCCCAAGGGAAGGCAUCAGAAAGGGGUUGGGUGAGGGGAGGCGGGCUUCACCGCAAUACGCACGUAUGCACACGUACGCGCAAACCUGCGCGCGCACGCCUACUGCUUCCACUGGGCACAUCGAAACGAUGGAGGUCUCCAUUGGUCGUAAGGAGUUCUCAUAUGUUGGAAACCCGCGUGUACUACGGAGAAGAUGAGGUACUAAAAGUAGGGGAAGUACGAACCUCACGCGGUCCUUCCUCGGCCGGUGAUCCCUCUGCCGAUGCCCGGACCUAGGGGGUUCCGCAAUCGACAAUCGACAGGGAACGACAGGGAGGAGAAGAAAACGGCUGCUUCAGCGAGAAGGUUUCAUGGAGGAAGCUGGCAUAUCCACGAUACCAUACCAGCAAAAGAUGGCGUCGUCCGCAUAGUCGGAAAGGUCGCGAUGGCCAUCGCUGCGGGGGCGUGACCCGACCACAGGCGGAAGGGCGCAGCUGCGCCCCCAAGGGCAUCCCUACUAAUAUGAUUUAUGACCAGGUGCGCAGAAUUGCUUAUAUAAAAGCGGGCUCGUUAUGCAAACGCAGUAAAUGGAACAGUCAGCCUUGUAAGGGUCCGGAGCCUUAUAAAUUACCGUAGCUGCUUCAAAAGAACAUGUACACUGUAAUAAUUGUGAUAGGAAGCAUUCACACAAGCCGGCUGGCCCGAUUUGGUACUGAUUGCAGUAGAGCGUAUAGGGCUUCUGCGAAAUGCAGACGACUUGCAACUGCAUGCUAAGCUUUGCAUAGGAAAAAUCUUUCAAAAUCCUUAUACGUGUUGUGUCGUUUGUUCACUUGUCAUCUGCUGUGUUACUGAGGCAGUAUUCUCGGAACGUCGCGGCGCCGCCGCGUUGACGACUGCGAUCUACAAAGCCUUCCACGCAAUCCACAUCAACAUUUUUGCCCUAUAUAGAAUUUCAUCGAAUUAGUCUAUGUAUCCGGCGAUGCGGUGACCUCUGCCAGCCACUCAACUUCAGCUUCCGACACGCCUGUCGCUCGGCUUCUUGCCACUGCCAAACAUCGCGCCGCAAAAUUCCAGCACAAAAUAGCGACCACUCACUGGCGCCAAUACCUACAGUGCUGUUUCAUUCUCAGGUGGGAGGUGUCAGGGCUUCCUAGAGAUUGCCUCCCCCUGCCGCUCCUAUCCUCCUACCCCGCCCGUUGUAAUGUGUAUGCCCAUAAAGGACCUCAUCUGAUUCCGUACCUCUCGGUUAUACCCCUGCAUUGCUCCUACCUCUUAACCACCUAACCGCCUAACCACCUAACUACCCACCAAACUUAGACCCGAAUCUGUAUGACCACGCAAUGAUCAUUCCCCCACCUGACACCGCCAUACCACCCGCCAGGUUGCCCCAGCCAUGUCCCUGCCGUACCCUCCAGGGGUUGUGUAGCCGGGGGAAAGGGUCGGCAGCAGGAGGGUGGGAAGGUGUACGGCACACCGGCGCUGUGAUAUUAAACACCACCACAGCGCACGUACGUGCCCGCGGCCUCGUAAAGACAACGUUGAGGUUACAGGGCACGACGCGACGCAACACCACACGGCAGCAGCAGUAGCACCAGCAGUAGCACCGGCAGUAGAAGUAGCAACAGGAACGGUGUCGGCGAAAGGACAUGCCGUGUCCUCAGCUAAUUGGAUCGUAAAACCCGCACGAACAUCCCCGCAGACAUAAAACCAGCGGACAGCAGCAGCAGUCACGUCGUCCACCGGUUGUCACUGUGUUGUUGCUGAGCCGUUGUUGCUGAACAUCCCUAACCGCCCGAAACCUAGAACCGCCAACGGCCAACCGAAUAGUUAGGUAGAUGGGGCUUAUCAACCUCCUCAACGAAAAGCCCGUACAUCUGGUCUUGGCCAAGGACAGAGUGAGAAGCAUCAAGAGAGGCCACCCCUGGAUAUUCCCGGAAGUGAGUACGGCAGUACGGCAAUAUGUGCGUUGUUGUACAUGUGGACGAUUCCGCGAUCCCGUCGCAAAUAGCGGCUCAACUAUCAAUCAAUCAAACGCAAAUGCCGACAGUUACUGUACGACAUGCACGGCUGUCAUAUGUCGUGCCGUACACACAUGCAGGUACUUCGAGAGUUGCCCAAAGCUCCGCCCGGUUCAUUAGCGUUACUGAAAACUGCAGAGGGGGAUGUUUUAGCAAAAGGAUAUUACGACCCGGGAUCGAAGCUCGCAUUCCGCAGUUUUGCUCUUCAACGGGACAAAUUGGACGAGCAACUGAUUGCAGCGCGUCUGGAGCGUGCAGCGCAGCUUCGCGACAUGUUGUUUGAACCGUACGACACCACCAACGGUUUCCGGUUGGUCAACGGUGAAGGAGACGGCUUGCCAGGCCUUGUGGUGGAUAUGUACGACAGCGCGGCGGUGAUGAAGCUGGACGGUGCUGGUACGUACGUACGUACAUAUGUACGGCAAGCGCAUUGCUGGUUGUCAUAUCAGUGAUUGUUUUCCUGCCUCCAAUAGCCUUCCAUCCAUCUGUGCGUGUGUGUGUGUGUCUGUAUGUGUAUGUGAGCAUCAGGGUACCCCCUCUGCUUAGUCCUCCAUCAAAUGUGUUCUUAUAGCAAACGCAAUACACGCAUAGCAAUGUGUACGGAAGAAGAUUUUGUAUUAAAUACGAGCUUACGAUUCGCUGCUGGCGGGAUUGUGUGUAUGCCCGGGAGCGCGUGUCACUCCGUCACACGUCACGCAGCCAAACCACCGAAAGGGCAGUAGUACGGAAACCGCUGAACAACGAACACAAUAACAGCACCAACACCCCCACCCCCCACCACGAACACAAUAACAGCACCAACAACAGCACCCACCCACCCACACACACACACACCACCAACACCAACACAAUAACAGCACCAACAACAGCCGCUCCUCGCGUCCUGGGGAGACCUAUAUCAUCUUCCUGAACAGCUCGGAAAGUCUCCUCAAAUCCAUACAGGUGGACUGCAGGUAAAGCAGCAGUUUAAAAGAGGCUCCAUCCGAUCACCCACCGCCUCCCUACAAACCCCUAACCCCCCCCCACACCUACCCCUUGGUGCACAUCUUUCACGAGUUCGUACGGCAUACACACAGCGCCCCUGUCCCCACCCCCACUAGGUGCCGAGUCCUUUUACAACUCCCGAGAGAUAGCCUCCUGGCUCAUGUUCCGUUUCUCGUCUCGUCUGAAGACCGUGUUUUUAAAGUACCGGGCAGGGGCCAGCUCCAGCUCAGAUGGAGCUUUGGGAUCUGGCUCCGGUUCCGGGUCGGGUUCGAACCGGGGUUCCGGUGUUUCUGCGAGUUCUGAGACUCCCGGCGCCGGGGUUGAUGAGGGUCGUGGUCGCCUGCUGGCUGGGGAACCCCCGGUGGCCGGGCGGCCUGUGCGCUUUUUGGAAAAUGGCGUAACCUUUCAGGCAGAUAUAGUGCAAGGACAGAAGACAGGUGGGUGACGUUGGUGUUUGAUGGUUGUGAUUGCAGUUGUUUGGUGGUUGCUGGUUGGGAGUUUAAUUUGGUAGUUGGAUGCCACCUUCCGCACCCCGACCGGUACUGUCCGUCUGUCUCUAGGGUAUAUCUGCUUCAAUCGUCAGUGGUUCGUCUUAACCCCCCCUUUCAUUUAAAGCUUUCCUUGGCAUCAGCUUUACUCGCUUGUGGUUGGUCUUUCCCUCCUACCACCACCCCCCCCUCAUCAUCCACCUUUCCGCACCUCACCCCACAUCACGCCUCUUUCCCGCCUGCAACCUCGCAACCGACCCCCCCACACACACCUUGACAACCUCCGAAGGCUUCUUUUUGGAUCAGAGGGACAACCGCGCCUUCGUGGGGAGAUUGGCCGGGGGGAAGCGUGUGCUUAAUGUGUUUGGCUACACUGGUACGACAAAGUGCGGUAGUGAGGGGGCCGGAGGGGGAAGGGAGGGGAAGGCGAAAACAGCAUGGCAGGUCAAGGGAGCAGGUGGGUUGGGGGGGUUGAGAGGACGUGCGGGGGGCCGAGUUCAUGAGUCCAGGGAGGUGAGGAGAGGGGGGCUUCGCUUGACUCUUUUUUGGAGGUGUGGCUUCCCCGGCGGGUAAGGCCCCCCGCCCCCGUCCCCGCCCUCUGCCUUCCUCUGUCUGACCUCCCUUUUUGAAUAUACACAUACAUACAUACAUACAUACAUACAUACAUACAUACAUACAUACAUACAUACAUUGAUUACAUUGAUUACAUUUAUGCACACACUCCCACACACUCUUGGCGACACGUGUAAUAAGUAAACACACCACACACAGAGAUACGCACGUGGCUUUGCGGGCCUUGUCGCAGCCGACGUUCCCUUUAUUUGUUUUGCCAUUCCCUUAGUCGCGACAUAGACAUACGCACCUGUACGCGAGCCUGGCAAACACACACACAUACACACCGUUUGCUCACGCAGGGGGCUUCUCCGUGUACGCGGGAGUGGGCGGCGCCCGCCACGUGACGACCGUUGAUCUUGGUCGCGCCGCCUUGUCGUACGCAACUGCCAACUGGGCACUUAACGGUCUGGUUCCGGAGCGGCACGUUGCGGCGGCGGAGGACGCGUUCGAGUUUCUGGAGGCGGCGAUCAAAGGCCGGGAAAAGUGAGAGGGGCGUGAGAGCUUCAGUGUGCCUUUCUGUCUUCCUAUUUUUCUGUCUGUCUGUCUGUUCUGUCUGCACCUCAUCGUUCUUAGUUGAAAAGAGGAGUACAUUUCGAGUCACUGGUUGGUUAAUGAUAUCCGUUCCCCUCGGGAAGACAGAACACAGAGGAGGCAAAGCAGCUGACGGUCCCAAAUCGGCUGUCUAACUCCCACUCCUUACCUCAAUCUACCCCCCCUCCCACCCCGGGAUGAUCCCUCCCUUACCCUCCCCCCCCCCAAAAAAACACCCAUCCACCCAUGCACCCCUCCACACCCCUCCACACCCAACCACCCACCCUCUCAACCCUCUGCCAGGUGGGAUGUGGUCAUCAUCGAUCCGCCAUCUUUCGCACCCAACAAGCAAUCUGUGGAGAAGGCACGUGCGUCGUACACUCGGCUCUUCGCCGCUGCCGCGGCGGUGACGGCGGCGCACGGGUCUCUCUCUCUGGCGUCUUGCAGCAGCCACAUAGACUCGCCAAUGUUUAUGGAGGUGGGUUUUAUCGUUUUGUCUCGGGGCCGGAGGGAAUGUGGGGGAUAUCCCGUGAAGGUGAUGGGGGCAGAGGGAGAGAAGGAAAAGGCGAGGCGAGGAAGGAGGGAAAAGGGAGGAGGAGAUUUGGGGGGGUAAAAUUUUUAAAGUAUUCUUUAGUUCAGGAAAUGGCCAAGUGUAGACGUCAAAAACCCCACGAACCAAUCUCUUGCUCCGUACACCAUCAUCACUAGUAUCCUCCUCCUCCUCCUCCUCCUCAUCAUCAUCAUCAUCAUUAGUCGCAUCAUCACCAUCAUCAUCGUUAGUAGCAUCAUAUGAUUCCCGCCCACCCUCUGUCCCCCAGGUGUGCUCGGAGGCUCUUGGCAAGGCUCGGCGGCAGGGCUAUGUGGUGAGGGUGGCGGGGCAGCCCGCUGACCACCCCUUUCCCGCAGCGGCAGACGAGCUGAGCUACCUGAAGUUCGUUACCUUCCGCUUGGAGGGCUGAGUAACGAUUAACGAAAUGCGUCUCGUCCUGUGUUCUGUUGUGUUUAGUUAAAUUAGGUUUACUGGAUGAGGUCGUUGUGUUUUGGUAUCUCUGAUGCUUUUUAAGAGGCCUUAGAAAGGGGAGAAUAUCGGUAAGAGUUUAUGUGACAGGCUCGGAGAGACGAACUGUUUGAAAGAAGGCAAGGCAAGGCAGGCUGCGGGAGGGCCCGGGAAAUGGAGAAGAUGAAUAUCAAGAUGGAGGAGAACUCGGGCACAUUCACACGGCCAGAUACGCAAUAUAUCCUGAGGCUUAAAAAGCACCACCGCGGGUGCGCGCGCGUGGGUCACCCGCGUGCUUGCGAGCGAGAUGGAGUGAUGAGCGCCCCCAAACGAUCCAGGUACGGUGAAAAGGGCUAACGGGUGGAAAGGGUUUGUGACCGAAUAGCUGACUUAAGAGUGAAAGGAGAGCGAAGGGGAGAAGAAGGACAGCUAAGGUGCCGGAAGACUUUUUUCCCCUAAGAACCUUUUCCUGUUGUGAGACAGAGCGCCCUUCUGGGUGCGGGGGAUCACGCUGUUCAGCGGCCUCUCCCACGCUGUCUUGAAGCGUGGUGAAGCGUGUUUGGAUCGGAGUCUAAAGCCAUAAUGUUAUAUAAUAUCAGAGGGCUGAGGACAAGCCGAUUUUUUAUGUAUGUUUGUCGGUAUGUGUGUCGGUGUGCAUGCAUCGGUGUGAUACGUACGUACAUAUAUGUAUGUAAGGGUAUUGACAUCCGCUGUAAUCCCCUCUCGAUAGUGCAUCUGGUGGGUUAACUGUACCCAACGGCAAUAACCGCUGGCCAGCAACCCCCAACCCACAACCAACCCCAGCAACCAAUCAUCCCACCAGUCCGGGAACCCUCCAGCCCACCAAAGGGGAUGAACCAAAGGGGAACCCCUUCGUCUCCCCGAGGGGGAACACAAUGGAACUGAUGGAGGGGGAACAAAGUGGAAGGGGAGGGGGGGGGCCGGGGGAGGGGACAUACAGACGUACAAACAAAACAGGCUGCGAGUCGCAGAGAAGAUUCUUGACCUGGAUAGAGCAUGCAAGCUUGGGGUAACCUUCUUCAUCCAGUUGUUGCAUGUUGUAUGUGUUUUUAUACAAGUACAUGCAAGCUGGAUUAAAAGAAGCACCAAGCGCAAUUCAGUGAAAUGUUAUACACGUACAUAUGUAAUAUGAUGUUGAGUCUCGUCCAGGACAAGACGAAGGAAACGAUGCUCGAAGUCUGGAAAGCGCGGGAAUAAUCACUUCAACCCUGCAGCCGUUUUUCUUCUCUGUCCUCUCCGACGUUUCUCCUCUUGCAAACCCAAAUCGUUAUCGCCGCCGCUCCUCUCUCCCCGCACCGCUCGGUCCUCAGAUUCACACAGAGACACCUCCCUCCCUCACUCCCUCCCUGCUCAUUCCUAGUUCAUUUCUUAAUAGAUAACUACUUCUUCCAAAACCAACAGCAAUGAGAUUCCUGCCAUCUGCUUGCGUGUAACGUACACUUGUACGAAAUACCCUGCCAGUACAUCACGCGGUACGGCACUGGAAACAGCACUACGUCAAUCAAGGACACCUUCGUACGCACCUCCAGUGAGACCAUACAUACAUACGUACACAUAUACAUACAUAAAUAAGACGAACGUAACUGGUGACUAGGUAACGUUUCUUCCCUGGGCCCCACCCCGGGCCGAGGUGUUGCUAUGUAAUCCGGCACCUCUCCGGAGGGGUCGCCAAGAGACCUCAGCCAAAAUCAAACAUCAACAUUUUACACAACACCGCCGGAUCAAACUUUUCUUUCUAUCCAGAAGUUCUAAGACCGCGCACACCGCACCCCCUCCUUAUACAUCUAUACAUCUUUUUUUACAUGACACCGCCGUACUGUACGGCAAGCGAUCGUGUGUUGAUCCGCUCGUCGUUGAAGACCUGGAGCGAUGGCGCCAGGAUACGAGUGUAGCGGUCGAAGUAGAGCAGCUGCUUUAGAAAGAGACCAAACUGCGGUUUGGAGGCGCCAGGAAGGGGUGAUCGGGCGCGAGUGAGGGAAGGCGGGAGGGAAGGGAAGAGGGAAGUGGGGGAAAGGGACGGGGAAAGGGGAGGGGGGAGGGAAGGGAGGGGGGAGGAUAGGUAAGCGAGGUGUUCUCAAAACAACUAGGUUCCUGACGCGCUUUCUCAUCAAGCUGAGCCCCUUCCUAACAAACAAAGUGCUAUCUCCGGCCAGUGCUUGAGAUGCCAUAUUCUUUAGCGCCCCAGCUACUCAUAACGCAUAGGAAGGAAGAACUCAUUCACAAUAGGAAGAAGGGCCCGGAGGGAAGAAGGAAAAGGAAAAACGAAAAAAUAAGUUGCCAACACAGCAGUUACCAGCCCCCGUAAAAGCCUCUUUCUACUCGUCGUCUUUUAUCUGAAGACAAACAAACACAAACAAGCAAAACAAUUAAGAAAUCAUCCUUAAAAAACCCCGAUCAGAAAAUGGCCCUCGGACUCUCACUCACCUCCCGUGGGAACUUCACCCCGUGGGUUUCCCCUAUCCGUACAAGUUGUACGAACAGACGGUUAAGCUGAGCUUGGUCGACUUCCAGGCUUGCAGAAACCCCCCCGGCGCGACCUUUAAGGGGGCGGGGGCGGGGGCGGGGGCCGACGUGAGACCGGUGUCCCGUCCCACACGGUUGUGAUGUUGAUGGUGGUGAUGGUGGUGAUGGUGGUGAUGGUGGUGAUGGUGGUGAUGAUGAUGGUGGUGAUGGUGGUGAUGAUGAUGGUGGUGAUGGUGGUGGUGGUGGUGGUUGAGGCAGACCGGCGACACCACGGGUCUCUAUGUCUUCAGGGUUGGUUUUAGGAUCAGACCGCCCACCAUCCGGAGACUCGUAACAUGCUCUAAGCCCCACUAAUCCCCACUUUCCCUCUUUCCCCCCGGGUUUUACAAAACACACAAACACACACACACACAUCCCCUAAGCAUCCCACCGCAUUUCCCCCCCGGCCACCCUCAUCCAUCCGCAAACACAUUUUACCAGCAGAGCACAGUCUGUGCGGGUCCCUUCCCCUCACCCAGGGAAACCUCCACCACCUCACGUUCUCCCAUUCCGCCCCAUCGCACGCACCCAACCCCCUGUUCCCGUCAACCAACCAACCGUCAUUUCAACCGCUCCCCUGCCAACACCCGUUCCCCCACCCUUUCCCCUCCUCUUUCCCGUAACGCCAUCCGCCUUCCUGCGGCAGUCGGUGCUUUGGACGAGCCGACACAAACCAUUUCCUCCACGUAUUUCAAACGGCCAUAUACACACACAUACACACAUACAUACACUGACACGCGACUACACGUCUUUGGUAUCUGCCCCAUUCGCCAGUGCUUCGUCUUAAACCCCUUCCCCUUCCCCCCCCCUCCAUCUCCCCACCUUCCCGCCCGGUCAGCCCCGGCGGAGGCCCACGGGUCACCACCAGACUGCUGUUGAUUUGCUCCAGCUCCGCGAAGAAGGCCUCAAGGUCCCGGGCGAAGGCGGGGAAGUCCACAUCCGUGUCGCAGGCGCCGAUGGUGGCCAGGGCGCGAGCCUGGAGGGCGGGGGAGGGGAGGGGGGAAGACCACGAGCCACGUGAAGGAGAGAAGCUGAUGCCAAGGAGGAUAUAGACUCUGAUAAGCCUCGAAAGUAAAAGGAAGUAAGCAAGGACGAACCAGUCGCGGCUUGGGGGGGGGGGAAAGACGAACCUUGGGGGGAGGGGAAGAGAUGAGAAAAGAGGGGAAGAGGGGUACUUCUGCCCACGUGCCGGCCCAUAUCCCCCACCCACAUCCUGCAAUGCCCGGGGGCGCGAAAUUCCCCCAUCGCACCUACAAACCCCUCCCAAAACACACACACACACACACACACACGCGGAUCGAACCCCUGGCCCCAUCCCCUACCCCCGUUCGCCACACGACACAUACACAUACACACACACACACUCUCUCUCACACACACACACUAAAGGGGAUGUGAUAAAGCGGCCCAGAAGCCCCCCACUCUGUAACAUAACGUAACAUAACAUAAAGGGGAACUUUAGUUCUCCUUUAGGGGAAGACACUCUCUCUCACACACACACACACACACACAGGCUCAGACCACUUGCUUCAAUGUGUUUUAUUACUUUUGUGCUCGUACCCUCCUCACCAGUUCUUGUCCUUGUAGCACAGAUUAUCAAGACAUACAUACAAACAUACACUUACAUACACACAUACUAUGCAUGUGUAUGUGCGUGUGUGCGUGUAAAUAAUGUUCUGUAUCAACGCACACACGCACGCUCAGCCCCUCCUAAAGCCGGCACCCCUGGCGUGCUCCGAAACCGACCCACCAUCGUCUCGUAGUCCGCCAGCGCCAUGGAGCUGAUCAGGGUCUCCACCGCCCGCCACGUCACGGGGGAGAUACGGCCCACGAUACCGAAGUCAAUGAAACCCACACGCCCGUCAGCCAGAACUAACAAAUUGCCUGCGGGAUUAGGCGGGGGGUUAGGGGCGGGUGAGGGGUUCCCCCACACGCACCCACAAAAAAAAGAACCCUGCCCCCAAUCCCCCUUUCACCCGAGGCACAAAGAAUAUAAAUACACACAUAAAUACACACGCACACGGCAACUCCCCCCCCGGGCCCCCCCCCACCCACCCGCGUGCACGUCUGCAUGGAAGGUGUCCGCCGCCAUAACGCUCGCAAACCACGUGUUGAGUGCGUUGAUCAGAACCUGCUCCGGAUCCCGACUGCCGUUCGUUACGGCACGUACGGCAGCGAGAUCCGUCAGGGGGGCGCCCACCAGCCGCUCCAUCACCAGGAUCCUGAAUACAUUGGAUCCAGAAAUUCAAUCCCAUCCGAUUAAAACCAGUGCGGAAAAAAACGUACAAGGCAAGCAUAAAGAUAAAAAUUUCGUGUGUACGUGUGUGUAUAGGGAGGGGGAGGGGGAGGAGGAGAGCAUGGGUGGGGACUCAAAAGGAAGGGGGAAAACCUGAAAGCUGUGAUUCGUCGAACGGACGCAACCGCACGCGGACGCACAGACAGACAGACAGACGUGAUCACAAGGACACCCCCCAUCGCCCGACACAACCCACCCAUGUCGUACAGCCUGCAAUACCUCCCCUCCCCCCCUUCCCACAAUCAGUCCCGCCAACAAAUACACACCUUUCCCCCCCUUUCCUCCCACCCCCACGUAUGCCCCUCCCAGGUUUCCCCCCGCCCCCCAUCAUCCCAGAUUCUAUCCACACCCCACUUUCCUUCUUUUUAUUUGCUGCCUUCUCUCGCCCCCUCUCUGUUUGUUAAUCUCCCCCCCUGCCUUCCCCUCCCCUCCCCAACCCCCCCCCCCCCCAUNNNNNNNNNNNNNNNNNNNNNNNNNNNNNNNNNNNNNNNNNNNNNNNNNNNNNNNNNNNNNNNNNNNNNNNNNNNNNNNNNNNNNNNNNNNNNNNNNNNNNNNNNNNNNNNNNNNNNNNNNNNNNNNNNNNNNNNNNNNNNNNNNNNNNNNNNNNNNNNNNNNNNNNNNNNNNNNNNNNNNNNNNNNNNNNNNNNNNNNNNNNNNNNNNNNNNNNNNNNNNNNNNNNNNCGGGCCCCCUGCCCAAAUGGCCUUCAACCGCUGUGCCAAUUGUACGACCAGGUGUGACCAGGUCGCCGGUUCUUCCCGCACAUAACAUCACCCCCCCCCGCUAAACCCCCCUCAACUCUUUCAAAACCCUCCCCCCCAGCCCCUUUAUAACCCUACCCCCCUACCCCCCCGACCUCCCCCCCCGCCCACCUGCGUGAAGUCCACCUCCGCCAACAUGCUGCUCCGCAUGUCCUCUAGCACCCCGGUCAGGCUCAGUCGCCCCAGCUCGGGCUGUACGAACUCCAAAUAACGCGACAUCAGGUACACGAAGGACAUGUCUGCAGUUAGCACGUCCUCAACACCCGGCUUGAGGACCUUGAUGACGACCUGUUGGGGGCCGGGGGGGGGGGGGGAAGCCGUGUGUAUGUGUGGGGGGGGUUAGUGCGUGUGGGUGUGUGUGUGUCUUUUGAUUAAUCUGAGCCGCGAUACGAUAACAAAGUGCCGAAGUGUGUGCACGAAUAAUGUGGGUAGCGGUGCGAGCUCCGUAAUCUAGCGACGUGUGCGCCUCUUCCGUAGUGUGUGUUUGCGUGUGUGUGUGUGUUUGUUUGCGAGUGUAUGUGUGUGUGUGUGUGUGUUUGCGCGCGUGUGUGUGUGUGUGUGUGUGUGUUUGGGUGUGUGUAUGCGUGUGUGUGUGUUUGCGUGUGUGUGCCUCUCUGCGUUUUGGGCGUGGGUCGGGGGCCGGGGCCGGUCGAGAUUGGCAGCAGCCAUUGGGGAAUAGGAAGAAGGCGGGAAAAUACACAGCGGGGGAAUGUCAAUGGCGAUAAAAGCUCAAAUUGGUCUCGGAGGCGGGUUUGGGUUUGAAGGUGUCUGGGACCCGCCUUCCCUGCCGUACCUGUUUAUUGGAAUCACGUAGUACGGCAGCAUGUACUUGCGCCACCGAGGCACUUGCCAGGGGGGUUGGGUCGAUGGAGGAAAACACAUUGGACCAGGGCUGCCGAAGCUCCUGUGUACGGCAGGAAAAGGGGCGGUCCCGCGGGAAAAUGGAGCGGGAAAAAGGCGGGCGGGGGUUCCGGAGCUUUGUCCCAUAAACCACCUUGCGGAAAUGUCUGUAUGCAAAACAGUCCAAACCAAUCCAGGAAACGCCCAACUGAUUUGUCUUAACCGCCAACGUCCAAUGCAAUGCGGGCCGGGGACAGAGGGUUUGUGUGUGUAUGUAUGUACAUAUGUAUGUAUGUAUAUAUGUAUGUAUAAGGGGGAAGAUUAUCAGGUGCAACAACGAAAAGCCAACUGCCGGAGGACUUGUUGCGGUGGUUGCGGUGGCUGCUGUGUUGUGUGUUAAUUAGAAAGGAAGGAGGGCGCCAAGAGGGCAGGGGGGAGGGAGGGAGGGAGGGGGGGAGGGAGGGAGGGAGGGAGGGAGGGCGGGCGGGCGGGAGGGAGGGAGGGAGGGCAGGGGGGGAGGGAGGGUGAGAGGGUGAAGGAGCGACCUGAAGGUAAAAACAAGAUGGUUCAGUUGAGGGGAGGUGAGGUGAGGGAAGGUGAGGUGAGGUGAGUUCACUGCGCGAGUGGGUUCCGGAAGGCGGGGAAAACAGCAGCGAGGUGCAGAGGUGCAGAGGUGCAGGGGAACUUCAGGUAAAGAAAAGAAAACAAUGAUGCAGCAGACCAACCAGCACGCGGAGGGUGAAAUCAACAUAUGGACGUUUCAAGCGGUCGAAGCUCAGCUUGUCGGCCUCAAUACACCGGGGAGGAGCUGUUCUGUUCCGUUAUUUAAAGGGUGAAAGAGAUGAGCGGAUGACAAUUAUAAUAUGCUGAUGCUAGUGAUGCUAGUGGUAAUGACGCGGACUAAGAGAGCAAGCGCCGGGGGCCGAGGUAAAAGGCAGGCAGGCAGGCAGGCAGCACAUACAUGUGUGUGCGUGUGUGUGCGAGAGAGAGAAAGAAUUUUAAAGGUAAGACAACCUGGAGCGACUUGCGAUCCAUGUGUACGAGCCACGUACGAUGUUGCCGUACCUGCUCGAUGAUGCGCUCAACUACGCUGUACGGCACGGGAUCAGUCUUGUCCAGACAUUUUUGGAACUCCAGGACGUACUCGUCCGGGAAGAGUGAGGGGGAGGAGGCGAUGAACUGGCCCAACUUGAUGUACGUGGCACCUGCAUGAACGUGUGUGUAUGUAUGUAUGUGUGCGUGUGUACGUGUGUGCAUGUGUAUGUGUAUGGGUGGUGUAGUGCGACGGCAGUCAUGAGGUCAGUGGGGUUGGGGGGAACUGGUGGCCCCCGUACAUAGGAGAUGUUACAUGGCAUGACGCGCAGUAGAUUGAACGGCUGUCAGGGUCUGUCCUCUUCCCGUGGGGAUGUGGAGGACUAUAGCUUUCUAUAGCUCUUUUUUUAUUCGGAUGGAGGAGAGGUGGUCCACCUCCCUCACGCCUCCAGGACCUUCCGGCGUUUCCCCACUCCCCAACAACACACGCACAUGCACACGCAUACGCGCUGCGACAUGCUGUUAUACUGUAAGCGCUUCAAAUGCAAUGGUUUCCCCAGAAGAAAAACAAUGACCCGGUCUGUUGCCUGAACCCGGAGAGAUGCUGAUUAAGAGGUGGAGGGGACGCGUGAUGGUCGGGAAUAGGGGGAAGUAAAGUACGCAGGAACAGGAAGCCCGGGCAACGAGGUGGCCUUUGUCUGAGACGAAAUCAAGGUCGCGCUCACCCAGCUUUUCAAAUAGCUUGCGAAGGAAAACCGGCAGCGGGUCGACAUUGCCCUUGGCCAGGUACUCCGCCGCGAGGGCAGCGAUUGACUGGGCUGCUUGAACUGCGCGGAAGAGGCCGCGGGGCCCCGUGGACACGCUGAGACGAAUGGUUUCUUGAACAAGUUCACGCAGCUGUUCAACUCGCUGGCUUUGAUCGCCGCUGGAAGUCGCGGAACUCAUGGAAGAUGCUGCCUGGUCGCCGCUGUUUGAACUGCGUCCAUUGCGUGUCGAAGAAGAGUAACCAGAGCGCGAGCUAGGCCCUGUGUUGCCGGCAGCGGAGCCUGCUGCGCGGCAAGCAAUCUCGAGUCGAACUCCUCGACCGACCGAAUGCCCAUUAACUACAGCAUUUGCCCGAUUGCUACGCACUAUAGAUCGAUGCAACAUGGUUAAGAAUGCAGGCUAUUCUAUCGCAUAACCGUGGAAUUAAGAAGGUUACUCAGAAGGACUGGUUACAAAAUAAUUUAGCUAAGGAAUCCUGAACUAUGGGCUUCUACAGAACUUUUGUAUCUUUCGUCCAAGCAAGAUUGUACAGGGAAUACAGCGACCAGCGCAAGGUAAAAGGUAGGUCCAUGACAUACGCCACACGUCCACCCAGCCACCACAUGCCUACCCGUACGUCCUGAAGCGCACAUUUUGAUCGCAUGUAAAUAACUGACUCAUCACUUGUUCUUGUACACGGGUGUCCAGGAACUAGACAGACUUGAGUCCUGCCUUGCAAGUCCUUUGCUUGGUCGCCAUCCGAAGGGAACAUCCCCAACCCCAACGCGGCCUUAGCCCGCACGGCUAGCACAAAAUCCACUAAGAUUGCAAAACUUCGCAGCUCCGGAGCAACCUCCCCACAUCCCCUUUCCACAGCCUUCCCAACUUCUCCCACACGCGCACGCUCAGAAAACCUGCGCUGCUAAAGCAUUCUGGAGCCGUCUGGACUCAUCGACCCCGCUAAGCAUAUUGAAUCAAAUGCAAAUGAACAGGACCCCUACUGCGCCCGCACCCAAGAGUGACCCCAAGGGCCCACAUGCCCUGGCAAGAAAUCACCUUGGAAAUCGUGCAAAUGAAACAGAACGGCCCACAUUGAUGGGAACAUACGGACAUGCCGGAUUUCGCAUGCCUACGCGCACGCACAAGGAACGAAGACAUGGGUUGCAGCAUGCCACUAAAGCUAGGCGUGGGUCCAAGCAUGCGAAUGGAGAGGGGAUGGACCAAAAAGGGUCAUUCCCUAGCAUUUCGGCGCGUGCGGCAACGCCAUAAAACCGCUACUUUUUCCAUGUCCCAAAGAUCCAUUAAGGCUCCGGUGUUAAGCAUGCGUCCAUCGCCCCGAAAGGCUCCCACCAUCUCCGUGCAACCAUGCCAAGGCUUAGUCCGCCGAAAUGUUUUAGUCCUGGGCCUGGAGGUGCGCAAGGCGAGCCUCGGCAUCGUUGACCUCCUGCAUGUGGGCCGUGAGAGACAGAGAGAGGUGACACCGUCGCUCUGUGGGACCAGAAACCCCUGGCAUGUCACGAUGCGAACGCGAACAGGCGUACAGCUUUACGUCAACCCAACACUCGGGAGUACGUAUACCGCUAUCCUUCAUACCUGAGCUGCCAGGCCGGCCGUUAGCUCAAGCUGCUGUUUGAGCGCAGUUUUCAAUUCCAUAAACUCUGCCCGAAGCCCUUCUACCUCCGUGUUCAGCGUCUUCCGCAGGUCGCCCACUUCCUGCAGGCAGGGAAAUUUCGCGGGCGGGUAGUAAUCGCCCCUGCCAAUACUGGCUGACUUCGGUGCGUCACCCUUACCGCUCUGUACGUUUUAACUUGCGUGUCAAGCUUUGUCCGCCAGUCCUGUAACUCCUUCUUCAGCGUGGCAACCUUCGAAAGAAGCGCGUCCUUCUGCUCAUUGAGCUCCUACAUCCAGAUGUGUUCUUCGAUUAAUAAUUACGCUGUUGUUUAUACUGGCCUCUGAAUUCAUUGGAAAAGAGUCCCUUGAACUUGGUCAGGCAUUGCCAAACCUCGACUCACUGCUAGCUUCUUCGAGUCGACAGUAAUAUCAGGUUCCUUGAACGCUUCAGGUGAUCCUUCCGCCAUAUCAGCUCGCAAGACAAUUCCCUUCUAGAAGGCAGCUAGUCGAACACGGCCUUCAAGUCAACUUUUGCUCCAAGUGCACUUUUCGAAGGCAAAGAUGGAGUACGCAUGCACUGUUCAUGAGAAGGAUACGGAGUCUAGGCAAUCGUCCCCACCUCUCAUCGUGUCCCUUGGAUUCCCUUAACGGACACCGUACAAUACAACUGUCAAGACUCCCAUGAACUCGUGGACGCCUAUACCCAAGUGUGCUAGUAUUACCUCGUGCAUAUAGGCAAACAUUAAUAACAUGCGUGCUGCAGUCGAAUGGUGAGAACAGAAUGGAUGCGAGUGGUACUCUUAUUUAGUUCCAUUUGCCUCCGCGCCAGGUGACUGUUCAACACCUGGCUGAGCCUGGCUGAGCGCGAUUAAGCGCUCCUUGACCUGACCUCUGAACAAGUGGCCGACGGAGAUAGCUUUUAUCAGUUACAUAUACCAGCAAUGUCGACCAGAAAAAGGAGGAAGUGAGCACGCGAGAAAACAGGACAAACCCCAGGGAGCUAGUCAGAUGCAUGCACUACCUGAAGUCCAUGCACACGCACCGCCUGACUGAUCACCCAUAAGACCGGCCACAUCAAAGCUCAGCACGGAAGAUAUCAUGGAGGAGAGUCCCUAGCGCGCGUCGUCCCUUGCGCCAAUCUUGCGCCAAUCUUCCUCCUCCCAAACAACAGUACAUCGAUAACACAUUUUUUCUCCCCCACAACGGAGACCAACCAAACCCAGCCCUUGUCUAUCUUGACCGAACACACCCUCAUGCACGGGCACGGAAAACGGCAUCAAGUUCUUCUUCUGUUGAUGCUAAGGUUUGCUUUUCCGCUGUACACAUUAACCUACGCCAGUUCCAAAUUGCCGCAACCGCAGCGGCGCCCUUCAAUAAGCGGAAAACAAAAGGUAAAUUAACAAAACAAAGGUAAUUAUCAAAAAUGAAAUCGGCCUUCCCGGGCGCCAUGAGUUAGGAGAUAUUACCGCAAAGCAGUGCCAGCUGCUCGUGAUGCCUGCUUAGGACAGGCACUCGCGCACCCGAAAGGAUGCAACACCACAAGCUCAUUUGUUUCGCCUCUCACAAUGUCACCUCUUCUCCACGCACUCUACUCGCGCGCGCGACACUCUCCCAAUGGCCUCCUUGAAAUCCCAAAAGCUCCUGCACUUUAGCGCCCGAACGACCCCGCGCUACCUUUGCACCCACCAUCAAGCGAGACCGGCAUAAAACAGGCCACCGUAGCCCAAACCAGCGGAUUCGGUAGGACACGUGCCAUACAAUCCCGAUCAGGUAAUCGAGAUCGUCAAAAUAUAAUACAAGUAGAUUUGGAGCAGACGGCUGGUUUUUGGAGUUUGGAAGGCUCAGCAGUGUUGUGCUUGGCGGUGCGGUGCCAAGUUGAACUGGGUGAGCUUCCUUCCCGUCAACCAGUCAUCGCUUCAGGUAACCCAGACAAAACUUCUUCACAUACAGACACACAUAUACACAGUCACCCCCAUCUCCUUAUAUCUCCUGGAAAAGCGCCUGUCGCGCUAUUUUUUCCUGCCUUGCAUUCAGAAGGAGUCCAGAGAUCACUCAGCCGCCAUCACCCGGCUCCUGCCGUACAACGCGAAAGACCCCAGCGCUGAAACCAUCAGGUCACGCAGACUAACAUACAUACAUACGCACGCUCACACCAAGACGGACACGUCUACACAAGCUCUUAUAGAUAUGACGUUUUCCUUACGAUAUGUUCUGCGCAGCCUCUCGACCCCUUCCAAAGAGAUACAGACGCACAAACAUACACACAUACACACACGCCAACGCCGCGGUUGCGGCUUGUGAGGCAAAAAUACUUCAUGAACGGAAAACAGAGGUUGUAUUUCUUUUGUGUACCUUUUGCACGUUGUAACUCAGGUUACGACGAGGUUAGACAGAACAACAAAAGGUACAUUUUGCUGAUGUGUAUAUAUAUGCGACUUAGCCGGAGCUGCAUUUAUGUAGCAUCAUGGGCAUCAUCGUCCGCCAAAAUUGGGAAAGGAAAAAGAAAGGAAGAUAGAAAGAUAAAGAGGCGAGACUGGAUAUGACCAGUCCACUUCCGACCUGCUUCAGGAGGGCAACAACAUACGUAGCCUGAACAGGACAUCUCGCAUUGACCGCAUACACCUAAUUAGGAUACCUAUUAUUUCCUGAAGUGUGGCUGUCGCGAUAUGGCUGUGCAAUAACAAGCACAUCACGGCGAAACUAAACAGCGGCAAAAUUAUGAAAGGAACGCCAACACACGGAGAUGCACAUGAAAGCAUAUAAACAGACGCACAUACAGUUGCACACAUACACGCCUAAACACACAUCCGCAUGUAACAUGUCGGGGAAGCCCCAACCCCAGCCCGGGCCCAAGGUCCCAAAGGCACACACCGCAGACGGGGACCCUACGUUACCCAUAAACCAAGUUACUGUCCUUACACACUUCCCUGUCCAUAUUUCUCAAAGCACACCACCGCGACAUACGCUUCCUUUCUUGAGAGCAACUUGACCAGAGAGGAUCGCAAACCACACAAAACACCAUCAUCGUCCCCAAGCUCCCUGUGUAUAACAAGAAAAAUAGGUACAAAUGUAACAUAUAUAAACCUGCUUGUCGGCUAACUGGAAAAUAGACAAGCAUCCAUGAAGACGCCCCGGCACACUGUCCCCCAUUAGGGGAACCAAAGUCAUCGUCCUUGAGGACGCGACAAAAACUGUGGGCAAAGUAGGGCCUUUUGGCAAUGGCGGAACCCGGAUUCAUUUCCUCUUCUCCCCCCCCAUUCCCCGGAGGAUAGGGGUGGAAUUGGACCUUCCAAGAUAGGUCCUUGAUAACCACCACUACAACCAACACAACCGCCAUCAUCAUCACCACUGCCGCAAUGCACCAAGCAUCAUACCCUGCUUCUCCUUCUCCUUCGGCCGCAUAUUCAGCAACUUCUGAUGCCAAAUUCUCAUCCAGCUUUUACCCACCAAGCUCAGAAUCCUCAGAUCCUCUCACGAUCCUCAGGCUUCUUGGACCUUCCACAACUACAAUCGCCAGAGGUAAACAGCGCUCUCUCUCCCCCUCUUCCCCCCCCCCCCACAUACACACGCACACGCACAGUCACACACGGGACAAUGAAAGCAAAAGAACAACAUUCUCAUAAUGCAUUGCAGGACAUCCCCUAAGAACGGCCUUGCUUGUGAAGACGAGUGGAGUCCGUCCGUGCUGCUGUUAAGCCGUUCCUUCUAGCAGCAGCAACAAUGAAGCAAUCCAGAGGGUCAAAGAAGCGUUACGGUGUUCGUACUCGGCAUAAGUGGACGGCUAGUGGCCGUCGCCGCCGCCGCCGUCGCCGCCAGCUGCCGUCGAGUUUCCUUCCGUACCCAUCCCGUCAAGGCACUGUCGUGCUGCCGGUAAAGCUUUGACGCCGCCAACGCAAUCUUACGGUCGAGCUCUAGGAGAUCAUUCGCCGUCGCGUCGAUGCCGUCGUACCGCAGCCGUACACUGCGCCCUAGUGCCGUACCUAGCUGCGUCAACAGCGCCGCCAUGUCGGCGGGCGCCACCGGUGCCGCCAGCGCCUGCGCGAAAGCGGCCUCCUCGUCCGCUGUCUCGUCCUCGUCGCUGUCGUCGUCGUCGAUCAGCGAACGGCCUGAGCUCAUUUCGAUCAGUGCACGACCGGCCCAGUCGCUGACCGUCGACGAAGAUCGGGAGAUAUGUCGAUACGUCUCCAACGGGGCCGCUGUGAUGACAUCAUCAGGCCCCGGAGCGGCAACUCUGACAGAACUCGACGGCGGCGGCGGCGCCGCCGCCGCCGAUGCCGUGACCGCAGUAGCACCUGUUGCUGCCACAGCAGCAGCAACAGCAGCAUCUGGAGCAGCAUCCACAACAGGCGCGGUGCCAGCGGCAGUAGCACCCUGACUGUCCGUUGAAAGGAAAUUCGACAUAGACACAGACACAGACGUGGCGGCUGUUGCAGCGGCCGGCACAGAAGGGGAGCCCAGAGCGGCCUGUACGGCAGACUCCAAGGGAUCCGAGCCGCGCUCUUGGCUUGCCGUCAGGAAGUCGAACGACCCAUGGGUCAUUCCCAACGCCGACAUAGAUAAUGAGGAUGAAGGCUCGGGAUCGUACACAGCGUAUGCCUGGACAUCAAAGGGCGUGUGCAUGUACGGCAGGCCAUAGGCUGAUGCAUAAAUGUCGUACUCCAUGCCCCACAACGAAUUCGGUCGGGCGACGGACGCAUCGCCGUUAGAACGCUUGCGGUUGUCCUGGUCGCCGUCUUCAAAGGCAUAGCUAUAACUGCAGCUACGGCUCAAGUGGGCAGCAUUGCCAGGACCAGGGGUAGGGGCUGCUGCCGUCGCCGCCGCCGCCGCCGCCCCCGCCGUCAGUUGGCCGGAAGCGGCCGUUGAGGGAGACGUCUCCCGCUCGCUUCCGCUGAUGCUGCCGGGCGACAUCACAACAUCGAAGGCUGAGCUAUGGCCUGUCGUAGCCAUCACGUCAAGGUCGGCAACAUAGUGACUUUGGAUGUUGGAAGACGUCGCCUUGCCGCUGCUUUCACCGCCAGCGGCGGCGGCAUAAGUGUCCGAAAGACUGGCGGCGGCAACGGCGCCGCUGCUACUGAUGCGCGCCAAUGUUGGCGUCAUGUCCAUGAGCCUGGAGAAAUUCGAGCUGAGACUGAGCUUGACGGGCGGACUCUUAGACCGGGACGGCAGUACAAUGCUCAUCGUCGGCUCGCCGGCGGCGGAAGUCGGCGACAGCUGGAAUGACGUCAGCGACUUGGCGGCGGUAAAAGCCGUCGGGUCUGCUGCCGCCAGCGGCGCCGCCGCCGCCAACGACGACGAAGGCACCCGUACAACGCUGAUGGCGGCCUGGAUUAGCGUGGAGAUUUUACUGCUGACAGUCGCUGGCGGCUCCAAUACCGUCAUGGACAGCUCGCCGCCGGCGGUAAUCGUUGAUGCUAGGGCCCCAGCUUCUGCAGGCUUCGUGGUGACGGCUGUAGCUGUUGCGGAUCCAACGCCAGCGAAGGAAUCUUGCGUAGGCUGCGCCGCCGCCACCGCUGCCGCUGCCGGGGCAGCCUGAGCAGCGGCGACGACAGUGAUGGCGCCUUUCGGCAGUGCCGCUGCCGCUGUCAUCUCAGCAUCUGGAGAUGCAGCAGCGGCUGUAGCGGCCUUCGUCAAUCGUUCAGCGACGGCCGCAGCAGCUGCAGCUGGAGCGUUGAGAGGCUGAGCCCGGAAGUUCCCAUAGCCCUUGCACCACGAGAUGCCUACGUCGUACCGUUGUACGGGCAGACCCUGACAAGUGGUUGGGACCUCAACGACCAUGUUGCUGCCCUCCUGCCAUCGCUGCUCUUUUCCUUGCUCGUCCACGACCACAUACUUGCACUCCACUGUGGACCUGCAAAACGUACGAAUGGACGGCUCGUACGCUUCAGUCCAUAUCGUGCGUGAAAACCGUGACGUGCGGUAUGCUGUAACUUGCGAAAAAUUGAAAAUGUAAGAUCCAAUGGAUCCAUUGAGCGCUGCAUGGCCGGCAGUCGAGAACGUUGUAACGAAGGAGUGGCACUGAAUUGCAGUACAGUCACUCUGCGAAUCCGCAGUAACUUUGCGUGCGAGCAUAUGUUCGCAGUCUACAGAGUGUGAAGAAUUGGAAAAGAUUGAAUCGGUAUCGUUGAUGGUGUGGCAUCAUGUUGAGGUUGAGUGCAUAGCUAGCUGCGGUAGGGGCGCAGCUCCCAAACUCAACGCCGUGGUAACGCAGCUUGUACGUCAGAGGGUUUGCCAGCAUACAAUAAAAGAGACCCGUAGAGUUUAGUGGAAAGCACGAGCUUCGUUAUAUAUGAUGUCGCAUGUCGCUGGACGAGACAACAUAUGGCUGCGUCAACCCCAGGAUGUGAAUGCUCACCCCGCUGGAAGCAUCACGUUGCAUGACCAUGUGUCGCCGCGGCUCCAAUGCAUGCGUUGUCCCCUUUUAGCCGACCAAUUGCCCAAUGGCGCCGUAUCGCCGACCAGGGUUAAGCUUUGGCCAUAUGGGCACUUAUACUCCACCUUGAACGAAACAUUGACUGCAAGAGUGGUAAAACUUGAACACAUGUUAAGAUCUACAUGCAGAAACGUCGCAUAGGACUGCUUAUAUUAAAUGCGAAGCCAAACAGCUAUUUGCUGAGCUAGAUCCCACGUACCCAUCUGAGGCCGUUGGUCUACAAUAUGAGCUUGCGACAUGUUUACUGCUCCUUGCAACCGACGUGACAAGCAGCGACACCGGACCUGCGCCGAAAACAAUUGGGCAUGAGCGAGGCGUAUUGAAGGACAAGACGGCGAAUCCACAGCUCCAAAUUUCGCACCUGUUGUGUCACAGGACGGCGCCAUGUUUGAAGAGAGGGCUGCAUUCCGUAGCGAUGUCAGUGUACUAUGGCUCGACCUUGUCAAAACGCGGUCGAGUUAUCGAGAUAAUACUCGAGGGCGAUAAUCCGUAGUAACCCGUUUGUCUUAAUUUUCAGUGCAUAUGCGCCCGCGUAAUGAUGACGCGCCGCAAUCUAUGUCAAGACCCUCCAACAAAGUCGUAAGCAAAACCUACCACCAACUCUGCAUCGCUUGCUGAUAAAAAUCCCUGCCUCCAACAUAAUCAAAGAUCCUUAAAUUAUCGAAACACAAAUGGAGCAAACACGCUAGAUGUUGCAUCAGAAGGGUAAGCUAGUCGUACUAAUCAUCUUGCGUACGGGAUAAUAUCCUGCGCUGUAAUCCGUUGUCUGCCGGUUACUUUGUGCAACGAAGGUUACGUGACUAGCCAAUUACAUAGAGAGUUAGAUUCGCAGAUAAUGGUGACAGCUGCAAGCCUGUCACCAAAUUCCAGUGAACUGUUUCCUUCCUUAGGCGUGCCCGAAAAUACAUGUCUAUCACUGAUUGCAGCAAUGAAAGACAUGUAACUUCCUGCAUUAUCUAGUCAACAGCCAGAUCUUGUAUGGCAGCAGGUUUCCUGCUGGCUACUGGCAGCGAUUGGGCUGAUAAAGUCUGUAAAUCGCAUCAACAUAUGCAUAUCGCCUUCCACGCUUCGUCUGGUCGCUGCCAUUGCAUCUCUUGGUCAUGUGUUCUCGGCGUUUGCAUGCCAAAUACCAGCGCCACGAAACAUGUCUCGCAACACAAUGACAUCAGGCGUCUUUAACUUUAAAGAACGUUGAAGAAUACAAAAAAUGUUAUGGUAUGAACAAUUAAAGGCUAUCAUGACAUACCUAGGCCUUCUGCAACCCGCAGGGCACCCUCGCUUACACGUGCGAGAACCGUGACGCAUGAUUUCAAUACGGUUCUCACCUUCAACCGCCUUUACUGCGCCGCAUAGCAGCGAUUACAUGUCGAAAGGAGCGGGUUCGAAUUGGUUGGGGGACAAUUUGGAACUGGCAGUUCUGUCCGCGUACUUGACGUGGCCACGUCCUUGGUUAGUAAUUCUAGAAAAUGAGGGGUGCUGCAGCUAUAUCAUAGGCUAGGGCAGCAUCCACUCCAAUCCAUCACGUGCUCAGACUCUUCCCCCCUCAACCUCCUCAGCGAGCGGCACCUUGGCCCCUUACUUGUCCUCCCAACAGAGGGAUGCAAAGAUUAGGGAUUGGGUUCGGAUACCGGUCAGGCAGGAAUUAGGAUUCGGAAAGAGGGGCAGGAUUAGGAUACAAAGUUGAGGCCAGGUUUAGGAUGAGGACCCGAGUGUAGGAUUAGGAUUGGGACCCGGCCCCAGGAUUAGGAUUGCGACCCGGCCCCAGGAUUAGGAUUGGGACCCGGCCCCAGGAUUAGGAUAAAUACCUAUAUCCAGGAUUACGAUUAGUACACUGGUAUUGGAUUAAGAUUAGGGCACAGCAAUGAUUGGCAAUUAGGAUACUGCUAUGUAGGAGGACUAUCGAAUCCAGCUACCGUUCAGACUGGGUUAGAAAGUUGCUAUGCCAUGUCGUACUAAGUGAUGUCGCGUGUGAUGUGUGCGCUCAUGCUCCUGAUCACGGAAGCCAUACGCUCCAGGAGCUCCAGCCAUGCUUCUGACAGGCGUCUGCUGAUCAGUAAAAUUGCGAUAAAACAAUCUGCAAAAAUUGACGAGGACGGUCUAGACACGAAGACGUAUGGAUGGCGUCCGCGCCUCCUCCGGAACCAACUGCACGACAUUGAGGGACGCUUCCAAAGGCAGUCGCGUGGUAUGCGUCCUCAUAAAAUAUUAGUAGGUUAAAUGUCGGAAACUUUAUGCAUAAUUUUUCUACUAUGCGCACGUGCUAACAUUACUGGCUCAACAUCAUAGGUCGACAUCGUGUUACGAGGCAUGUCCUGCUUAUUGGGUUGUACUUCAUAGCUGCGAAAGCCCCUGGUAUUUAUGGCAUUGAAGGUCUCUGCUUCGCUGCCAGUGUGGAUGGUGAUCCAUUGGAUCACCUCUCUCAGCUACUCCUUCCAAGGACGUGUUUGCUCUGCCUGCUUGUUGUUAAUUCUCGGGCUUCGGGCUUUGUAUGAAUGAGCCUAUUGUUAUGCGCACAUGUUAACAUCUUUUGGCUCAAUAACAUACGUAGACAUCGUUUCACGAGGCAUGUCCUGCUUAUUGGGUUGUGCUUCAUAGCUGUGAAAGCCCCUGGUAUUUAUGGCAUGGAAGAUCUCUGGCGCGCUGCAAGUGUGGAUGGUGUUCCAUUGGAUCACCUCUCUCAACGUGCAUUUUAUCUUCGACCGCUCCACAGUCGCAUCUGCAGAUGCUUGAAUCAAGGUGUUUAGACGCAGUAUCCCUGCUUAAACUCUUCGUAUGGCACGAUACUGCAGAAAUGGCCAGGAUGCGCAGCUUCGUCAGCCUGCUUUUUAUGUUUCAAGUUUUGCUUCGUUUGAUCAUAUACCCGCUCUAAAUUUGCAUUGGUUUUUUUUACGCACUUGCAUUGCCAUCGCCUCGCGCCUGUAUGGCACUGUGUGUUUCCGUGUCACGGCACCCUUCUAUUAGGAUUGGGGCCCCCAGCCAAAAUUAAGGUUUUAACGAAUCAGUCACACGAUAACAGCUCCACGAUAAGGAUUACGACACGACCAAGAGGAUUAGGAUUGCGACCCCAGCCUCAGAGUUAGGAUUGCGGUCCGGCCCCAAGAUUAGGAUUGGGCCCCCCCCCCCAGGAUUGGGAUUGGGACCCGGCCACAGGAUUAGGAUUAGAACCCCGCCCCUAGGAUAUGGAUUAGACCACCACUCUGGAUUAGGAAUUAGAAGUGGUCCACCCCUGUUGAGAUUAGAGGAUUGCUGACCGGUACCCACCCCCUGGAUUAGGACCACUUUGCAUCCCUCUGCUCCCAACUACUCAAUCCAAGCGUGCCACCUCCCGUUCCGACGCAGCUGUAAUUCUGCGGUCGAAAUGACAAUCACAUGCAUAACACUGGACUAUGCUCGCACACUUUAUAUGUAUCGGGCCAUUAAGGUAGCAGGUUGGCGAAUGCCUUCCCUGUCUUGUUACUUCCCUGUCUUCACCUUCAGUUUUGGGCCUAUUAUGGGAGUGGACUUCAAGUCGAGACCCAGAUCGCGGGCCAGCCUGAAGGCAAGGGGGUCGAACUAAGGGCCAUUUCAAUAUAUGGAUGUUCAAUACAUUGCCGGACUCAAAGUGAAGUAGCAUCGAAAGUGCCCCACUCAACGACAAUGUCUUGUGCAAAAUUGUUUGGACUCGCAUGACGCAGAUUCGAAUCGGACUCAGGAUCGACUUGGAACCGACCUUUCGGCAAACGGAAGGCCACUUAUGAUGUGUGGGACGGGGGACCAUAUCUUCACCCGUGGCAGCUACCCUGCGAAACGCUGCCUUCCCCGGUAUUUCGGGGCACCCUCAUCCAGUCACCCUAGCCAACUUCUCUGUGGAUCGCUCAGGUUCCGCACCCACCACCAACAUCCAACGGAAUCUGCCGGAUUGACGACGGCCCAGCUCCAUUCCUGGUCGGCUCACAGGUUAACUUUAUCCCAGGUCACCACUGUCCAUCAGCUAGGGGCACUUCCCUGACAGGUCUCUAAAUGGUCCGUGCCUUACCAGUAGUACCUAACCUAAGCAUGAAGUCACAUUGCAAAAGCAGGCGCCUGGUUAAAAUAUUGGUAGGUAUUCUAGAUUUCGCAGAGGCUGCACAAACAAGCCUAGGUUACGGGAUUGUACAACACUUUGGUCUAGAGGGUAGGACAAACUGUCGGGCAGAGCAAUUCUUUUGACUGCCCCGGUCGCACAAUUCCCGUGCUUCCCUAAUUCGACACCCGGACAGGCCAAUUCAGGCGCAGCACAGCCCAAUUCCGAGGCUCCACAGCGCAAUUCGAAUACCUCCGGCGGGUCCGCCAGAACAAUUCCCGACCUCGGCAGACCAAUUCUUUUGUCAGGAAUGAAAUCCAGGCUAAUUCUGCGACAGAGCUCUUCCCUAAUUCCAGCCCGAAUCCUACCCUCCUUUUGGUCAGACUUCCAUGCUGACGCGGCAGUUCCUAACAUCGGAGCUCACCUCGUGAAGUGUUAAAUACAUCUGCUUUACCACCCUUGAUAGCUGCGAAGAUGCAAAAGUUCAUCUGUGCGUUACAUUACAUAACGGUGUUUGGUGUUCCUUCGUCUCCACACCAUUCUGUAUUCUCACAUGCUCACUUCAUCGCCCAAUCCUUCCUUCAACAUCACCACUUACACUCCGCCGACCUUCCAGCAUUGAACAUGGUCGUUUCGCGUUCGUUUGGCCAACGGACACCUCGCCCUCUGCUCCUCCACCCUUCCCAACGCCCCCCUGGCCAUCCAAUCACACCAUGAGCACACCACCUUCUUCACCCUCGACCUCGAGCUCUUCAUCGUCGUCGCCAUCGUCUUCGUCGUCAUCGCGCCAUCGCGCCAUCUCUUCGUCCUCUUCACCUCGUCUUCGUCCGCCUCAACAACUAUGUCUUUCGAGAACGAGUUCCCGCUUCCGCCUCUUAACUUCCCUGCCGCCACCGACCCCGUGCCCGCGGCGCUCCCGCACCCACCACGUCCGAAGCCGCUCUUCCCUGGGAUCGAAUCUCAGAAAUCGCCGCCCAUGCUGCCAUCCGAACCUUACAGAAUCGAUCGUCAACGGCCAACCAAACCAACCAGCGCGGACGAUGGCGACAGCAGGCUCACUGUCUUCGUGCAAGCCGCAUACCGUGAAGUGCAGGCGUAGGCGGUUGGCCCACGAGGCGAGGUCGGCGUCCUUGGCAGUGGGGUUGAAGCGGGGAGCCGGUCCGCGCUGGUUGGUUUGGUUGGCCGGUGACGAUCGAUUCUGUAAGGUUCGGAUGGCAGCAUGGGCGGCGAUUUCUGAGAUUCGAUCCCAGGGAAGAGCGGCUUCGGACGUGGUGGGUGCGGGGGGCGCCGCGGGCACGGGGUCGGUGGCGGCAGGGAAGUUAAGAGGCGGAAGCGGGAACUCGUUCUCGACAUAGUUGUUGAGGCGGACGAAGAUGAGGUGAAGAGGACGAAGACGAAGUGAUGAGGGCAAAGACGAAGUGAAGAGGAUGCAGACGAUGGCACGAUAGCGCGAUGACGACGAAGACGAUGGCGACGACGAUGAAGAGCUCGGCGAGGAGGAUCACCUAGGCUCUGAUACCAAUUGAAAGAGAACCAGGCCGCUCCUAACAACUGGGAAGCGUAAGCUGACUUUACUGUCCGAUAUACUUGCGUAGGCACAGAGGAUCGGAGUUUCAACCUCAACCUAGGCUUACUAUGUUCAUAAUUUGGUCCGCUUACAUAGUCAUAUUAGCGCGCCACAACCUCACACAUCGUACACACAAGUUCAAGCUCCACUAGCUCCGAAGUUACGACAUGGUCUCAGAAGCGCGCGCUAACGAACUGCAAGACAUUACACAUGCGUUGCAGGUAUUAAAAUCUGUCCUAUGCCCUCUGCCGUGAGUUGCAAGGUACUGCUGGCGUGUAUACCAUUCAUUGGCGACUUUCGUAUUCCCCGAUCGUUGGCCUCUACAAACCUCUGACAUGACAUGUCAGAAAUGUCAUGACCGUUGAUGACCGUUGAUUGUCACGACCGUUUCUCGCAAAGAUACCAAACUCGCGAAAAAGUGUGAUCCCGGCCGGGGCCUGACGGCCAUGCCAAGCUGUGACAUCAAAUGACACUUGUAACCUUGAGCUGUGCGGCGUCUGUCUGCACCAUUUUCAGCCAUGGUACACGUCUUCAAAAAAACACUUAGGGUGCCUGGUGACGGGCACGCCAACCGCCAUCCUCGCAGCUUCAAAUCCAACUUCAACAGCACCAGCAGACGGCGGCGACGGAGCGAGUGUUCCGGUCGCUGGAGCAGGUGCCAACCUCUCUAGCUUGCUGGACGCAGUGGGCCGGACGCAGUGGGCCGGACCAAGUGACGCUUCCUUGCCCCCUGGAUUACUAUAAACACCCAUUCUCCCCACGUGUGUGCCGCCACCCCAACAGUACAACCACAAACCAAUGGCCCCCCAUCCCUGCAUCUCCAAGCCAAGUCCGUCUGUUGGCCCAUGUGAACAUAGCUGUUGGCCCGUGUCGGUUGUACCCCUGCUACCCGGUACCCAGAGUGUGAUGCUGAAGGAGGGAAACACAUCCGCAUCGACUCAUGCAGCUGACAGUGUGAGGGCCGCAGUAACAUACUUGAAUUGUAGUUUUUAAAGCCCACAAACCAAAUUCAAGCAGCAAGAAAACAAUUUUUGGAUAUUCUUAAAAUGAUGGCCUUGUCAAGCGGAAAAAUAGCGGGCGAGUUGACAAAAAUAACGAAUGGGAAUCAUAAAAAAAUUAUGGGUAGAAAUUUUUUUGAAUAAAGCCCUAUGUGUGCCUUAUUCCCAACCCCUGCAACCUCCAAACAUCUUGCACACACACGUUCUUGCUACAUCGUGGACACAGCAAACCCCAGUGCACCGCUACUUAUUUUAGAGGUUCAUAGCAGCAGUUUGGCUUACGGAGUUUUCAAAAAACCUAGACGCAGUCCUUGCCGAACAUGUCUCCUUGAGAGAUCAAUGGUCUACCACAGUUCACCCGCAACCCCAGAGCAUCCAAACCCCCGCUCCACCAUGCAGACCCUUAUGGUGCUGACCACCCUGCGCAGAUCUCGACGCCACCGCCUUGCGAUUUGCUGUCUGACUUCACCACAACAGCAUCACACGCAACAGCCGCUGCCGCCGCUCCUCAUGGUGUCGCUUUUGUGCCUCCCACACUGCACCACCCUCAUGUCUCUCUCCUCCUGUCCUCACCCCUCCGCCACCACCACCUCAUCCCACUCCCGGGGAGCCCUCCUCCACUGCAGGACCGGCAGCAUGCAGCCUCGUUGUACGGCGGCCUUGGUAAGCGGCCUGCCAGAGCCCCAUGGGAGAUGCACUGGUGACACAGGUAGCACAGUACGAGGAAGCCACAGUUGGUGGCCGGCAAGAGGUAAGCGCCAUUACAAUGCACGCCAAGCCCCUGCACGACCAAUAACAGGGUUGGCGCUUGUUAACAUGAUGCUUCUGGGGAGGAGCAUGUGCUCUGGAGUUCAUCCCAGAAAUCGCCUGCUUCCACCCUCUAGCAGUGCAACCCCGCAGUAGCAUGCCCAGCUGGCCUACGGAUUACACCGCAUGCAAGCUUCUGGGAAGGGUGGGUGCACUAGUCAGGUUGGUACGAGUCUUGGACAUGGCCGCCUCCCGUCCGAUGUCACCCCCUCGGCGACCAACCUCAUGCCACCUCGCUUUCCUUUGCACUCCCACACUAGCGUGACUUCCCUGGUCUUCAGCCGCCCCCACUGCUGUCCUUCUCUCUCACCACCUUCAGCCUCCUUUGUCCCAAACCGCUAUCGUAGCCUUGUUCCACUAAUCUGAUAGCAUUGAACUGGUAGGAUUGGCAUCUUAGCAGCCUUUGUGCCUGAUUCAGCUAUGCUAAGAUGCAAAAAAUUCAAGGGGUGCUGGUUCCCCCAAACCCCAAAGCUCCCACCUCAGUUGUUGACCUUCUGCAGGUACAUCGGGAAAGCGGUCUUGAUAGCGUCGUACAUCUCGAUGACGCGGCACUCCCAGUUUAGCAGCUGUUUGACAGCCGGCGUAAUCAUGUGGCUGACUUCCUCCACCUCGUCAUUCAGUUCCUCGAGCGUAGAGGGGUGGACCGACGCGUUCCGCCGCGUAAUGAGAGCAUCUGCUUUUCUGGCAAACGUCUCUGCCGAAACGCCGAAAGCUGUAGACGCAGCGUUGAGUCCAGCGUCUUCAGUGCCCAGCUGCUGAAACCGCUUGCUCUCAGACUUCUUGAAACCCUUCAGCGCUGCGUCUAGGACCUGCGCCGCAGCGUUCUGCACUCUGGGCUUGCAGCUGUAGGCGAAGGCGCGCUCCAGUUUCUGAAACCGUGCCUCCAGGCCAUCACUACUGUUACUAGUCACAGUGACGAUCACGUCCCGCUCGUCAACUCUGACUUUCAUAGGGGGUGUUUCCUCUUGGAUUAAAAGUCGCAGAUCAAGGCUUAAUCAAUCUCAUAUGGAAAUAUCGGCGGAUUAGGACGGAUUAAGCGGAUUAAGGUUGGCGCGAUUAGUUAGAGAUUUCCGUCCGUAUUCGCGCGCUUCGCGGAUAAAAUAUAGAUUAAUAUGCUAUAGUGCUAUGCAAUCUUAUCGCAAAAGUGGUACUUAACGAGGUUAAUCGUUUCCUGUAGUUGUAGAGGCUUUCUCAUGAAUAUAUCGGAGUAUACAUGGUUAGGCACUACUGGUAACGCGCGACCAUUGCCCCCGGGAGAUCCCGGGAUCAACACCUGCCAGGGUCGUAAGGAAGGUACUGCGCCCCUGGGUGAUGGACGGUGUUGACCUGGGAUAAAGUUAACCUGCGAGCCGAUCAGGAAUGGAGUUGGGCCGCUGUAGACCCGGCAGAUUCCGUUGGAUGCUGGUGGUGGGUGCGGAACCUGAGCAAUCCACUGAGAAGUUGACUUGGGUGACUGGAUGAGGGUGCCCCGAAAUACCGGGGAAGGCAGGGUUUCGCAGGGUAGCUGCCACGGAUGAAGAUAUACCCCCUUUUACACACACACACACACACACACACACACACACACACACACACACACACACACACACACACACACACACACACAUACAGCCACAACAACAACCACAAUCACAACCGGUUGUAUUGUCUUUGGGGGAACCCCCAACUCUGCUUCCCCGCCCUUGUGUGACGGUGUACGGCGUGGUCGUUGCUGUACUUGGCAGCGUUGACUCUUCCUGCGUGGCGUGCAAUCCUCGGACUGUGUUACAGACCCUUGAUGGUAAGACCGCCGGGGGCCGUGAUGUGGAGCUUGAUGGUGGCUUUGGUUCGUGGGUCGCGGUAGUGUGUUCCAACCUAGGGCUCCCUGGGUGCGCCUCGUGCCUUAAGUCGUUGGCGGCAAUCUGCUGUAGGCUUGGAAUAAGCGGCCCUCGGGUACUUGCACCUGCCCGGCUCCCGCAGGGAGUCUGUGUGCAUAUUCUGCUAGCGUUGGGGGUUGGUUCCUUGUCCUUCUUCUCGUCCAUGCACCCUGUCUGAGAGUCCGGGUGUAUGCUGUGCCCUUUCUUUUGUUUAAAGGCAUGGAAAUUUGUGGAUUUGGGUUGCUUGCGAAUGCACGGCUCCCUGUUUUUUGCUUUGGAGUACGUGCCCUGGGGAAGGUUUUUUUUGUCAACCGCUAGCAUGUACGGCUAGUGAUGUGGUUUGGUUCCCUGUUCCCCUUGUAAUGAUUGCAUCCUAAAGAAGAACUAGAUAACUUAGUCUUAUCGACAUCAACGCUGACGCAGAUAAGUAGCCACAUAACUGUAACUGAUCCUUUCCGAUUUGUUCCGCAUGACUAAGCGAAAGACCGGCGAUUUUACCCACUGUUCGUGCCCACUUGAAACAUUUCAGCAGCAGCUGCCAGAGACGCACAAGUGAUAGGGAAUCGCGCCAACGCCAUUGCGGCCAAAUCCGGCCGCUAGAAGAAUGAAAAGAGCUAAAGCCGUACAAUGGAUUUGAACAGCAGCAGUGACAACGAUUCCCAAUGCUCCAAAAUUGUCAAUUUCCUUAGCAAAGUGCAGGAGAGGUAUUGUAAGCAUUUUUAUGGCAUUUGUAUUGUUAUCUCCUAGGCAUGCUUGCAGCGGAAUUUAAGUGCCUUCCUUAAGGAGUGCCCCGGGGGUCGUUUCUGGUUCACGCGCGCAUACAUUUGAGGUAUACUUUCCUCCAUGACGAAUGAAAGCCACCACUAGUAUUUAUUUUAAAGAUAGAGCAGAUGCCAGGGGAAUGUCGUCGGUGGAUUAACGCAGCACAGGAAUCCAGCGCACCCCUGAUCCGUUUACUGGUGUCAUCCAAGGCUGGAAGCCUCUCCACAGAAAAUGACAGUUUUGGUGAAGAAGACACCGCCGAGAGACUUGCAGCCCUGCAGCUCACCGCAUCUUUGUGCGGUCUCCAGCCCGGCGGCCCUUCAAUUAGCUGGCCUACUGCGACCUAUGAACAGGUCACCGUUGUCGUUUGUGGGAAGGUAAGUUGCUGUCAUGUGGACAUCCUCUUUUUUGGCUUUAACUCGCGACAUAUGCUGGACAAAGCUUCCAGGUUUGCUUCAGUCUUGAAAAAAACAUGCCGCCGUCCUGCACAGCUUCGUUCGCAUCUGAUUUUGUAAUUGUUCAUGCGCGCUGCCGGUCUUUCUGUCCCGCAGGCCAACGCUGCUACUGGCUAUAAGGCGCUUGCAGCAAAUGCCGCAAAGCUGGGAUUCAAACUUGGAGACGUCAAAUCGACCGUGGUUGUGGCACCCAUGCAAUACGAGGACCUGCAGAGGACAGCAGAGGCAGCCGUGAGCCAGGCGCUGCGUUUGCAAGGCUGGAACAGGCGAGUACAGUACACAUCCGCGAACUGAAAUAUGUAUUUCCUGCAACAAGCAGAGAAAAAAAAGCGAUCAUCUUUGUUGGUCCUAGAUCAUCCUUGUACGUGAAUUGCAUAUGUAGGUAUUUAUCGUUCCCGUCCGUCGCUUUCUCCUACAUCGUUUCAAAAUAAACGGCAUAAGUUUGACCCAAGUUUGAAACCCGAGAGACCGAAUCGCACAAGCUAUCCUACCGUGCCUUUCGUUUGCACCUUCACCUUUCAAAGCACAUCCCUGGUCUGUCACAUUAAUUGAAAAGCCUGGGACAAGUCAAGGCCACCCCGUCCACCAGAUCUGGGUCGCUCAUUAUUUUCUCAAAGAUCUUAUGUCUUAUGGAAACUGGAUCUGAUUUGGAUUUGGCUUCGAUCUAGAAACUGGAAUUGAUUUGGGUCGAUUUGGGUCGGCAUCCGGGUUGGGAGUCGUUAGCCGCGUCGGCACUCGAUGUACGAACAUGCAGUACGGCAACCAUUUUGGCUCUGCGGGAACCUCUUGACAUUUAGACUAGCAAUUCCUACUCGUAUCCACUACCAACACUAACGCUGCUAGAUCCCACGCAUCCAUACUAUAACCCACCAUGCACACAUGCAUACGGCGAUGUUCCCACCCACAAUAUCACUUGUCCAGGAUGAAAUAGCCAGUCAACUUUAAAAACACUGGUCGACAAGCUCCAAAACCAGCUGCUCUUUUUGAGAACCCUAGGCAGGUAACGUUACUCACUGAGGAUCCACCGGCACGUAACCACAAAGCAACGGCUAAAACUCUAAAACCCUAAAACCUACCCGCACAUGCAAUGUCCGCACACGUGUGGUCGUCCCGACAUCUCGCGACUCCUCCUCUUCUGGGGAUCUGUGGGUCUCACAGACUGGGCCCUAUGUGGGUCCGUUGUGACUUCUUGACCGCGACACCGGGCCGUACGGCAAUCGUCCCAGCUACGGAGCUAUCCGUACAGCCCGUCUCUCCCUCCACUGCGACUAUGGCUCUGGAUUUCCGGAUUCCGGGUGAGUGUGGAUGGACGUUGGUUACCUCGGUCACGGGGUGCCAUUCAACCCCGGGUCGCUGAAUGUCCUCUGCUCACCUUCCUUCCCUUCUUCGAAUUGACCAGCCUUCCUGUUGGCGCUGGGUCCUACGUGCUGUGUGGGGGUGGGUGUUUUCUUGCAGUACAUUGCAGUAUUUCUACCCCCGCCCCGGCCCGGCCCCAGCUGACCCCAUGGGGGGCCGGCCGCCCUCUCCCGGUGUUACCGUCGCCUCUGUAUUUCGCCAACCCUACUCUCCACCCCUUUCCCCCUUACCAGCUUCACUCGUUCGUGGUUCGUCUCCCCCCCCUACCACACACACACACACACCCCAACUGUGGCUGCGGGGCCCCAGGCAUGUACAAGUUCUGUCCUCUGUGGCCGCUUGGGCCGCUCGGGCGGCUGCAACAACAAAAACAGCCCACGGCCGCGGCACCGCGAACGUCCGCUGCCACUUCUUCUGGUACUGCCGGUGCGGACGCUGCGGUGGCGGCGGCGGCGGGCCCGGCGGCGGCGGAGGAGCCGGCGGCGGAGGAGAAGAUGACGGAGGCGGCUCGGGAGGUCGCCCUGGCAGGGUUGUUUGCGGACCGGGUCGCGAUGCGGCGGACCGUGGCGCGACUCUCAGAUAGCCGGGUCAUCGUUGUGGGUCCCGGCGUGUGAGUUUUGCCGUACUGUACGGGAAAGGCUGCAUCCUCCGAGUCGACUUGUUGUUUUAUAUUGUAGUUUUAAUCUGAUCGAGUAUUUUGGUCAGUAUUGGUCAGUUGCUGUGUGGAACGAUGUUAGCUGUAAAACCCUGUAUAUACCCUAUAUAUUAUAUAUAUAUAUAAUAUGUUAUAUAAUAUAUUUAUAUUUAAUAUAUGUAAUAUGUUAUAUAAUAUAUUUAUAUGAAUAACAAACGCCCACAUCCUGGCCCCCCUAAUCGGGUACUGGUAACCUUCUUUUACGGUUUCGUCGUCUGUACUGUCCUGCGGCUCUCGCACAGCCCCAUUUCUAGUUCCACAUCCCUCUUCCCUCCCCUCUUCCCCUCUUUUGUACGGCACCCUUCGCUCCGACCUGCGGGACAGCGUCGCCUGCGUUGUGGGCCUAAAGCCCCUGCCAGCCAACCCCGCUGCGGUACAGCGCCUCCGAAACACCUGGCUAGCACGCUUUGGCCUGCGGCUGCCGGACGGCCUCGGGGGGUUUAUAGCGGAGGUGGCCGCCAGCCCGGAGGCCGACCCCGACGACGCACUGGACGUGCCCGGGUGCUGCUUGUGGACCGCCGGCGCCGCAACCUCGGGCGCCGCGGCCGCCGCAGCUGGGGGGCUUACGCCGGUUCCGCCGGCUCAGGCGACAUGCAGUCAUGAGCAUGUGGUGGAGCAGCUGGUGAAGGAUUUGGUCCUUGCGUCCUGUACCUGUGGCGGCGCCGGCGGCGGCUUUCCGUUUUGGGGAGCUGCCGGCCUUGCGGCACGGAUGGAGGCGCCGCCGGGUGCUGAAGCGGCGCUGGCGAAGCGCCAGGCCGUAGGUCCGCCGGUGGCGGCGGCGGCGGCGGCGGUGGUGGCGGGGACUGCAGCAGCAGGGACGGCGGCGUCCGCCCAGCCGCCGCCAGUGGAGGAGAAUACCGGGUGGACGGCGGCGGUGGAAGUGGUAGCGUCGGGCUUCCGGGCGGCAGUCUCCUUAGCACCGGCGGCACAAGUCCUCCGCCGUACAAUCGAUCCGGACAUCAGCGGUGCAGUCGACGCCGGCGGCGCUACAGGCAUGUUUGACGCCGCGCUGGCGGAGGCGCUGUACGGCAAUGAGGCUGACGGCACCGGCGGCGGCGUCAGCGGCGGCGACGGCGGGAGCCUAGCGGUACGGGAGGCGAUUUUGGAACGCAGCAGUGACGAGGCACUUCGCGCGGCGGCGGAGCUGAGGGCCGCUAACAGAGUCAAGGAGAAGGCGUUCUGGGAGCGGCACCAAGGGUUUGUUGCGGCCCGGAAGGCAAGUGGUAACGGUGCGGCGGGCAAGAAGAAGUCGCGAGCCAAUACCUCCUACGAGCCAACCUUGGUGGCUGCGCCAGCUGCGGCUGUCGCUGUGUGCCCUUAGGUAUAGAGGAGGGUUACUGGGAGGGUUUUAACCUGCCGUACCGCCGGCUUACCUCCCAAGUUGACGGGUUAGUUAGUGGCGGUCUGGUAAAGUGCUUGUGGAGGGGGGCCAUGGGGUUGGGGGGGUGUCCUGGGGGCCGGCCAUGGGGUGUUGCCUCUGCGGGGUUUCCUCUCGCUGUUUUGCGAAAGGGUGGGUGGGUGGUUGGGUGUUGGGCUGGUUUGGGGCUAGCUGGAGUGAUUCGGGGGGUUGUUAAAUGGUAAGUUUAAUUUGUAGGUUGAAUUGAAUUGAAUUGAAUUGAAUACAAUUCAACUCAAAAAUUUGUAGGUGUCCAGUUGUUCAGCUUUGUAUCACAUUACCCCUAGCUUCGUUGUUAGUUGUAGAUGUCGUUGCUGUCUGAUGCAUUUUUUAUUCUCUCGGGAAAAAGAUGUGCUGGAUGCGCGGAAGGCUUGAAAACGCAUUCCUUGGUUUCGGUGCCGACCAUCCCUGUCCCGUCCUCCAACGUUUGAUAGUUUAAAGCAACUAAGGUGCAAUACUUUUCAAACCCUAAGGUACAUUACUUGUGAAACGCCUACAUCUCCUCCAGGCCCUCUAUCCGCUAGUCUAUCUCUGGUAUCAGCUUCACUCGUGUGUGGUUCGUCUCCUUUUCCCCCCUCCCCCUCGCGGUGUGGGGAACCUGCACAUCCAUGCGCAGCUAGAAGCGGGAGAGGAUGACCUCGGGUGCUCAUCUCGCGCAGCUGUCUCGGAAAGGGGCGAGGCUAAUCGUACAAGGUACGGCGGCGGUGGCAGCGGUACCGCUGCCGCCGCGGCCCGCUGCGCGCCGCGCGUGCCGCAGUUUGGUUCGUCCGCUCUAGGGCUGUCGCGAAGUACUUUGAAAGCUGGCGGCGGUGCUGCUGCGCGGGCGCUGCUAAAGGCCGCAGGGCCGGCGGCGGCGGGCAAGAAGGCUUCCGCCGCCGCCGCCGCCGCCGCGGCAGCCACCAAGGCGGGAGGAAAGGUCGCUGGCGGCGCCGCCAAGACCGCAGCGGGUACGAAAACCAAAGCCGCCAAGACCGCCAAGGCGGCAGCGGUGGCGGCAACGGGAGCAUCGGGGGAAGCGGCGGCGGAGGUCGGCGGCGCUGCGGCGGCGCCCAAGGCGGCGGCGAAGCGUGCACCCAAAGCCGCGACGGUGGGCGCCGACGGCGCUCCCAUAAGGAAGCGUGCAAAGACGGCGGCGGCGGCGCCACCGCCGCCGUCGGGGCCGCCUUUGGCGCCUGCUGCCGCGGCAGACGCGCCUGCUGCUGCCGCCGCGUGUAUUGUGCAGCUGCCGCCACUUGCAAUGCAUGACGGCGCCGUACCGCCGCCGAGUCCGGCAGCUGCUGACGGUGCCGCCGCUGUGGCGGCCGGCCUAUGCGAUGACGUCAAUGUGGGUGACGGCGAGGAGGGCGUCGUCGUGCAGCCGGCGCCGGUACCCGUGGCGACGGCUCCCCCGACAGCGGUCGCAAAGAAGCCUUCUGCUGCUGCGGCGGCGGCGGCAGGAAGGAGUGCAAAAGCCGCCGGCGGCGGCAAGCGUUCCGCAGCGGCCACGGCGGCGGCGGCGGUAGCCCAGGAGCAGGCGUGUGCAGGAUCGGCGGCGGCUGGAUCGGCAGUAGCCGUAGAUCCAGCGGUGACGGGCGGCGGCGACGUGGCGGCGGCGGCGGCGGCCGCUGCCACUGCCGCUGCCGCCAAAGAGUCCCGCAAGCGCACCAAAGCCUCUGAUUUGGACUUGGCGGCAGUGGAAGCGAAGGUUCGUGUCGCGUGUUCGGUUAGGAGGGGUUUACGACGUGUGUGAGAGCAUGGCGUGGUGGUUGCCCUGCUGAUACCCAGCCACAGCGUCAGCGAGGUGGAGUGAGGAGGGAGUGUGGAGUGUCUCCGUUCGUUCUUAGAUUUUCCUAGGUUGUCAGACAGCUGGCACUCUUGACUGACCUUUUCCUCUCUUCUUCAUUAUCAUUACGGUAUUAGUGUUGCAUUUCCUCCUGUAUUAGUCAGAGGUUUCUUUGAAAUGGAACUUGAAAAGCUUCUGCAUCGCCGAAACCUUUAGUUUUUUGAACUGAAUCGCUGCCACUGGUAGCAUACAUUGGCCUCCUCCCCUUCUUCUGCGCCUGUCUUUUGUUGGCUUACCUGCUGCCAAUUCCAAUUGUCAAACCCAGCACAUCAAAUAUCGUCGUCAUCACAAUCAUGGUGAUGGUCGCAAAAUAGCGACCAUAUGUCGUGGUCCCCAUUCCAUAUUUUACAUUCCGUACCCCGUACCCGUACUACCCAACCGCCGUAUUUUUUUCUGCCGCCGUGUUUCUGAGCCGCAGGUAUCCGCUGCGGCAGCCGCCGGUCAUCUGAGCGACUUGACACUGCCGGAAAUGCAGUGCUGGCUGAGGGCCCGGAAGGCGCCUGUCAGCGGCAAGAAGGCAGACGUGGAGGCGCGUUUGGCGGGGCUGCUGGGAGUGAUGCCAGCGGCGGCGGCGGCGGCGGCGGUGAAAUGACAUUAGCGGUGUCCGGUGUCACAGUGUCACAGCAUGUUUACCCAGCCCCACCACUUACCCAGCUACCGUGUUUUGUUAGUGAGCAUUAGCACCAUAGCAGGAGGAGCUUAUAGCUUUGAUGUCCGCCGUAUGUAUGUAUGUAUGUAUGUAUGUAUGUAUGUAUGUAGGUUUGCAUCUGUGUAGGCCUGUCUGGUUGGAUUUACGUACGAGCGGCUUCAUUGCGUUGUCAUGAGCGAGAGCAGGAUGGCGAUCUAAUAAAAAUAAUCAUAUGAUAAUGAAAGACAGAACGUAUCGCAAUACCUAGGCCAGCUGGUCGCCGGCUGAACCCGAGGACCUCGGUGCGGCGCGGCGCGUACGUAUGGGUGGCGGGCGGUGGGCGCAUGGUGGGCGGUGGGCGGUGGGCGGCGGUCGUGGCUGUUCCUUCCAUAGCCCCUCCCCACCCAAGCCUCUCCUGUAGAGAGCGGUGAUGAGGUUUGGGCGCUGGGCCAGGCCGUCCGGCCAAGCCGCCACACGGUUCUAUCGCAGGCUGUAUAUAGUAGGCAGAAGUGUCGGUGACCCGCCUUUAGCAGGCUGUGUGGGUGGGUUGCCUCGUUCGUUUCGCUGCUGUAAUCCUACAGGCAACUCACUCGGGCUGUUGGGCAUCAUCGGCUGGAUGAGAGGCUCCCAGUCAUCACGCCAGGAGUGCAGCCGGAAGACCAUGCGGCCGCACAUGAUUUCCUGCCUGUGCAUAUCUCUGACGUGGCCCGUCCAGAGGUAGCAUAAUACAUGUGGGAAGCGGUCGAGCAGUCGGAAUAGAGUGUGCAUGUUCGCGAAUACAGUAUACCGGUGUACUAGGAUGGGCGAUUUCACUGUUAGGUUGUGGAUGGUUUUGCUGCUGUUAUAUUUGCCGUUUGUUCUGUUAAGCAGUUUGCUCGACAUCCAUGUCGCAAAGCAUGUCCACCGACUCCGUGCAGACUGACCGUGGUGAUGUGGAGGUGUCUUCGUCAUUGCAUGCUUUUCAGCCUGCUGCAAGCAGGGUGCACAUCGCGGUACAGGCAUACUUUGAUACGGCAAGGACGCCUUUCCUGGAGCUGCAGACAUUGCUGCCGAUGGCAGUUGCACGUGGAAUCGAUUGCAGCGGCCAUGUGGCGAGCUUCAUUGAUCGUAGCAGUCUUAUCCGGAACCACAUCACUGAGAUGCGGCCGGAGGCUUCACUGCCCGUGUACCAUUUGGGGCGCACAUUAGAUAUCACCGGCCUACGGCCAGUGAACCGGCCGCGCCCGCCGCACAGUUCUAUGUUGUCCAUUAUUCACAAUUAUUUCCAGACCACCAACGCCAGUACCGUCCAUGAUGGCUGAGGAUCCGCUGCCCGAAAAUACGGGAGCGAGUACGGGGAGCUGUACAUGGCUCCCGUGUACACCCAUAUUCGAUACUGGUGCCGCCUACACGUGCAGCCGGUACACUCGAGGAAUUCGUACGCACGAUGCAGUACACCCCUCAUAUGCCCGCGUUGUCAUGUUUGCAUUGGCGAGAACCAGCGUACGCUGGUGGGCAGCCGAUGCAGUGAAUGCUGCCGCGACAGUGCUGUGCAGGCUGGGCACAAACGCGCUAAGAUCCACCUAUGGAUUAAACAACAUGGGCGACAGUUGGGAAGUAUGUGCUACGACAGAACACCGUUCAAGGGUGUCCAUACCUGGAGUGUACCCGUGUCCGUGCGGAGGCCAGCCGUGGACAUAGUAGUGAACCGAGCAUUGUCCACCUGAAACAUGCUGCCCAACUCCUGCACGUCCUCGUGGCGGAUGGGUGUAACCGUGACGAGAAGAACGUGCCCAAAUGUGGAGCCACCGGGCUCCAUAGUGAGGACGCUGAGGUCACGGUGUCCAGCGUCGGCAGGCUCUGCACACCACAGAGCACGGUUACAGAAAGAAAGGACACACGGUGCAAGGAAGCACGUCACGGACGACUGCGGGAGGCGGAAAUUUACCGGCGCGUCAGGUGCCACACGGACGGUACUGGUGUUGGUGGUCUGGAAAUAAUUGUGAAUAAUGGACAACGUAGAACGGUGCGGCGGGUUCGCUGGCCAUAGGCCGGUGAUAUCUAACGUGCACCCCAAAUGGUACACGGGCAGUGAAGCCUCCGGCCGCAUCUCAGUGAUGUGGUUCCGGAUAAGACCGCUAUGAUCAAUGAAGCUCGCCACAUGGCCGCUGCAAUCGAUACCACGUGCAACUGCCAUCGGCAGCGAUGUCUGCAGCUCCGGGAAAGGCGUCCUCGCCGUAUCAAAGUACGCCUACCGUGACGCGCACCCUGCUUGCAGCAGGCUGAAAAGCAUGCAAUGACGAAGACACCUCCACAUCACCACGGUCAGUCCGCGCGGAGUCGGUGGACGUGCUUUGCGACAUGGACGUCAAGCAAACUGCUUAACAGAACAAACGGCAAAUAUAACAGCAGCAAAACCAUCCACAACCUAACAGCGAAAUCGCCCACCCUAGUACACCAGUAUACUGUAUCCGCGAACAUGCACACUCUAUUCCGACUGCUCGACCGCUUCCCACAUGUAUUACGCUACCUGUGCAUGGGCCGCGCAUGAUUUCCUGCCUGUGCAUAUCUCUGUUAUUUUUUUAUCGCGUGCUUGUGAGCUGCAGCGGUUUCACUGCCAUGCAGAAGCCCUGCUAUCUGCAUCGCUGGACGAUUUCCUUGAGCGCCAUUCCUUCGUACAGCUGUUUUAUAUCGGGAUUCGCUUGCCACACUUUUAUCAAGCUGCUGGCUCCCUCCUGUUCUGUACAUGCUUCUAGCUGUGUGUGCUGCUGUGGAGCAAGUACAGCCUGCACUGGAAGCAUGUAUGCUGCUGCUUCAUCGGCCGCAGCUUCGAGUGCUGUGAAAGCAGCCUGCCGUUGUUCCUGUACGCUCCGUCUGUGCAGGCUCCCAGUCAUCGUGCCAGGAGCGCAGCCGGAAGACCAUGCGGCCGCGCAUGAUUUCUUGCCUGUGCAUAUCUCUGACGUGGCCCGUCCAGAGGUAGCAUAAUACAUGUGGGAAGCGGUCGAGCAGUCGGAAUAGAGUGUGCAUGUUCACGGAUACAGUAUACCGGUGUACUAGGGUGGGCGAUUUCGCUGUUAGGUUGUGGAUGGUUUUGCUGCUGUUAUAUUUGCCGUUUGUUCUGUUAAGCAGUUUGCUCGACAUCCAUGUCGCAAAGCACGUCCACCGACUCCGCGCGGACUGACCGUGGUGAUGUGGAGGUGUCUUCGUCAUUGCAUGCUUUUCAGCCUGCUGCAAGCAGGGUGCGCGUCGCGGUACAGGCGUACUUUGAUACGGCGAGGACGCCUUUCCCGGAGCUGCAGACAUUGCUGCCGAUGGCAGUUGCACAAAUCAUUACGGUUUGGUCGCCUAAUUGCUAGAAUGUGGGCAAUUGGACCGGUCCUGCUCGGAAUUCCACUGGUCAGCGGGCUAUUUGCGGCUGUGGAUAAAGGAAAAUACAAAAGUCAAGGAAGGACCUUGCGGAAGGAAAAUGGCUGACUAUAAAUUUUCCCGCUCAAUUUGUAUUGGAGCCCGCAUUCAACAAUGUCCAGCAAACAUAUACUGCUCGCUUGCCUUCCUUCGCGGGCCGGCCGUUGCCGAUGCACCAUGCACGGACAUCAUGACGCAGGCUGCGCCGCAGCGGAUCUUAAAUACGCGAAUGCUUAACGCAGGUCACGUGCUUCCGCGACCUGUGUACCUGCAGUCCCAGAUGAUNNNNNNNNNNNNNNNNNNNNNNNNNNNNNNNNNNNNNNNNNNNNNNNNNNNNNNNNNNNNNNNNNNNNNNNNNNNNNNNNGGUGUGCAUCAAGGGGACGAAAUCGAUCUGGGACUGCAGGUACACAGGUCCCGGAAGCACGUGACCUGCGUUAAGCAUUCGCGUAUCCGCUGCGGCGCAGCCUGCGUCAUGAUGUCCGCCAUGAAGUCCGCAUGGUGCAAUGGCAACGGCCGGCCAGCGAAGGAAGGCAAACUAGCGGUAUAUGUUUGCUGAACGUUAUUGAAGGAGGGCUCCAUUGCAAAAUGGCGGUGUUCUGAGGCUGUCGGUGUUGGGCGUGCGCAAGUCAACGCGGCGUUUGCAUGAAGGAAAAAAGAUAAGCUGCUUACGUCUAAAGUCUGUGGUCAGAAGGGACAAUCCAGCUCCUAAAAGUUGCCCGCCAAAUAGUUAGUGCUAGGUCUGAAAGUUAAAGGCACGUCUGAGGUCCAAUUAACUUUGUUACGCGUUAGUGUGGACUUAGUGUACGGGGUGUUUCCACUAGGUUCUCCGCCAGGAGUGCCCCAACCUCCAAUUUGUUUGAUGAAUAUUUUCUACUAUCAUUAGUUAUAUCAAUUGAUGUAUUUAGAACGGUGAGAGACGAGUCCAGGACGAAGAACAUUCAAACUUAGUGUUAGUGUUCGGCCAAGUGGAAACACCCUGUAAAUUCCAUUGGUCCAUCGAUAGAGAAUCAGAAUAGCUUUCAGACGCAAUUUUAACGGGGUGAAAUAAGAUGAAAUGUUACACCAUGACUGACUGACGGACGGACAGCAGUGAACCUAGGGGGCUCGGCCCCCCGAAUGGCGCUUCGCGCCCGGGGCCUCGCCCAAAAACAGAAAAAAAACAAUACAUGACCAACCUAACCACCCGCUAACAAAUAGCCUGCGGAAAACCUGUGAAACUGCGAAGGUUAAAACGCGCUAAUACCGCAUCUACUUCACAAAUAUCGUCGAUGUCUCUCCGAAGGACAUGUCUGCCUAAUUUGUUCUCAAACAUUCUCAAACAUCGUAAAAAGUGGCAGAAUACCGUAAAAAAAGCAGCAGUAAUCCAAAAGUACGAUGCACUGGCGGACAAACAAACAAAACGAAACAAAACCAAAAAAGCCAACAAAUCAUGCAAACAAGCACGAACGCACGCAAAUGACGUGCACGUACAAAUAGAAGGCAGCACACAGUAAACCCAGAAACCAAUCUUUCAGCCUGUCCGUGCUGCGCAUACAAUAUAGCUGUGCAUGCAGCACACGAAAGGAAAUGUAUGCUGCAUUCACGCGAAAGGUGAUGCCACAACAAAGAACAACAACAACAACAGCACUACGACUGUGCUUACUCCAAUCUUUCCACGACCGUCAAAAACAUAUUUCCAAAAGAAACGUCCCACAUGCGGUUGGCACCACAACACACUACACCACCGCUAGCUAGGUCGGAAAAGAUCUGUUAAGGUCAGUUAAGGGCGGGACUUUAGAAUCAGUUGCUCGCCGGACGCGCGCCGGCCGCUAAAAGAGCAUUUGCUUUUGAUCAUGCAUAGGUACUCACGUUUCCGUUGAGUGCCCCUCCUCAAACGUCCUGAUUCUUGGUUAUUUCAUUUCCUGCAUGAAAGCGCAGCUGCGCAUAAACAAAACUCUCGUCACAUACGCGCGAAACCCUAAGUUCCUCAGCCUGGUCUGAACAAGGUCGCGGCAAAUGGACAAUAUUCGAAUCUGGUCGCAGCCACCUCACGUUACGUUUACAAGGAGAUACACAACACCUUGUGGAUAUUAGUUUUGAGCUCAACCAGCGCGAAGCGCGAUUUAUUGUCCCCCGGGAGCCCGUGGAACUUGUUCAAACGCAAACGAUUUUUCUUUUAGCCAGAAGAAAUGCACGCUGCAAUGGAUGAUGUAUAAGGCUAAAAUCAUUGCUGAGACAAUAUGUUUGGUCGUGUUACCGAGCGACGUCGCGGGUAUGGCCAACAUUACACGCGCGUCGCGCUACGGCCCCCCGCCCAACAACCAACAAACAAAAAAAACAGAAAAAAACAUUGCAUGACCAACCCAACCACCCACUAACCAAUAGCCUGCGGAAAACCUGUGAAACUGCGAAUCCAUGCCGCUGAAGGUUAAAACGCGCUAAUACCGCAUCUACCUCACAAAGCUCGUCGGUAGCCUUCCGAAGGACAUGUCUGCUUAAUUUAUUCUCGAAAUCGUAAAAAAAGGCAGAAUAGCGUAAAAAAAGCAGCAGCAGUAAUCCAAAAGUACGAAGCACUGGCGGGCAAACAAACAAAACAAAAGGAAACCAAAAAAGCCAACAAAUCAUGCAAACAAGCACGAACGCACACAAAUGAUGUGCACGUGCAAAUAUAAAGCAGCACACACAAAACCCAGAAACCAAACUUUCAGCCUGUCCGCGCUGCACAUACAAUACAGCUGCAUGCAGCACGUGAAAGGAGAUGCCACAACAAACAACAGCACUGCGAUUGUGCUGACUCCAAUCUUUUCACGACCGUCAAAAACAUAUUUCCAAAAGAAACGUCCCACAUGCGGUUGGCACCACAACACACUACACCACCGCGCAACGCUACGCAACGAUCGCGUUUGACUGAUAUUCCACCUCCCACCCCCUCAUCCACCUCCGGACUGCAGGAACCGGGAAAGACGGGAGGAGUUUUAAUCCUCCCCUCCCUGAGCCGUCGCUUUCCUCAACCCUCCCUCCCUCUGUGUAUGUGUGUGUAUGUUUGUCGGAAAUCUCCAGUUCCAUUAUUCUUCAACAAAGCCUCUCCUAGGCUCCACAGGGCUGCGCCUCACAACCCCGCCCCUUCCUCCAGAACGGACACGCAGACACGCCCCCACACACGCACACACACACAAAGACACACACGCGGGGCCCGUCAUCACUCUUCGGCCCUCUACAACUUCGGCCCCUCCCCCCGGCUCUAGCUUUGCAUCACUACACGUAUGUCCCAAUUACCACGACACCCGACACCCAGCACACCACGAAAUCCUAGACCUCUGAAGCGCACGUACACGCCGUUCACUGCCCAGCCUCCUGCCCCCUGUUCCUGCCCCCUGUUCCUAGCAACAAGCCACCUGCAGACCUUCGAAAACACAAGGAGGGAGCAGCAGCGCCCAAGACGUGCUGGAAAAGGACCCCCGGGGGCUGCCGUCUGCGGGAAGGCAGCGCACGGAAGGCUCCACAGAGACCAUUAACCAGCCAGUAUGUGAGCAUUUGAAAAAACCAAUCUUUUAGCAUAUCUCUAUCAUCAUAUCUCUCCCAGAGAUUGCAUUUACAAGGCAGCGCUGGAAAGGGCUACGCCGACCAAAGGCCGUCAUGGCGGAAGUAGAGUUGAAAGCAUCCGCUGUGUGUGAAUGUGUGUGUGGAAAUGUGACCGUUGACAUACGUUUUCCGUUAUGCAUCUUUUUUAUAUUAGCACACCUUCACCUUCACCUUCGCAAGGGCUCCGUCUCGAACCUAUUUACACGCCCUCCACAGCUAUACCAUAAAGGCCCUGUACCGCCCGUGGUGUGCUGCCGUACUGCCGUACGGCGGAUUUAACGUACGUGUCGUGCCCCUGCAGGCCGUGGGCCACAUAGCCGCCCCGUCGGGGUCUGGGUUGCGUGUGUUUGGGGGGGGGCCGCCCGGGGGGGUGGAGGGGGAGACAUCUCAUGUCCUCCCAACACUUGGCGUCCCGCCCAUCACCUCCGACAUCUAGGACUGCUGCUGCUGUACCGGUGGCGGCGCCUCUCUCAGCACCGUGAAGAUGCUCCGAAACUGUUGAGGCGUCAUCCGUACGUGCUUUAGCUCCCCUCCCGUAAUCUGCGAUGCAAGGGAAGCAUACAUACAUACAUACAUACAUACAUACAUACAUACGGACUAACCCUGAUUUUCUUGCCCCCGGUCUUGUGCCCGGUGGUACGGCUCUCUCCAUUCCGCCACACAUACAUCCCCGCUCCGAACCCAUUACAAUACAGUCUAUCCAUCCCCCCCAAACCCCUGACCCUCCCACCCCCGCUGUCAGCCUCCCCGCCCUCCCCAUCCCCAGCAACCCCGCCACCAAAACCACACACGCAAACGCGCACUCGCCAUGCGCCUCCAGGACACACACGUACACGCGCGCUCCGAACCUUCCUAGCAGCCCAGCGCACCCCAAGACUGAACACCCACCAUCACUCACCAGUCCUCCUGGGUUUACACGUCCCACAUCCAUUUCCCCCGACCGACAAAACCACCGCCACUGCCACCGCCACCACUUCACCCGUCCACGGCCCUCCUUCCGGCGUCAGUCCACCCGUCCCUGAACGCAUAAAGCACCCACCAUCACCAUCAGCGCCGGCACCACCCGCCUUCAUUUCCCCAGCUUCAUCAUUACUUCAGGAUUACCUGCGUGUACAGCGGCUGCAUGAGCUUCUCCCAGCCGCCCUCCCCGAACAGCUGCCCAACCAACUGGUCGUUACUCAGAUCAAUCUGCUUCAGAUCCUCCGAAACCAAGUAGUACACCAAGCCGUCCUGGCCCAGCAGCAGCAGGGAACCUGAACCCGGGGCGCAAACACACACAUACAUACAUAUAUACGCGCAUGACUCCUCCUCGCAGCAUAGACCAUUAAGGAAACACACACAUCGGGGGGGGAGAUGUGCGUGACAAUGCGUGUAUUUGCGCUUUUUGAUAUUUGGGUCGCGGACCGAAACUAACAGAAAGGUGGUACAAGGGAAGAUCUGUGUGUGUUUGUGUGAUAUUGACAGGAGAACACGUGUAACGCCAGAGCAGACAAAAGAGUAAUGCGGGAGAUACCGAGUAAAAGGGAAAGGGAUCCAAUUCCUUCUUACAAUACAACUGAAAUAUACUGCUCCGAAACCUGGUUCUUCCCUCAAGAGGCCUAUCCUGAGCAAGCAGCUCCGGAUGGGGUACGGCAAUGUACGACGUGGCAGAACCCGCGUCACGGCUGGGUACGUGGUAUGGCAUGAAAGGAUCCUGUUAGGAAUCUGGUGCAGACACGCGGCCACGUACCUUCAACGUAGCCGUCGAGCUUGGCCUCGAGCCACGUGUCGCUAUCCUUCCCAUGGAGCAGAACACGUCCGUCAACUCGGCGGCGGAAGUUCUUGGCUGCACGGUAACGAUCUAUUGCAGCCGCAUCCUCCUGCUCUUCUCCAGUUCCGGAGCUGAAGGGACGAAUGGCGGCUCGGAAUGACCCCUGGGUCAGUUGGUAAUCCGACAAAAUAUUUUGUUAUGGGCUUCAGGCAGGAUGUAUAUCAAUAGAUCAAAUGGGAUCUUUCUUACGCGGUGUGCAAAGUAAUUCCGAAAGGUAAGGAAACCUUCCGAUGACGCACUUACGCCGGGUGUUUGGCAGACAGUGAUUGCGUUCAGGACUUUGAGGUGAAAACCAGCAUCUGCUGCGUGAAAUCGUAGGCCUGCGGCCCGGAAUGCACGUGUUCGUCAGCCUGCACUGCAGAUGUAGCCAAAGUCGAACCUGACUUGGCUGACCUGAAAAGCAUGCUGCACGUGCAAGAAACGACAUGUGAGCUAUUAUAGUUGAAGCUUGGACUUCUAAGACAGCCUUCAGGUGCAAAGCACAACUACAAGGGCCGCCAGGCCGACCCAACUUUUCAAAUUUUUACUGUACAAUUAGGAAAACUUAACUUAUCUUCCUGUGUAUAUAUGCUGCGAUCUGAGUUGCGCACCUGUAUCUGGCCAUAAUCUGGGAGUGGCUGACUUGUCCACGAAGUCACGGCAUUAUGUAACAAAGCAAAGGCGUAACCCGGGAUGCUCAGUUGGGCCUUGCGUCGUUACAUUGCCCCCCCUUUAGCAAUGGACGUCCGCGGCCAUUAUAUCGAGCAUUGGAGCCAUCCCACCUCACGCAUUGUGCGCUGGUUUAUCCAUUACCCAUGAUAUCGCUUUCUGCGAUACCUGCUUGUUGUCAGAAUCGAACCACCGACCCGAAGAUUUCAUCGGAAGUCGUGCGGCUCCGUCUCGAUACCAUUGUAACAAAGCAAAGGCGUAACCCGGGAUGCUCAGUUGGGCCUUGCGUCGUUACACAUUAUCUUGGAUGACCACGUUGCUGAUUGGGAUAUAAACCCAACACCCGUUUAAUUAAUGUUUAUCCUCCCGUGGGGCAAUAAGUUUAGAUGUCUUGUUUUUUAUAGGCUAACGUUGGAGCCCUAGUUGCGUGCAAAAGCGCGUCCUUAUCCGUCAGCCCUGCGAGCUAUUGGAGAUCUUGGUUGUUCUCACCAUGGCUGUGAGGUUUUUAAUUGCUGCCUUGCUGGUCGCAGCUAGCGGUGGGGUUGGUGCCGCGCCUGAGCUCCAACUCCGGGAGCAGCAUGAGAAACUGCUCCUGGACGCCAAGGCGAACCCCAUGGCAGCCUUUCAGCAGUGGAUGAUGCAAUAUACGAAAGCCUACGCUAACGACAUAAAGGAGCUCGAGACCCGUUUUUCCGUGUGGCUGGAGAACCUUAACUACAUUCUCGCCUACAACGCACGAACCACUUCCCACUGGCUCCAUCUUAAUGCCUUUGCCGACUUGACAACCGAUGAAUUCCGCAAUCGCCUGGGCUACGACUUCAAGGCUCGUCAGGCGAGCAACCGCCUUCAGUCCUCGCCUUUCAUCUACGACAAUGUCGACGCGAAUCAGUUACCAACGGAAAUCGACUGGCGCAAGAAGGGAGCGGUGACUGAGGUGAAGAACCAGGGGCAGUGCGGUUCUUGCUGGGCUUUUGCGACAACGGGCAGUGUCGAGGGCAUCAACGCCAUUGUGACCGGCGAGCUCGCGUCGCUGAGCGAGCAAGAGCUUGUUGACUGCGAUACGGAUGAGGACAGGGGCUGCAGCGGUGGCCUGAUGGACUAUGCAUACCAGUGGAUUAUCAAGAACGGAGGCCUUGAUACAGAGGAUGACUACCCAUACACGGCCGAGGACGGAGUCUGCGUCGCUGCCAAGAAGAACCGCCGUGUCGUCACUAUCGAUGGCUAUGUCGACAUCCCUGAGAACGAUGAGGUCGCUCUGAAGAAGGCCGCGGCUCACCAACCCAUCGCUGUUGCCAUCGAGGCCGACGCCAAGUCGUUCCAGCUAUACGGAGGUGGUGUUUACGACGACCCAACCUGCGGCACAUCCCUCAACCACGGUGUACUGGUUGUUGGUUAUGGCAAGGACCCCCACUUCGGCAACUACUGGAUUGUCAAGAACAGCUGGGGUCCCGAGUGGGGAGACAACGGCUAUAUUCGUCUCCGGAUGGGCGCGGAGGAUGUCCAGGGCAUGUGUGGCAUCGCCAUGGCGCCUUCCUUCCCCACUAAGAAGGGUCCUAACCCGCCCACGCCUGGCCCUACCCCGGGCCCGGGCCCCAAGCCAUCGCCUUCGCCCAAGCCCCCAUCCCCCCAGCCUGUCAAGUGCGACGAUGACAAUGAGUGCCCGGCUGGCAGCACGUGUUGCUGCGUUAUGGAGUUCUUCAACAUGUGCUUCCAGGUGCGCCUUGAACCGGGCCCUAUCCCGCCUGAGGAAUUGUCCCCUGGCAUUUUUGUUAAUACCCAAAUGCAGGGGUCAUAUAGGUAUUGCUUGCCUUGCCGAUGUACAUGACAAACUUUGCAUGCAUUCUGUUGAACCAAUUGCAAAGAUUGUGAAAAGGAUUACAUGCUGGAUUGAUAUGCGCUCCUUUUAUAAAAGGCAGUAGACAUCAACGUUUCUUUUGUCGUAUAUUUCUACCGCAGCAAUUACGCACUCUUGAGCAUUUGUUUGAACUCAUCGUGACCUAUUAUGCAGACAGGCCUUCCAUUUCGACGGUUUCUUCUGACCAUGGACUUCUGGUUGACUCAACCUUUGUUCCUAGCGUCUUUGGGUUUCUCACACAUUCCCCCUCCUGCUCCCCCACUUAUCGCUUGUGCAGUGGGGGUGCUGCCCGAUGCCCAAGGCCACCUGCUGCAGCGACAACCAGCACUGCUGCCCCGCCGACCUGCCUGUGUGCGACACCGUCGGGGGUCGUUGCCUGCCCAAGGCUGGUGUCAUGUUCGGCUCUCAGCCUUGGUCGCGCAAGACGCCCGCCAUGCGCAGUCCAGGUGGCUUCGUGGACCGCAUUUUUGGCCGCGGCUUUGUGCGCAAGAACCAGGAGCCCAAGGAGAUGAAGCCGCAGUAAUGAGGAACCCGUUAGGUCUUCUUCGCUCCCGCGCUGCCUCGAUCUGGGUCGGCAGAAUUUGUCUGGAGGUUUUGGGGAUUUAUGAAACGUGUGCGUCAGGCUGUGGGGGUCCUCGGCGUGCGUUCUUGUAUCUCGCAGCUGUUUGCUUUGCUGUCAUGUCGGUAAGAGUGGGAUGUGACGUGCGGCGACAUGCUGUUGCGACGAUACCCAGGUCGGGUGGUCAGGGAAGCACAUUGGAAGGAUCCGCCCGUGUUGCCCUGUCGACGCCGAAGGCAGGCAGCCACACAUGCACGCUUCAGUAGACAGAGUGGUAGAUCUCUUAUACUGUGCAGGCCUCGUUAUUAUCAUUUAGUGUAUGCACAAAAUGUUGCGCUAUAGAAGGCGGUCCGGGGGCAGAAGCAGGCCACCACAAAAUAUACACGUGGUUUUGGGGUUUUUAAGGCAUGGUGAUGAACCCCUUUCAGGGACGUUAGUGACGGACCUUUCCAAAUGGCAACAAGCAGGUUCAAGCUAGCUGAGAUCUGGUUAGGAAUUUCUCUACGAUGUCAGUCGUCAUGCUUGGGUUUAGUUUCUACCCUUGACAUGGAGGGCGGAAAUCUUGUUCUGUAUAAUGGAGACCUUUCAACGUCAAUAAUAUGUGUUGCGUCGCAUUUUGUCUUUUGCCGGUUUGUACUGUCGUGCAUUGGGCGUGAACGGCGCAUGUUGACCUAAUGCGACAUGUGAUUUGCAUUGGUUGCGCCGUAACUGAACGAUGCUCUUCAUGUAUACAUACAAAAGUGUAGAGGUCCUUGUUUUGUUGUGGCAAAAUUUUUGCUUUGCCGUGAUGCCGGCUCGUAACGAUAUAUCACACGGCAAACAACCAAUCAUUAUUGUACAUUAGCAGCAAGCAGCCCUUUGUCCAAUCACGUUUGGACACGGGCCGACAUGUUCUCUUUCGCGGACGGAUUUGUGGGCAUCUGGGAGUGUACCUGUGGCACGGCGGGGGCUGAUGCAUUAUCAAUGUUCGAUGUUGUACUGUAGCAUCUCCGGGAUUUCUCGCGAGGACCGUACCUGUAAAAAACCCCAUGGAUAUUGCGGUCCAUCACAGCAUCGUACGCAUGUCAUGUGGUAUACAACGGAAAGGGAUGCAUGCGCCGAGUCACCAUGCUUAUUGUUGUCCAGCAUCCCAGGCCAGAAAUUCCACAACGAUCUGAACGUCUCGCACAACGCGUUCUGUACCCUAGUCUACCGAAUGACAGGUACAGAAUGGUACUCGAAACACUGACGAGCCACGGACUGGACGGCACACAUGCCAUUGCUCGAAGAUGAAAGCCCACCGGGACACCCGGCUGAAACAUGAAGCCUCCCUGGAGCGAACGAACCACCUUCUUCAUUAAAAAUGGUUCAUUCUCCGUGCGACGUAUUAAGAAGGUAUGCCAUGUAGCGAUUCAGCAUAGACAUGAAAUUUACGCCCUGUGUCUAGUAAAGGGUAGUCAACUUGGAAUGCGCGUAACCGAGCUCACUGCAACCGUCUCUAGUGGUGUACGGCACGACACGGCGUCGCGACGUCUGUUGGCCAGCAAAGAGUUAACCUUUUCCUGUCUCCGCUGUAGCAUAGCGAAAGCCCGCUGAAAUGGGGCAGGCCUCCGCAUAGGCGGAAAACUACCACGUUGCCUGCCCCGCCGCAACUACGCUUGUGUUGUUUUGCAUCACCUCUCUUGGCCAUCGUCAGGAACGCUACUAAGCAACUGACAAGCUUUUUACGGUAAUCGAAAUGUACACAGAACCGCUUGGCGCUACCCGGCAAUCCUUGCGUGCGCUGAUUAAACAUACGACUUUGGAGUAUCGCAGCUGGCGUAUGGCAUUAGUCUAUAGGCCGGGUGCAUACAGUCCCAGGCAACGCCAUGAUUUGACAUCCAGGAUCAGCUGCGCGCGCGCAUCGGCUUCUUCUCCCGCCAACGGUUCUCCCUUUCCGGACCACGAUGCCGCGCCUGGUGCUGUGCUCCUCGAUGAGCCACUUUCCCCAAUGGAUGUUGACCAGGAGCUUUGGGCGGUCCUGGAUAUGUGCACCGAUGACGAGUUAGAAGCGUUGUACAACAUCCUGCACUCGACUUCUCCUUUUAGCCCCAUAAUCAAAAGCUUGCUGGUACGUGUGAUUGAAAUUCCAGAAUUGGGUCUCGCAAACCGAGGACAACCGCUUUCUAAGACUUCGGAACCAGGGUUCUUCGCCUUUCAUGCACAGAGCCGGACCUUCCGCAAGGGUACAUCCGGCCGCACCAUUUACAGUACUUCUUCACGCCAUGCCCAUGAACGCGUGAUGACCCUUGGGCGGCACCGCCCGUGGAAGCACCUCCCUCAUCUUCAUGGUUGACCCACGGCCUGCGCCUAUUGGCACACCUGACGAGAGCCGCGUUCCUAGUUGGCGCUUACUUGUCGCCAGCCUUGACUUUGGCUGGCUUGAGCUUUGGAAACCAUGUAGGAAAAAAUGGGGGUUGGUGGGACGCCUGGCAGGAAAAGGCCGCAAGUCAGGCAGGAGGACAGGGUUAAUAGAGGGCCAACCCGAAGUUGGACCACCACAGCUGUGAGAGAGAGAGAGUCAGAGAGAAGCGGAAAGGGGCGGUAUGGCUACCAUUCAAAAACACCUUGAAACGACUUUUAUCAUCAUGUUUAUUUUUCCGUGGGGUCCUGUUCUGGGUUCAGUCUUUGCUACCCUUAGCUAAAUCCCGUCAACCGAAUGUAACACUUCUCCACUCCACACCAAUAUAGCUGCCAAUGUACUUGCCAACAGACCUUAAGGGGGUGUUCACGUUCUCGCUGUGCUUGUGGCAGCCGGGUUUUAUCAAGAUCCGCUCGCGCACGUGUUUUCCUCUCGCUGCACCCCCGCAUUACCCCAGUCCAACAACCCUCCACAGCUACACGCCGCCACGUCACGACCACCCAUCGAUCACUGCCAUUGAUCCGCGGGGCUACCCAUCCACGCAAUUUCUUCUGCAGGUUGAGCGCGAUGAGCCGGCUCUGGUAUCCCUCCGCGGCCGUCGCAGUGUGAUGCACAAGGUGGAGGCGCACUUCCGUUUCCUGGCGGCGGACUCGGUGCACCUGCUGCGGGGAGCUCGGCCCAGCUACCGGGAGGUGCUCCUCAACGUGAGGGACAAGUAAGUGUACGGGCGGCGGGGAGGGGCAGGGGUUGGAGAAGGAAGGGGGACGGCAGCCGGGGGGAGGCGUGGUGUGGAGGAGGGAGGGAAAGGAGGAAUGUGGAGAGACUUGAUCCGGGGGGAACGGGAGGGGGAGAGUGAGUGUGGGGUUUUGGAGGGGCGGCAUGCAUGCAUGCAUACAUGCAUACAUACAUACAUACAUACAUACAUACAUACAUAAUACAUACAUACAUACAUACAUACAUACAUACAUACAUACAUACAUACAUACAUACAUACAUACAUGGCAGGCGGCUGGCAGAGGUUAAGGCCUGACUUCUGCUCCCAGUCGACCCAGUCGACCCGGGUUCAAAUCCGCCUGCCGGCUCCUCGGGUGUUUGAGGAGUGAUGAAAUGGGAGGUGGCCCCCCAUCAUAUGGACGGUGUAGGACGUGAUAAUAUCAACUUGCGAGCUGACCAGGAACUAAGUUGAUGCGCCGUUGAUCCGCUAGAUUUGGUUGGAUGCUGGUGGUGAGUUGCCGAACCCAACGAAUACAUUCUGAAGUCGGAUGGGGUGACGGAUUAGGGUGCCCCUCUAGCAGGGGAGAGCAGGGACUGCCCCGGGAAAGGGGGCCGCUGGCGAAGUUAACCACCCUGUAACAACAUACAUACAUACAUACCCACAAUAUAAAUGUACAUAUCUGCUCGGCUUAUAUAUGCACACGCACACGGGGCCCAACCCCGCAUCACUUCCAGGAAAUCUCCCACUCAUCCUUGGAAAGCACUCCUCCCUUCCGCCAGUUGGCCCUUCAUUUCCUUGCUCAUCAUUCCCUCCCACCCCGCCCUCGUCCCCCCUGACACCCAGGCUCGACAUCCGUUGCUCGCGUAACCUGUCCACCUUCGAUCUGGAGACGGAGAUUUUCCUCCACGUGCUCAACAACUGUGCGGACUACGUCCGCUCCCCCGAACACUCCUCAGCCGCGGCGGCGGCCGGAGUGGACCCCUCCCUGGCGGCGUCGUUCGCAACACUCAACAACGUCGACGUCGCACCAGCGGCGGCGGCGGCGGCAUCAGCCGCCGGAGGCGGCGGCGCCGCCAGGAGCGGCCCCGCUGGGUCGACGACAUCAGGGGCGGCGGCGGCGGCGGCGGCAGCAUCUAAUCCGAACUGGACGGAGCGCCUGACGGCGCCCUUCCGUCUGGGACUUAAGGACUUGGCUCCCACGCUGCUCAACCUGGCCGGGGUGGUGACGGUCACCAAGGUGGGUGGGGCCUGCUGCUGCUGCUGCUGCUGUCCGGGGACAUCUCCACCCACCAACACACACGUACACACACAUACAUACAUACACACAUACAUACAUACAUACAUACACAUAUACUCUCAGCUUUGCAUCAGUGCCUACAAUACUUUGGACGUCGACAGGUUUAUAUAUAUAUAUAUAUAUAUAUAUAGAUAUAUUUACAUUUGCAUAUUAUCCUCCCCUCUUCACAUAUGCCCCCCUUAUCCUCCUCUCCCCUUCCUCAACCUCAACCACACUUACCUUCCCGCCCAUCCCGCAUCCACUUCGUCACCUCGCCCCACCGCAAUAAGCAGGUGGGUCAACAAGCCACUCAGCAGCUAGCCGCCAACCUGCUGUGCUCACACGUCAAGUACCAGGCGGCGCUGAGGGCGGCGACAGCGGGGGUGGGCGGGCUGGCGGCCAAGGGCGCCAUGGCGGGAUGGGGCAAGCAGGCCAUGCUGGAGGUAGGUGGGAUGUUCGACGGCGUAAUGCGCGCGUGCUAUGUAGGUGUAUGCGUCUGUGUGGUUUUUGGGGUAUGUAUAUAUGUACGUAUGUAUGUACGUAUGAAUGUCGUCCUAUGAAGGGAGAUGUGCGAUGACUUCACAAAGUUUUAGCAAAACGGAUUGUGUGAGCCGGAUUGUGAGGCGAUGUGUGUGUCUUUUUUUUCCCCUGGUCCACGCACCCAUUUCACCUUCCCUUUGAUCUCUCCGUCCUGCCAAUCUCUCCUGCCGUAAACACACACACACAUACACACAAACAAGGCCGUCUCUUUCCCCCCCCCGCCCCUCCUUGUGGUUCGUCUUUCCCUCCUUGUAUUCCCCUUUCCCCCCCAACCCAGGCUGCGCAGCGCAGCCUCACCGCCGCCACCGCCCGCUACUCGGCCCUCCGCGGCGCUCUGUCCUUCCUGGGUCCGCUGCUGUGGGGCUGGCUGGCAGUGGACCUGGCGCUGAAGGCGGUGGGGACGGACUACGCUCGGGUGGUGCGGGCGGUGUUCCUGCUGUCGCAGGUAAGCGGGAGGGGGGCCAACUGUGUGAAUGUGAGUGUCUCUCUGUGUGUGUGUGUAUGUGUGUAUGUGUGUGUGUGUGUGCGUGUGUGUGUGCGUGUGUGUGUGCGUGUGUGUGUGUGUGUGCGUAUGUGUGUGCGUGUGUGCGUAUGUGUGUGUGCGUAUGUAUGUGUGUGGGUGAUGUGUAGCAGAGAUGUAUAAUAGUGGCAUUGCGAGGUGCUAUGCUACAGCCCUGGCGUCAUCAGUUACGGUCCGGAGUACACUAGGGUUUUGAAGGGCGGUUCUUCGCUAUCCCCCCGCGGUCCUGGUUCGUGAUACUCGCUGGGAUUUCCCCCGGAGCGCUCCUCCCCAGCGCCCAUGCACGCACCCCGCCCAUACACGCACACAGAUCCACGCAUGCACGCGAGUUUAUUUAUGUAAUUACACACACGCACGUACACAUGCAUGCGCACGUACGCACAUUACCCCGCCGCUGCUGCCGGGGUGCCGCAGGUGCGUCUAGUCCGCACUCACGGUUUCGUGUCGUCUGAGAUGGAGCGGCUGAGGGAUCACUCGUUUGGCUCUGGGGGCCGCGAAGAUGAGGAUGACGACUACCAGGAUCCGGGAGCUGCCGCCUUCUUUUUCUGAAUAGCACUAGCCGCAGCAGGGAGGGGAGAAGGCGGGAAGGAGGGGGGGAGAGGCGGGAAGGAAGCGGUUGCCUCGUUCUGGGUAGCAGCAGGAAAGGAAUGGAAGAGAGAUAAGAGCUGCCGUGGGUGAAUUGAUAUGGGCUUUGGGGAACGGAUUAAUGGGGGCUGUUUUUGUCUGUGUGUCUGUCUGUAUGUAUGUGUGUGUGUUCUGCUUCUGCUUGUGUCGUGUUUGCGGUGUUUGCCGCCCCGCGUCACACAGCCAGUCACCGAGGUGAGGAAGAGCCUCAACAAUGCGCACGGUCACCACCACCACCACCACCACCCACUCCACAUUCCUGGAGCAUAAGGCCCCCCUCACCCACCCACUCACUCACCUGCCCGUAAGACCCAUCUGGCGCUGCCUCCAUCCACCUACCCACUCUACACACACCACCGGAUCUCAGGUACCCCCCCCCGGGAAAUACCUCUGGCAUCAGCAUCGCUCGUCCGUGUUUCGUCUUCCCCGAGGGAAUGGGACGUGAGGUGCGGUGCAGGAAAGUACGGAAUUCUGUGUGUGCAAGUAAGAUGGUAGUAUCCUUUCUUAAAGAAACCUGUCAACUUUGUCUGUUAUGAAGAUUUGUUUUUCUCGUUCUCGAAUACAAACUGAGACGAAAUGCUUCAUAUAACCAUGAUUUUUUGUGGGCUUGAGCGGAAUUGGCGCAUGGGAUGGAAUGAUGGAGGGGUUUUAGGGGUUGACCUAGGCACAGACGUGUGUAUGCAUGUAUUGUGUGUAUGUAUGUUUGCACGUAUGUAUGUAUGUGUCCUCAGCCGUCACUGUGGGACCGAUCCCGACUUCGUAUCCUGAUAUGUGGUUUCGGUGUGACAGCUUACCGCACGACAUGGCCUUUGCGGAAGCUUUCUUUGCUGUAUGUUGAGCGAGUGGAUGGCGGUGGGGGGAGAACCAGCUCUCGAUGGUGGGUGGAUGGUGGCUCCCAACCCCGAUUUCGAUUUUGGUGGCUCGUUGUUGUUAUCAACAGGAUUAGGCAAUGCGUUUCCGUGGCACCCGGAUAGGGGUCGUUAGACAGGUGGUUGUGGCUUUUUGUGAGACCAUUUUCGGGACCCCAAGGAAACCCUGUUUUUUGGGUUUCCGGUGUUUUUUAGUUUAGGACGAGGCACAUAGAAACUGGAAGAACCUUUGCGGGCUGGCGGAACCUGCAUCUUUUAAGCUUGUGAAAAGCGGCGAUUGAAACAUUGACGAAGAACACAUACACCAGCGAGAACUUGUUUUUUUAAUAGGCUGUUUAAAUCUUGUUUUUUUGAAGUUAAUGCCUAAGUAACAUCGAACCAACGAAUUUCCACGUGGAUGUAUAAACGUCUUUUCCGGGGUUGCGAUGUGGUGGAACUGCGCUACUACCAACAACGCCUUGAGACAGGGAGGGCACAUCAUACACCGGACAUAGCUCGUCCGAGCGUACGGCUGAUGCCUGCCUCUGGCGUCCCUUCUACUGUUGCCUGCCGUACAGCACCGUCUUCGGCAUCCCCUCUGUAACACUACACAUAUCCAAGUGCUUAUUAUAUAUCUGUAUCUGCCACUAUCUGCUUUGCUACCUGUGUAACAAGGUCCUCAAUCAGUGCCCACGAAAUAAUGACAAUUGACAGUCCAUGCCCCCCCCCACACACACCCCUGACCCCGGGGCUUUAAUUUAGACUUUUAGGACGCGGAACAUUCUGGGGGACCUGGGAACUUGUAACUUUGCAACCUAAGAACAUUCUGGGGGACCUGGGAACUUGUAACUUUGCAACCUAAGGACAUUCUGGGGGACCUGGGAACUUGUAACUUUGCAACCUAAGGACAUUCUGGGGGACCUGGGAACUUGUAACUUUGCAACCUAAGGACAUUCUGGGGGACCUGGGAACUUGUAACUUUGCAACCUAAGGACAUUCUGGGGGACCUGGGAACUUGUAACUUUGCAACCUAAGGACAUUCUGGGGGACCUGGGAACUUGUAACUUUGCAACCUAAGAACAUUCUGGGGGACCUGGGAACUUGUAACUUUGCAACCUAAGAACAUUCUGGGGGACCUGGGAACUUGUAACUUUGCAACCUAAGAACAUUCUGGGGGACCUGGGAACUUGUAACUUUGCAACCUAAGAACAUUCUGGGGGACCUGGGAACUUGUAACUUUGCAACCUAAGGACAUUCUGGGGGACCUGGGAACUUGUAACUUUGCAACCUAAGGACAUUCUGGGGGACCUGGGAACUUGUAACUUUGCAACCUAAGGACAUUCUGGGGGACCUGGGAACUUGUAACUUUGCAACCUAAGAACAUUCUGGGGGACCUGGGAACUUGUAACUUUGCAACCUAAGAACAUUCUGGGGGACCUGGGAACUUGUAACUUUGCAACCUAAGAACAUUCUGCGGUGGUUGAAUACACGAACGAGAACACACGCGUCGUGCCUCUUAAAGAUCCCCCGACGGAAGAAGUGGAGGGCAACUUCCUUUCUCUUGUCGAAAGGACCACCAUUACAAUUUUCGAACAACGACAAGAAAAAACAAGUCGUACAGUCCCUCACAUUCGUCACAUCUCGUGUAUCAUCAUCAUCAUCAUCAUCAUCAUCAUCACUCCGAUCAUGAUGCCGGAAGAAGAUAUGUUCUGAAACGGGAAUCUAGAAGACGCCGCCCGCUACGUCAUUUUUUCAAACGCAAGAAACUCAGCAUUGCAUACCAGCAGCAGCAGCAGCUCCCACCGCUUCAACCACGUACACAGCCGGACACACAACAUUUCACUCUCGGGACCCAAAGAUAGAGAUCGCUUGUCAAGAUAACUUAAGACGCACAUCAAUAAACUCAUGGCCGCAGGACUACCCCCGCUCUCCCCCCUCCCUCCCUACACUGCAUCCUGGCCGAAUCAAGUCAUAUCAAUUACUGUGAUACUGGCACUGCUACUGCCACUCCUGCUGUCUGUCCUAUCCGUACUUGUGGUGGCGGUAGUCGUAGCGGUGGCGGCGGCGGCGGCGGCGGCGGUACUGGAGGUGACUAUGGCGCCAUGGCCGGUGGUGGCGGUGGUGGUGAUGGUAGUAGUGGCGGUGGUGAUGGUGGCGGUGGUGGUGCUGGUAGCGGUGGUCGUCACCGCCAGGGCAGUGCCGACUGACGUACACAUCGCCGGUGUGACUCCCUCCGCGAUCCCUGCUGGCUGCCGGGCCCCACCAUCGUUGGCAGUAGCAGCAGUAGCACCCACAACAGCUGCAACGGCUUGGCUGCUAUCUGCACCCCCUUCGUGGGUCGGUGGUGCUGGUCGUCUUGGGAGUCCUGGAGCGAUCGCCCACAUGGCGCGUUCCCGGCCGCCUGCUCCGGCGGCUGCUUCCCCAGCGCCAUCCCCUGCCGCCGCCGCCGCCACCGCCGCCACCGCCAUUUCUUCCCCAGGCUCCUCCGCAGCGGUCCCCCCUUCUUCAGGGUUGGUCGAACUCUCCUGAUCCGCACUUGAUGCCCUUUCCACUGCUACUGCUGUUGCUGUUGGCGCUGCUACUGCUGCUGUUGCUGUUGUGUAGUGGGUUUGCUUCGCUGCCGCUUCCGACUCUCCGUACGUGACCGACUGGCCAGGAAAGUGAAGGGAGGGGGGAGAAGGGAGAGGAAGGGGAUACAAGAAAAGAAGUUAAGGAGUUCAGGAGGAGAGAUAGCUAGAUGAGUGGCGCGUUUGGGUUGGCUGUGGUGAUGUGUUGUUGGUGUUGGUGUUGGUGUUUGGUGGUAUAUCGGUCAUGGGGAUAUUCGCUGCUGCACAUCAGCAGCACAUCUACAUCAAACUCCCACGCACACACAGAACACAUCAAUAGAUUCAAGCAGUUAUGCUGCGUUCAAAACUUCAAAACCCUGCGUUCAAAAAAUUCAAAACCCUGCGUUCAAAAAUUCAAAACCCUGCGUUCAAAUUCAAAUGCAAACCUCACCUCCACUCGACCCAGCGCAACAAUCACCGGCGUCAUCACCGCCGCGCUGCUGCCUCCCCCCACUCCCCCCGCCAGGCCGCCACCACCACCGCCGCCGCCGCCGCCGCACCCGUGCUCAGCCGCCGAACACCUCACCGCCCCCAGUACGACAAAGCGACCCAGUACGGGAUACUCCCGAAACGGCUCUACCACGAGACGGGGGUGCAGCGGCUCAAACACGGCUUCCGCCACGUCGCCAGCCUGGAGACCGACUUGCUCGUCCAAUCUCUCCCCCAACAUCUCGCCAGUGCCUUUUUUACGAGGUUGCAGGGUGGGAGAGGGGGAGGGGGAGGGGGAGGGGGUGGGAGAGGGGGAGGGGGUGGGAGAGGGGGAGGGGGAGGGGGAGGGGGCCCGGGCGGUAAAGGGAUGGCGAGGUGGGAAUAUAUACGCGAAAUGCAGAAACUCAGUAAAAGAAAAAGGCAGAAUGCGGAAGUCCCCAGGCUCCCAGGUCCCCCAUGUCAUCAGGAGCCCCUGUUACCCCCCCCGGCUGUGUUGCCCCCUUGACACGGCGGGGUUUUAUGUAUUCGCGGGGCCACAUUCGGUGUAUAGACCACCGUGAAGGUCACGGAAAGUCCCCGGAAAAUGCGAGUGGGCUAGAACAUAAUAUGAUAACUUCCCCUUCCACCCAACCCAAAUCACGUGCACACACAUACAUACGCACAUGCACACGCACAAGCACUUACACAUACAUACAUACACACAUUCGCUCACGCAAUGCCCCCCGCAACCUCCCUCACAGCCAUCGCCAUCCGGAGACAAGGACGCUCUGUUACUGCCGUCGUACCCCCCCCGGUGUCCCCUCGGAAAGGGUUGUCUUCCCCCCCCCUUUGAAGGGGAACAAACCCUUUUGAAAUUCCUCUUCAGGAUUCCGCCUAAGGCUGGAUUGUUGCUCCGAAUCCGGGCCCAAACCCGGUUCCUCGUCUCCCCCCCCCCCACACACAAAAAAACACCUCCGCCGUACCCUUUGUGUCGCAUCUUCUGCUGCUGACCAAGCGGCAAGGUGCAUGGGCUGUGUGCACGUGAACUAGGGCCACAUACCCGGGACGAAGGCAGCCGGGGCGGCUCUCCCGCCGCGAGCUAGGGUCGCGCAGGACCUUGGGGACGUCACACGAAAAUGACCAUUUUGUGUUUUUUUCGGAAAGACAGGGUGAGGGAAGGGGAGUGGAGGGGAAAUCAUACAUACAUACAUACAAAUAGAAGGGUACUGCAGGAAUAGACAGAUACUGCAUCAGGAAAAUGUAAAAUGUUAGAUGCCUGCGGGGAUGACAUGCAGUGCGCGCAACUAAGAGAAAAAACAACUGCUAUGGCGACAGGACGCCCAAGCGACUAGCUGCCGUACAAGUCCAAAGCAAAGACCGCGCAAUGGGGCCCGGGCCGUCGCUCUGAAGCCCUUGCGGAGUCGAUGGCGGGUUUGGGGUUUGGAGGUUUGAGGUCUUAGUCGUACAUUGGCUGCUUAAAAGAACCUUUUGACCUUCAUCCCCCUCCUCCUUUUAAACGAUUUUCCCUAAAACCCUAAAACCCAAUUAGCCCCGUUACCCCUCUUUUUCCCCCUCCCCCGCGUUUCCCCCAGGGGCCCCUCCCCCGCCGAACCACCCUCAUCAUCAACACCGCCAUUACCCACUCUCUUAGUCCCCCCUGGAAUACACACACGACACGCAUACACAUACUCACACACACAUACACACACGCACACACUCCCCGCCACCCGGCCUCCUUCCGGUGAUUUCUCACUUACUCGAAUCCUAGCUGUGAACCGAACCGCAAACCUCGCGGGCUGGUCCCCGGCGUCCGACACCACAUCCCCCCGCCGCACCCGCCACGCCGGCACCCCCUUCACCGCCAAACCCACCCACUCCCCCGCGGCGGCGGAGCCGCGACUGUCGUGAAAGCUCUCCAGGGAGCGUACGACAGACGUCAGUGCUGAGGUUGCUGAGCCCGGCCGUGCGGCUUCGUCGCCGAAGCCGUUUUUCCUAGCUGCAGUAGCUGCAGUAGCUGCAGUAGCUGCAGUAGCUGCAGUAUCUGCUCGUACGACUGACGUGGAAGCUGGAGGUGUUUGUGGUGGGGGGGAAAGGGGGGAAGGGGGGAGGAGCUGGGCCGUGGUUCCCACACGAACACACCCACACGCCACUCGGCCUGCUGGUACAGUGCCGAUACCGCCCACCUUGUAGACCCCCUGUUUAGGGUUUUAGGGUUUUAGGUUUUUAGGUUUUUAGGGUUUUAGGGUUUGGGGUUGGUUAAGGUGGUUAGCGGGGGGUUGUUGUUAGGGUUGGAGUCGUACGAGUGCAAGAAGCUAACGCUUUUAGGGUGUUACGGUGGGAUUGAGGUGAGCAAUGGAUUAUUUCCAAAAGCGAGCACGUGUUGGUUUGCGGCGUCAACGGCCCCACACCCCCUUGCGUUGCGGUGGGUGGCGUUGGGUUGCCCUUUCCCCCAGCAUAUUGCAGACCCCCGUCUGACGGCGGCGGCGGCGGCGGCGGCUUGCCCUUUCCCCCCCCCCAAAACACACACACACGCUUCCCCCUCACUUCCAGCGCCAUUUUGACCUACAAAACCCCCAACCCCAACCCCNNNNNNNNNNNNNNNNNNNNNNNNNNNNNNNNNNNNNNNNNNNNNNNNNNCAUCCGCCGCCGCUCUUCCGCGCCCUCACCAUCCAAGCGAGCCCGCAGUGAAGCUGCCUCUUCAUCCAGGCGGCUCCGCUCAGCAGCCGCAUCUGUGUCUAAUCGCCGCCGCUCCACCGCUGCAGCCUCGUCCAGCCGUUUGCGGUCCGCUGCCGCUGCCUCCUCCAAGGCCUUCGCAUGCUCCUCCCUCUCCUGUUUCAGUUGUAGUCUUAAGCUAGCCGAGUCUUCCAUGGGCUGCGUGGGCUGAGAAGCUUCCAUGGUGGGCACCUGCCGCGGCGACAUUUACGACGAAUGCCAGCAGAAAGUUAUGUCCAAAAGAGCAGGGCAGCAGGCACGCCACGGUAAUAAAUGAGAUAGUCGUUUUUAAUAUAUGAAAAAUCCUAAGUCUGGAUUAGGUUUCCAGGUAUGGCAUCUAUGGCGUAGGUCAUGCAUGGCAGGCAAGUGCGAGCGAGAGCAGAGACGGACUCACCACCUGGUUGCGAGGUGUAGGCUGAACGCGCACGACAUUGCCUGCCUCCUGUUGCAUAGGGGACAUUAAUCAUUAAAGUAUGGACAGGUCAUACCACCUGCCGACGGAGCUACCCUGUCGCGUACCGUGGAGCCUGCUCCACCCAUGUUUAAGAAUGAGAUAAAAAUGCAAGUUAACAGAGAAGUUUAAGCGCGAGCUUGCUGGUCAGGCACUGUUGUGCCGGUAUUCGAUUGUCUAUGCCUUAGGUUUAUUACGUUCCAUGUUAAGCAGGCCAGUAAUGCGAAGUAUCUCUCUUAUAUGUAUCUCCCUUAUACGUCUAAAUUAAAUGCAAAAGCCUCGGACGCAAGUACUCAUGUCAGCGUUACCGGCAGGGCAACUAGGCACUAAGGACAGGCGCCGCGUGAGAUUCGUACAAUGCAACAGCAAUCAUAAGCAGAGCUAUGAGCUCUGCAUGCCUACGAAUGAAUUACGGAUGAGCCGGCGCGCGAAUGUUGCAAGACCAUGUUUGUACGGCAGCCUUAGAUAUGUGAUAUUGGCUAAAUUUAAGCUGGGUAGUGAUCAAUUUGUAAAGUCGCAUAGCGUUGAAGUAUAUAAGGUUUCAUGAUUCCUUGCGACACCACGACAUGCUGUUAGAGAUAAGAGUCCUUCAGUGAACACAUCACUCGCUCAUAUCGUUACACAAGGAGAGAGAGAGAAAGGAUACGCAAGCAGUAUAUAAGCAUACCGUAGCCAAUCCUGAUCCGAUGUCGUAUUGGGAUAACGGCAACUAAUCAAACUACCGAAGUGUCAAGCCUGAGUGUACCUAAGAGCACUUUCCAAAACUCCCACGCGCUCAGGACUUGCACACGUUCAUCGCUAUACGAUGCUUCUCAAACUUCUCAGUUGGUAAAGGCUUAGUUAAGCAAUCAGCUACCAUAUCUUCCGACCUGCAAUCUNNNNNNNNNNNNNNNNNNNNNNNNNNNNNNNNNNNNNNNNNNNNNNNNNNACCCCAACCCCAACCCACAUACAUACACACGCACCAUGCGCGGACUUUAAAUCUCCGCUUCCCCUCCUACACCCGCACUCCCCAGGCAGGUCUGUUCGAAGCACAUACAUACAUACAUAUAUACAUACAUAAACACAUACACACAAUGACGGGCAUACGCAUCGGCAAUAUGGGCCCCGUCCUCGCCACCGCCGCCAUCACCGCUGCCGGCACGGCUGCCGUACCCCGCGUGACGGCCGGCGUCGCCGCCGCCGCAGCGGAGGCAGCAGCAGCAGCGGCGGCGGCGGCAGCGGCGGCGAUCGCCUCCGUCAACGUGGGUCCCUUCCACCAGGGCAAGCGGGCGGCGGCCGGCUCGGCAAGGUUGUCGCCCGUCAGUGCGGAGACCGGAACGAAGGUGGCGGACGGACACUGCAAAUCGAAACGAAGAGCCGAGCGGCGGCGGCGGAGGACGUCGGGUGCCGUACAGUGAGGCAGGUUUAUUAGGGUUUUUUAGAGUUUUCUUUUCUUUCUGAGGGUUUGUUUAUUUUUGAGAGAUGAUAGGGUACCUGAGGACACCAUCCCGCCUAGUUCCGGAGCUGAAGCGUUUUUAAAAAGAAAAAAAGCGUUUUUGAUUUAUUAAAACUCUUCCCCUCAUGCAGCUUCAGUAAUAUGUUUAUCAUGUACAUCGAGGUGCCUUGACAAAACCACCCUAAACACACACAACCCCGGGCCCUAUCUCCCCCCCCCCCUAAAACUCGCCUCCCCCCUUUUAAGAGAGGUCCGAGAUGUAAAUAUUUGUGCUGUGGUGGAGUGCUGGCCAGCUAAAACACUAUCAGGAGUUCUAAUUUUUCGUUCCAAGGUAAUCAAAAUCCAAUCAACCUUGAGAGCCUCAGACGUUUUAGGAAGCGGUUGAUUUAAGGUGAUGAGAGAUGAAGAAAAUGAAGACCGAGAAUGCGGUUUUCGCACCGUAUGCGUGUGUGCGCACAUACAUACACACAUACAUAUACACGUACCUGGCGCUUCGUAAGUUUCCGUACAAUUUCCACUGCGUCUUUGAAGCGUUGCUCGGCCAAGUCCGGGUCAGCCUCAACCGCCGCGUCAAGGUGGUUGAUUGCAACUACCUUGGUUUUCCAGGAGAUCGAACCGGGACGAAUGACCGUUGGAAGUUGGUCAGGUUAAUGACGGUUGUUAACGGGUAAACCUGCUUUGCAAGAGAUUGGUUUGGGAUUCGCGCAAACUUCUCUGCCCUAGGUGGGGUUGAGAUAACGCACGUGUCUGUCUGUCUGUAUAUCUGUCUGUAUGUAUGUGUGUUUUGGACAGGAUCAAUGCACUCACGAUACAAACCUCUUAGGAAAGAGGAGGCCAUAAGGCCCAGGAGGUGCUUUCCCCCUCAAUCCCUCAACACCAUAAAUGAAAAUGAAAAGAAAAGGGGGUGAAAAGGAAACGGGGUUUGGGAGGUGGUGUGUGGGGUUCAAGUCAAGUGCGAAGCUGUGUAGAGCCAAGAAAAUUUGAACGAAACGAGGGGUUUCGGAGCCAAUGACAUCCUCCAGCUCCUCUCAUCACAGCGCUCCUCCCGCCAAGCACUUUGGAAUUGUGUGCACCAGUGUUGCACCCACCAUCAAUCGCUGGUUGGCAAGUGUGGCGACCAGGGUGGCGAUGUCACGAAUCUCGGACCUGACGGCGGGGGACUCGAGAACCGCCGGACGACUGUCGACCACCAGUACGGCAAUGUCCGCCUGUCGUACAGGUAGUACCGCGCAUGGAUGUUGUUGUCCUUGUGUAGUGUGUGUGAGUGUGUGUGCCUGUGUAUGUGUGUCUGUGCGUGUGUGUCUGUGCGUAUGCGUGUGUGUGUGUCUGUGCGUAUGUAUAUCCGUGCGUAUGUGUGCCCGUGCGUAUGUGUGUCUGUGCGGGGAGGGAUGUUGGCGGUCAUGCAACAUGCAUACACAUGCAUGCGCAUCAUGUCCAGGGAAGGGGGUGGAGGGGGGAAUGGAGGGGCGAAGUGGUUACCUGCAUACACACACACACACACACAAAGAUGCACACACAUACCGGUACAUUCAUCUGACCAUAACUACCACUACCAUUCAUCUGACCAUGUAAUGAUCGCACACCGAAACACGCACACACCGAAACACACAUACAUACACUGAGUCGGGGUCAGGAGCACGCAAGGCUAACCGACUUGUGCUGUGUGCUCCCGACCCUUGCGCUGUGUUUCGGCUUCGGCCCCCGGCUCUCGCGGCCCACAGUGUAAUCUAAGUCAUACAUACAUGCAUGCAUACAUACAUGUAUACAUACAUACACUCAACACAUGCCUGCGUUAUCCCUGCAAUGGUACUCCUCAGGUAGUCCCGGUGACCGGGGGUAUCGAUCAGAGUCAGCACCACAUCUGUAUUCCCGCCAUUCCCUCGAGGGGCCGCUCCAGGACUGCUGCUGGCGGUGGUUGUAGCGGUUGCGAAGAUAGUUGAAGAAGGUAGUUGCACACGGUUGAGUUUCAGGUCCAGGGUCAUAGACCGGUCUCGUUCCAAGCGGGAGCGAUCCAGGACCUGACCCACAACAAUAACAACAACAACGAUGACGAACGACAGCAGCAGUAGCAGAAGCGGUAGCAGCAGAAGCAGUAGCAGCAGUAGCAGAAGCGGUAGCAGUAGCAGCAGAAGCGGUAGCAGUAAGAAGCAGAAGCGGGAGCAGUAGCAGCAGUGUUUCGCGUGUGGGGGGUGGAUGUACGACCGCUCGGAGCCCAGAGUUCAGUUCCCCCCCACCCCUAAUCCGCAGGGCCACGGGAAAAAGGGGAACUUCUUCCUUAAGUGGGAGCACAUGUACCGUGCCGUGUCGUGGCGAGCGUACGGCAUAGUACAGCCCGGGGACACCAGAUGGCUACAGCUGAGGCAUCUUCCUCUUGUUGUGCGAGCGUGGUGUUCCUCUUACCCAUGCAUACCGCGAAGUGGGGCGAUUGCUGGUUUCUCUUUCAACCCGCAUCAGAAUCCGCUUCUCCAGUCCGCCAAAUUUGACCAAUAUAUGACCCGCUGCCGUGCUCUUCCCAGAUUGAUGAUGACCCACGAAAACAACUGUGGCAUGCGGUUGCGGGUCUGUAGAAGCCGGUGUCGGCGCUGUCAUGGCGAUGGGCUGACAACUCUUCGGCGCCUAUCGACACUUGCUCACAUGGAUUGGCUCCCUAAACGCAUCCGCAUAGCAUCGUUGGUAGGAUUGCUUGCAGUAGGACGCGGGCGCCCAAAUUUUUUAGACGAUGCACGGCAAUACGAAUUUUCUCUGCUUGCUUGUCCGCAUAAAAUGCCGGCCAUCGGCAUAAACCUCCAAGUGUGCUCGCUGUAGCAACAUUGUAAUGCAGCACGUUCAUUGAAAGGGUGGCGCGGAAACAUAGCUUCGAUCUAGGUGCUGCCGUUGGGCUUGAAGGUUGGCCUCCUCUUGAACAUGGGCUCUCGAAUCUACGUUGGCAACCUUCCUGCGGACAUUGCAGAACGGGAUGUGCGUGAUGAGGUAAGUAGAGGCUUUGGCACGUUGCGAUGCUGACAUCCUGUUUGACCCCACUUGCCACCGGAACGGCGCAGUUUGAGCGAUUUGGCCGUGUGAGGACAAUAUGGGUUGCCCGCAAACCGCCUGGUACGUUUGUGUCUAGGCUACGUGCUGUUAGCGGCACGGGAGCAGGCUAGCUUAGCGGCUUCAUGCGGUUCCGCUGUUGCACUGCUAUUGCGCCACAUUUGCUGUGCUAUCAACUGAUUUUUCCAAGAUUUCUAUUUUGAGUUAGGUAGGUCCCCCCAAGCGGUUGUCUGACGCGUGGCGGCCGCCUUGGAAUAACUCCCAGAAAAGAUGCGGCAGUCAGUGCCUUACACCUGUUGUUGCCAUUGUCGCUACGUCGUGUGAAUGUGGCGGAGACGGACAGGGAGCCUCCACUGUGCUCUUUGCCAAUGGGAUAUGAGGUCUCGUAGCCGUUAGUAAAACAGACGCCUGUUACCCUUCCAUUUUAAGCAGGUUUCGCAUUUUUGGAGAUGGAGGACGACCGGGACGCAUCUGACGCUGUUCGUAAGCUGGAUGGUAAGCGUUCCGACGUUUACUGCAUCGCAAGUCGCCGUCGCCUAAUAUCAUUGCAGACGUGUACAUACAUACAUAAGAAGGCUCUUCAGUUGGGUCAUUCUUCUUCUUCUAGCCGUUUUUCCUCUAAGCAUGUGCCUCUAACCUCCUCGCAGGCUUCCAGGGUUGGCGUGUGGAGUUCAGUCGGCGUGCCGACCGGGGGCCGCCGCCGCGCGGCGGCAUGGGUGGCAUGGGUGGCCCGAUGGGUCGGGAGCUACGAUGCUACGAAUGUGGCGAGAUUGGGCACAUCGCUCGCGAUUGCCGUAGUAUGCGGGGCGGCGGCAUGGGGGGAGGCCGCGGGGGCAUGGCACCACCACGUGGUCGCAGCCGCAGUCGCAGGUGAGCUCAAUAAAUAAUUGAAAUCACCAUUUCGCCAUGUCUGUAUCCGCAAGUCGCAACCUAUAACCUCUCCUAACGCAAUAUUUAUCGCGGGUUUGUUUUUAUGAACUGCAGUCCCGUGCGGCGCAGCCGGAGCCCCUCGUACGACCGCAGGCGCUCGCCCAGGUACGAGACUCGGCUCCGUGUUCACGCGAAUGUACUGCUGUCCGUAUCAACCACAAAGUUGCCUAAUUGGUUUGUAGCACUAAGUCAAUUUACGCGCUCCUCCGCUUUGACUCGGUGUGCAGCCCGCCAAGGCGCCGGGACGAGGGCCGUGAGCGCGACCGAAGCCGGAGCCGCAGCCGGGAUUGAAGACUGUCGACGACGGAGAUGGCCGUGUGGAUUAAAGUUCGGGCUUUUCCUAGGCUCUGUAGCAAGGCGAACUCCACAGCUUGGGCUUCCGUCCUGCAGUUUGAGAGUUUGUGUUUCGGGCAUGCAUAAUAUGCAAACGCGGCUGUUUGUGGGUGGCGACGGGCAUGGGGGGGGUGCUAUUGGCAUGGCCUGCGUUUCCCGAACUGGGUUCAGGUAUGGUCCAAGCAAGGGAAUAUGCCCUUUCGUGUGAAUGGACGUGCAUGACGACGGAGUAUGGGACGUAAUCGGAUUGACGCGCGGAUGGAUUUUCGUGGUAUGAAUAUAGUAUGAAUACGCGUAUUGAUUUGAGUUUUUUGUGUUGUUGGACAUGUUUGGCUGCGAAUGUGGUUACUAUUUGGUUACGGUUUGAAGGGGUUUUGCAUGUGCGGUGGCGGAGGGCGUUCCUGUGCACAUAUUUUGGAUGCAACUGAGCAGUGCACGUUGCGGCCCCUUCCCUCCACAGGGGGUGCCGUCUGAUGCAUCGAUGCGCCUCUCUCCGCUUCGCUUCGCGUCGCUUCACUUCACUCCUGUCUGCACGCCUGCUGCGUCUGCGCCUUUGGCUUCCCUGUGGAUUGCUGAUGGGUGGUCUUCUGUGGAAAAAUUCAACUACCAACUGCUGCAUCUGCUUCUGCUGCGACCGUGGGCUGCUGUCGACGUGCACGCGACCCUGCCGAACGCCCUCCCUGCACGUCAAAACUGUCUGCUUUGGACGUUUCUGCGCCCGUCGGGUCGGCUCUUGACGAAACUCACUACUGUGGAUGGUCGUCGAUUUUGGUGCGUGUAGUUUGUUCGUAUGCCAUCCGAGCUCCCCCUGUCCUUAAAGGUUACCAGACUACACAGGUGAGAAAUUGCAGGAUCGACUUGGACUUCGAAGCCAUGGGAGCUGCCUGGCCUUUGGUGCUGCCCCCUGAUUGUAUAGGCACCCGUACGUCUUAGUGGUGCACAUGUUUAAUGGUUGCAUGUUUGUAACAAGUUACAAAAAUGAUCCACUUUGUCCGUCCGUUCCGUGUUGAGGAGCUUCGUCACAUCAGACUGCGCAUUUUUAUCUGGCAGUACCAAGUGGUUGCAGAAAUGACGUAGAAGUAGCAAAGCAACGAAUUCAGACGUUGUCCAGAUGCAAAGUUGUACUUCACAGCUUCAAAGGAAGUUCAAAUGUCAACAGUCAAGUACAGCGCGGGCAGAAGUAGAUUGAUCAUAUGACACUUACCGUUGCCUUCCCAAAAUAAACGUGAAAGCUGUCAGCAUUUAUUUUAACAUCUGACUAACUGCGCGAACAUUCGUGUUUUCCGUGCUUCAUGGUCAACUGUUUCUGCAGAGUCAUUUCGUGGACUCAAAUAACUUACGUGUCGUGAAUUAUAAACUUCUCAUAAUUGCUUUAUGCUUAAAAAAUGGAGCGUGGACGCCAGUCACGGAGCGUUUCCAGGCAAGGGACAAUCCUGCGCACCCGGAUCGACCACUUCUGUAGGAAGUUUGCAAAGUCAUAGCUACUAAAUCAACAUGCAGGUCACGUAGUCGUCGCGAUGAUCGACGUCGUGAGUCCCUGCAUAGUUCCCAUGAGUCCUUGGCCGGUAACCUAAGCCCUGGACGCAGUCACGGCCAUCGGCGCGAGGGUUUCUUCAAGAGUCUUUUUGGGAGGCGCGAUAAACACCAUGAAGUGCAAACCCAGCAGCAGUAUCAGCAGGUUCCAGGGGACAUCAGCCCGCAACCUCGACCUCCACCACCGACGUCGUCAUCCCCCGGCUCUAAGUUGAAGUCGUUCUUCAGUGGAGGUUCUCCGCAAGGCAGGACAUCUCAAAAUAUCAGCCCUGCAGCAGCCCGCGGCGCAGCAGAGGAGCUGCAGGUGAAGGAACUGCAACACCGUGUGCAGCUUCUCACUGCGCAGGUGGAGGGCUACGAGAAGGUCAAACAACAGCUUCAGGCGGAGCAGCGCGCCGCUCAGGACUGGAAAGAGAAGUGGAACUACCAAAACUUUAAGCUCAACGUCAUGGUGGACAUGCUAGUCCUGCGAGUUCUAGAACUGGAGCAGCCAAGUGUGUCGCAGCUGUGAUGACGGUCACACCACGAAUGGAUUAACUAAUGAGCCACGUUCUAUAGCCCUGCUGCGUAAUCCUGCUGCACCUCUUGUGCUGAUACCAAAGAUGGGCGUCACCAGGAAAUGCGAGUGCUUGCCGGAGCGGACCUGGAGUCGUACACAGGUGAUGGAAAAAGGGGUUGCUAUGAUUGGCUCUAGGGAUAUGUGCAGGAGGCAGUACAAGGGCCGGAGAAGUGGACGCAGACGCAAAUAUCCAGAUGCGAGACAUGGCUGGCGGCAUAGCACGUGUAUAAAGUACGGUGCCUGCCUGUACCCCCUCGCCUCCGGGGUUUCCUGCAAGCAUUGCAGUGCAAUGGGUUCGGAAGGGCCGGGACGGCUGAGAAAAUUGAGAGUUCUUGGCAAUUCACUAGCUACGGCGACUCGCGAGCGAUGGCUCCCGGAUUGGAGCGUUAUGAGUUACAUACAUGGAGGUUUAUGAUAUGGCUGGGGAACAACAGACCGUAUGACGUCAGCAGGGGCAUUGGGAAAGAGCGUGUACACCACGGAUAGUACACCCCAACGGAUGGGUCAUAGGUGUGCUGGCACACAGGGCUUGUGGGGUGGCAGUACUGUUAAGACGGUGGUGUGUGGGACGAGUGCCGACCCGGAUAUACCCAUUUUGAUGUACAUGUGAAUCUAUUGCAUUCCUAUCUAUUGCACUGCGGACGUGGCAUUUGUUGUGUGUCACGACCAUUGUGUCAUGGCCAUGCAUCGAUAUCAGCACGGAGAUGAUGAAAAUAUUCAACAUCGGAAAGCGCGCCCUGCUUUUGGCGCAUUGCGUGUCGGUGCUGCUGGUGUUGGCUUUGGGUGGUCUCAAUUUGCAAGAGGAAGGGGGGUGCAAGUAAGUGUGUGCAAGAGGGCUUGGACCACAGACCACCGGUCCAGAUACAGGUUGAGACGACGAAGACGCAGAUGACGAAGGUGGGGGGGAGGAGGUCCCUGCGGCCCAUGUUGCAAGCGGUCUCUAUUCCUCUUCUUCUGUGUGUCUCUUCCAGCUGCUCUCGUCAAUGUCGUUCCAUCUUAUCUGGGUGAUCUAGUGAAAAAAACUGCUAUGGGCAAUCAUCCUGUUCUUUCCUGCGCUGUCCGGCCCCUUCCUGCCCAGCGCUGAACCUGCCAAGGCGGUGUGCCGAGGUGCAUGUGGUGGUGCCGGGGGUGCAUACCGGUGUAACCUACCUCUCGUCUAUGUUAUGGUAUGUGGUGGCGGGGUAGGCAGGCAUUCACUGUCUGCCAGACGGGCAGAUUCCCGGCAGAUGCGCGCGGGUGAUCACGUGUCUUUUUUGCGUCUUGCCUCGUUUUGUUGGAACUGACUUCCUCGAGGAGUAUGUAUGUAUGUAUAUAUGUAUGUAUACGUGUGUGCGUGUGUAUUAUUCAUUUCGGGCACGCGUGUGGGGCCCCUCCCUAUCUCACUGUGUGUUCUGGUGCAUGCGUAUGGAAGUUCAUGACGGUUACGCGGCGCUAGCUGUGCAAGGGUGUCGAUUGUAGCGGAUGCGUGCGAUUAGGGUUGUACGCUGUGGCAAGUUGUGCGGUUACCCCGUUUGGCGCCAUCUGCGGAGGAGAACACUCUGGUAGUAGUGGACUUCCGGCGUUAUCAGGACGGCAAUAUGUGGAUGAAUCCCCGGAUCGGAUGUGAUGAUGGCUAUGGAAGGGUGAAUAAUGUGCGACCUGUGUGAGUGUCGCAUUCGUGGCGCCGCCGCCUGGGAAGGAGGGAGUCUCUCACCAACGUAGGAAGGGCGAUAAUACUACAAGCGGGGGGGGGAACCCACAACCAACUGUCCGUCACAUAGCCACUUAUAAUGAUUGUAGUGACUAUCCUUUGCUAUGAAGCUGAUGUCAGCCACCACCAUGGUUCUCAUCAUCUCAACCUGGCCCCAUCAAGAGCGACGAUUUCGGAAAUUGCUAGAAAAAACCGAAUGAACGAAAAGCCUGCAACUAUGAGUUCGGAACGAAGGGGUAACACCUAUGUAUACAUAGCCCGGUACAUGCUGCUGAGGGAGAAGUUCCCAAUCCAUGUGCCGCCACCACAUGCGUACCACUUCUGAAGUCGGAUGGGGUGACGGAUUAGGGUGCCCCUCUAGCAGGGGAGAGCAGGGACUGCCCCGGGAAAGGGGGCCGCAGGCGAAGCUUAACCACCCUGUAACGACAUACAUACCGCACGCAUGCAGCCACCAGACGCAAGUGCACGCCGAAUGGCACAUGGCCCGCUGCCGCUGCUGCACCUGCUGCAGCUGCUUCUUCCUUUCCAAUCUGCGCUAUCUGUCCCAUCUGUCCGUGGUGCCUUUUACUGCACCACAGAGGCUCUCGUCACAGCGGCUGCCUCCUCUCAUCCCGCUGCCACAUCCUGACUCCUCAACCGCCAACGAACGGCGCAACGAAAAAAAGCCAUGAUGGCACAAAAUCAAAUCAAAUCAAAACAAGAUAUUGUCUGCGUAUCCAUGCCUCGCCUCAGUAGCUGUGAAGAAGAUCCAACCAUACAUACAUACAUCACCAGCUACCCGUCACCCCCACGCUCCUCACGCCAGUCCACCGGGCGCCUUCACGUUCCAGCCAUGCCGUACGGAACUUCCGAAAGUCCGAAAGAACCGCCUCCGCAUCCCACAAUGCUCCCAUACCCGCCCCCUCCCCCACACCCACCCGCACCUGCAACCCCAUUUUUAACCCCAAUUCAGCCCCAGGGCUAUCGUCCCUGCAGCCGCCGUCGCCGCCGCCACUGCGACCACAGCACCUUCCAGACUCUUCCUCCCCAUUCCCCCAAUCGUCCCUUUCCGCGUCCUCCUUCGUGCGAUGAAACCCCUCCGUCGGUGCCGCCGCCGCCGCCGCCGCCGCCGCCUUCUUCACCCACACUCGUUCCAGAAAGUGCAGGUCAUCAUCGCUGUCGAGUAACAUUUGCAAACUGAUUGUAACGGGGGUUUGCGGCGGCGGCUGCGGUUGCGGGCCCGCAGUGGUUGCUAUGACGACGAAGUUGCCAUUGCUGUUGUUGUUCUUAUGAUUGAUGUCCUUGCUGUUGACAGUGGUGUGACUACUGUCCAUGCCACUUCCGCUGCUACUGCUGCUACUGCUACUGCUGCUACUGCUGUUACUGCUGUUACUGCUACUGCUGCCAAUUGUGAGACCCAGGCGCUCCGUGGUGUACGCGAACCUGGGCCCUAUCUGCAGCAGCAAGUUCUUGGACAGAAAUGGCGGGUACUCCAGAAGCUGUGUUGGGUAUUGUGGCGGCAGUGGUAUUGGUAAUGGUGGUUGAUUGGCGGUUGGGAUGAUGAUGAUGAUCCCGAUCGGGAGUUUUGCGGAGGCCAACAAUGUUGAGGGGGCCGCGGGGAAGCGGGACGUGUGUGCGCUCGCGAGGUCUCAAGUGACAGAGAGAAAGGAGAGAGAGAGAGAGAGAGAGAGAGGAUCCCCGCAGCAACAUGGACGGGACGGGGGGGGGGGUAUUCGACAGAGGGCUGCUGAGGCGCCAUUCAGUGCAUUUGGCUGGUGUAAGUGUGGCUGUGAGGGAGAGAGAGAAAGAGAGUGUGUGAGCGAAUGUGACUGCAAGUGUGUGAGGACUGGGGUGGCUUUAGGCAGCAAGGUAAGAAACAAAAGCAUACACAUAUACAUACGCACAUACACGUGUGGCUGUCCCCCUCCACAAAUUCCCCUGGCGCCUUCACCCCUCUCCCUCAGAGGGUUCUUCACCAGGGUACCCAAAAAUUUCGGUCGUGCCAGAAAUCCUCUGAAUAACCUUUCGUGGCCCUCCAUCCCUAUCCCCCUCCUUCCCCCCACAUCACCUGCUCUCGUCCGCCCGCCAUUUUCUCCGUCAGGAAGCGCCACUUGCGGCUCAGAUUGGCGGUGGUGAAUGAGAGCAUUUCGGGGCAUCCCUGGAGCACCAGCGCCGCCUGGCCCGCACUGAAUCCGCAGUGGGAGGUUAGGAAAGACAGACGCAGGUGCACCUCGGACGGCAAAUCCCCUGUGGAGAUGGUUGAGGUGUGAGUGUGUGGGCGUGAUGGGGAGUAAUGAUGAUGAUGAUGAUGGUGGAGAUGAUCACCACCGAGACCUAGUCGACCUUCGCCACCACGAGCUCUACGCUUUUUUCUACCGGUUAUAGACAUCAUCCCCCCUCUCUUCCCCCCUCCCCUCUCCCCCUCGAUUACCCCUCAAAACCCACUUACGGGUCAGCAGAGCUCCGUUCCGUAACAGCAACCUCCUCGCCACACCCCUCUCCAAUCCAGCACUGCACAACAGCUCCAGGCAGGGUGCCAGAUCUCUGACGGGAUCCAGGGAUAGCACCCGAGGACACCGACACAAGAAAUCCCGUACAUCCUCCUGUCGUACAGACACCGUACAGUAUCGUACAAACCAAGCGUCAACAUUACAUACUUGAUCUGAGGGUUAAAAAGUAAAUUUACGUGUGUGCGCUGUGUCAGAGAUUCAUCGGUUGCGCAGAAUGUAGCGGUUCGAGUACGGCAGCGUACGGCUGCGGGUGAGUUGGGGAGUUUGGGAAGAAAGGAAGAAAAACAGGCGUAGUAGUCGCAACACCGAUUGAUUUGUGACUCGUGUUUCGGCAAAGCAUAUAGGCCUCCAUGCCAUGUCAUUGUGUUUAAGCGCAACAAAGCUAAAUGUGCCAUGCCUUUUCUCCGACAUUUUUUUACAUUUUUCCUGUCCUUGACUUCAUCCCCGACGUACCUGUCCUAAUCCCAGCCCUUGUCGUAAAAACUCAACGGCGGGCUCUAAGCCGGUGUGUACGUCACUGAGCAGCACUCCGGGGUUUCUUAGGAUGACGGAAGACACCACGUCGCGAGGAGUCAAACCCAAGCUCUGGCAGCAGGAAAUGGGGGGGAGGAGGAACGGGGGAGGAGGAGAAUGGGGGAGGUGGAGAAGGCGGAGAAUGGGGAAGCGGAGGACGAGGAGGCAGCGCGGGGCUAUGGAAGGGGGACUUGCACAAGUGCGAGAUUGGGUUCAAAAAGGGGGCCCCUGCCAGGAAGAAGAACAUGGGCCGAGAGGAAACCUAAGGGCUUCCGUACCGUGCCAUAUUGUGCCGUACCUGCAGAUACGCGAUGGCGUUUCCCGCUUUGAAGAGGCUGCCAAGGGUGAACAGCUCGGGGAAUGCCCCGAGGAGAGCGAAGAAGUCCUGUCGUGACAUGCCAUAUGCCGUCAAGACUGCAAGGAGGGCGUUGCCGAGGAGAGAGGGAGGUGUUCAUCUCGUCCGUGUCCAGAGCCUUCGCUUUCUCUAACCUGCCUUUCCUUCCGCCUAGGGACGUGGAUGGCUUCAGGGAGGGGCACUGCGUAACUACCGCGAUACUGUGUCGUAUAAUUCUUGGUGACACGCGACCAGCCUUCCCGCCAUGGAAAGUAGACCACUACCAGGGCCCCUAGGUGGUAGAGUGUGCUAAAUCCAAAUUUGUUGAUAAUUAGGGUUGAAGCAGCUUGAGACUCACAGUCGAGCCACACGCCGAGGGGCACGCAAAGCAGCUGCGGAUUGCUGAGCAGCAAUGUUUUGAGGCGCUGUCUACUUGUGAGCGACGUUAAAGUAGCCAGCGCAGGCUCUGCGUUCCUGCUCAGACCGUUAAUAUCUCCAACACUGCGAAAGGUUUCAGCUGGUAUGCCCAAGUCCUCCAGGUGCUCUCGAACACUUGCCGGCAUUUGGAAGGGGGACGUCGAUCGACAGACCAGGCGCAGACUGCCAGGUGGGUUUGCUACGGCUGGAAUAUUACAUAGCCAACAUGCAUUCUGCGUUGAGGCUUUUCUCCAUUGGAGCGGCCGGAGCCGGCUAUGCCUGGAUAGCGUUUGCGCGUGCAUUAGCAACCCUAACUGGUAAUCUGAUCUUCACCGGCCUUCAACAACACGGCUGGCAAACCAAGUUUAUAGAUAUCAAAACGCAAGAGUGCAUUUUGUGGGAAUACCUUAGUAAAUUACAACUGAUGCCCCUGCUGACUUCAAUUCCAUUUCCCAGCCUACGAAGAUAGAUGAGAUAUCGUCUGGCAACAUUUCAAUUUGCAUAAGCAAAACAUAUUCCUUGCGGCUUACAUGCUGAAAAAUGCAAAUGAAGGAAUUAGUCGGUUGUUGCCGUUGCUUGUGCCACGGCUUGCGGCAGAGGAACGUCUGAUGGCCAAGCCAUGCGGAGAAUGGAUUAGUAAGGAGCUGCGAACAUCAGUCCAUUCGGUAAUGUCAUGUCGAACUACACAACUACUGCAGGGACGGAAUUCCUGGAGAUUCUGAACUAGAAGGGGCAUUGGAAGCACACCUGCUGAAUUUAAUUGUAAAUAGAUUGUAACACAUGGCGUGUGUAAACGUGAGAGUGCGGCAAAGCUGGAGCAGGGUGCUGCUGAGAUCGCUUGCAGCAGUUAGUAGGUAGAUCGAAAGGCACGACACUUUGCCUUAUUGUUGCCGUGGUAAUUUACCAUUCACGUCGACGCUGCCUGCCGUACUCACGGCGCUGGGAAUGGAGAGCCCUCAGAGAGGGGACACAGAUGAGAAGGAAAAGAAGACAAUCAUGGAGGGAGUGGAAAGGUUGUGAGGGCAGACGGUUUGCAUUGGCCCCUGACAAUAUGCAAGGAUAAUACUUGCAUUGCUCCUAUGUACCUUACAAUAAAAUACCUCAUAAAUGUAAGAUUUUGUGGCAUUUCGUGAUAUGUUGCCUGUUUUCUUAACUUGCUUGCCAAAAUGACGAGGAUGGGAUUUGAACCCACGCCCUUACGGACUAGAGGUUUUCUUCCAGAUAUAUCUUCUGGUAGACCUAAAUCUAGCGCCUUAGACCACUCGGCCACCUCGUCAAGACAUGCAAAAUCGGACAAUGUGAUAGUAUAUAUCGGCGUUUUUAAGAGUGAUGGUGACUGCUGCGCUACAUGGUGUAUGCAAUCCAAAUUGAAUUUAAAAACAGAUACUAGUGAUAUGUGUGUGUGUGUUACAUGGUCGUGGGGUGCGUUCCCCGUACCUGCCAACUGCCCUAAUACGAGCCGAGGGCUCAAGGGCUGCCAGAUCGCCCCAUCCUACCUCGCACUUCAAACAAAGCAAGUGACAAAAGAUACUAACGGAGGGAACGAUAGAGUUGCGGUGGGACCAUAUAUGUUCCAGAAUCCUUGUCAGGCGUUCAGGUUCCCAGUUCAUAGCGUCCUUCAUAUGCUCGAAGCGUGGGAAGUCCAUAUCAGAUCUAAUUUUGUCGUACACCGGACAGUCCAGCAAAAUGUGCUUCUCAUCCUCGAUAUGUCUAUCAGUGCCGCAGCAGGGGCAUACUCGCUCCUCCCUAGGUAUAUAACGCCGUCCCUUACGCGCUCUGUUAGCCGCCAAUGCCCAACAGCAAAGCCUAAACUGGAUAAGCUUGCGAUUCGCUGAAUGCGGGAUAAACAUUGUGAUAUGCGGGAGCACCUCCUUCCUGCCCGCUUGUUCGGCCGCCAGACCCAUCCAAUGCCUAUCCUUCGCCAUGUGAAUUCCUGGUUGCUUGCCCAGCUCUGGCUGGACAUCUAGACGCGUAUGCUUCCAACCACUCACCAAUCGGUCCUUGAACUCCAAUACCACACCGUCUGGCAAUGGCCUGUUCAUUAGCCAUUCCCCUCGUUCGUCUACUUCGUGUAGCCCUUGCGGGGCCUCUUUCCAUAUCGUCGUGCCCCAGAAAACUUAGAAAACGGAGGAUUAGGGGCCCCCAUCCGGCCCCUUCGGGGUUGAAGAGGGACUCUGCGACCUCCUGUCGCAAAACUUGGUUUGCCACAGACCCACGCUGUAAACGGACACGGUUCCAAAACCACACAAUCUGUUUAAAAACGUUGUAGUGUAGGGGUCACUGCGACAAUUCGGCGAACAGGAGGCGAUGUGUUGGUCUGGCAGCUCCCACAAUUUGUCGCAUGAACGAUAUCUGAAGCUGCACCGCUCGGUCCUUUAGGCAUGCCUCGAAGGGCCCCUCCGCAAGGUUACUCUCAUCACUUUGCCUCCUAUGCCUGUCCAAGACCUCUGCCAGCAUAAACGGCCUCCCCCCCGCUUGACAACCGUACAACAGUAUUGCUCUUGCCUGCGUAUCGAAACACCUCAUCCUAACGUCUGGGGCAAACAACUUUAGCUUAUCCAAUUUUGUGCUCAACGCGAACAUAGCUGCUCUAGCUGUGUCGUACAUCUGCUGACGGCAGGCCCAAAACGGCCGUUCCGGCCCAUACACUAACCCCGGAUAUCAGGCAGGAUAGUGCCAGCCAACCUAAGUUCAUCCAUCUAGAUGUAGUUGCGCUUGCACUAUUCGUGUACAUGCGUUGACGAGGUGGCCGAGUGGUCUAAGGCGCUAGAUUUAGGUCUACCAGAUAAAAUAUCUGGAAGAAAAUCUCUAGUCCGUAAGGGCGUGGGUUCAAAUCCCAUCCUCGUCAUAUUGGAUCGCAAGUCAAGAAAGCAGUCAACAUAUCACGAGAUGUGACUCUUACAUUUAUGAGCCAUCGUACAUAGGAGGAAUGCAAGUAUCAUUCUUGCAUAUUGUGAGGGGCCAAUGAAAACCGUCUGCCCUCACAACCUUUCUACACCCUCCAUGAUUGUCUUCUUUUCCUUCUCAUCUGUGUCCCUUCACUGAGGGCUCUCCAUCCCCCAUCGGGACCAGCGCCGUGAGUACGGCAGGCAGCGUCGAUGGAGAUGGCGGCAAAGGUAUCCCUACCCAUACCAUGACAAGGGUGGGGUCCCCAUGCCGCUUGCCCCCUACAACCGCCACCAUACCACCUUUACCACCACUACGCAUUUAAUUACCUACCCAGCAUCCCCAGUAGUCAGAUGCCAUGGUCCGAUACCACGGGCGCACUGCCGUACAGCAGCACCUCUGGCGAGUACAUGUCAUGUUGACUUAGGGUUUCGUUAUUCCCAGCCAGCAAGCUCUCGCGCAGGAUGAUGUCCACCACCAAGUGCUACAUGUUACAAUGUUACAAUGUUACAAUGUUACAAUGUUACAAUGUUACAAUGUUAUAAGUUCCGCUCUAUCGUUCCCUUUGGUCGUUAGUAUCCUUCAUCACUUGUUUCGUUGGAAGUGCGAGGUAGGAUGGUGCUUAUAGGCGGUCUGGCAGCCCUUGAGCCCUCGGCUCGUAUUAGGGUGGUUUGCAGGUACGGGGAACGCACCCACGACCAUGUAACAACAACAACAACAACAUCAGGCCCCGCCGCAGCUGCAGGCCCCGCCGCAGCUGCAGGCCCCGCCGCAGCUGCAGGCCCCGCCGCAGCUGCAGGCCCCGCUGCAGCUGCAGGCCCCGCUGCAGCUGCAGGCCCCGCCGCAGCUGCAGGCCCCGCCCCAGCUGCAGGCCCCGCCCCCACCACCACCCUUGCCGCUGCAGCCGCCACCAGUGGCCCCGCAACAGCCAGGCCCCACGGCGGCGGCAGCAGCUCUACAAGGGCUAGGGGCACAGGCCGGCCCCACGGUGGUGGAAGAGGAAACCACAACCCACAGGGAGCGCGACACCACACUGGCGGCACCACGGGAGCAAGAGCCACCAGCAGCCAUAGCCAAUACAGUCCCCACCUUCCAGUUCACAGCAGGUAGGAAGGAGCCAGGUGGCAGGCAACGGGCAACCGGGGGCAAAGCUAGGCAGCAGAUGUGCCCUGAGACGAACCAGGCCCCUACACCCUCUGAGGCCCCAAAGAGGAAGCGGCAGCGGCUGGAGCACCUUACUGCGGAAGAACGGGCAGAGCGAAACAAAGCCCAGACCCGCAAGGCCUUGGAGGCCCGAAAGAAAAAUGUGGAGAUACGGAGGGCACAGAGGGCAGCAGAGGAAGCCGGNNNNNNNNNNNNNNNNNNNNNNNNNNNNNNNNNNNNNNNNNNNNNNNNNNUCGACUCAACAAGGCAGCACAACAACGCCGACGACGGCCUGGCACCCGUGCCCGGGAAGCAAUUGCUGCGGUCCAGCGGGCUCAGCAAGCAGUUGAUGCGGCGCCCACAGCACNCCAGCCACUGCAGCAGCUAGUGGACGCACAAGCAGCACUGGCUAGGGCGCACCAGGAGGAUGGCAGCAUGGCAGCCAAGGAAGCACGGGCCCACUGGCUCCGGGCAGGGGAACGGACCGGCCCUGCCCUGACAGCCUUCCUUAAAGCCCAGGCGGCCGAACAGCAGCCUGCCCCAGUCGCACUCCAGGCGCACAGCGGCCGCCUAGUGACCAACCCAGCACAACUGCCGCAGGUCGUGGCAGACUACUGGGCUGAGAUCAGCCGAGCUCCUGACUUCAUCAGCCCCAGUGCCCGACAGGAGGUACUUGCCCAGCUGUCUGCGGCCAACAUCAGCCUCCCUGCAAACGCAGAUGAACAGCUUGGCUCCAAAACCAUCACAGCAGCGGAGCUACGGGUCGCACUGGUCAAGAGCCAGCCCGGCAAGGCACCAGGAUGGGACGGCAUCCCAGCCGACCUAUACCGCAAAUUCUGGUCCACCAUUGGCAACACCAUGGCGGGCCUCUUCACCGCCAUAGGCGCAACGGGGCAGGUGCCGACCGGGUUCCUGGAGGGCAUUAUCACGGUGCUCUACAAGAAGGGCGACCCCAAGCAACCCGGUAACUACCGCCCUAUCACGCUACUAUGCGCCGACUACCGCCUGCUCGCCAAGGUACUGGCCAACCGCCUGGGGCCGGCCCUGGGGCGCAUCAUCACCCCCGAGCAGUCGGCCUUCCUCCCCAAACGGCUCAUCGGGGCCAGUGUGAUGUCUGNNNNNNNNNNNNNNNNNNNNNNNNNNNNNNNNNNNNNNNNNNNNNNNNNNCGUACCGUCGUUCCUAGAAGCCAUGGAGACCUUCGCAAGGGCGUCAGGCCAGUGCCUCAAUGUGGAAAAGGUGGAGCUGUUGAGGGUCGGUGCUGAGAACCAGCAACAACAGCAGCAGCCACAACCGGCGGGUAGGCAACAGCUGCAGCAGCCACUACACCAACAGCCGCAGCAGGAGACAAUUGGUGGACUCAAAGUGGUCACCACCGCCACAGCCCUGAACUUGCCGGUAGACAACCGACCCACACCCCCGCAACCCGAAUGGCCCAAGAUGCUGGCAGGCGCCUACAAGCGGAUGCAGCGGCUCGCCCGCUUCCCACUGUCAGCCUUCGGCAGGGCCACCGCCACGUCCGCCUACGGCCUGCAGACGGUCACCUGGCACAUGGAACAUGGCGGACCCCCUCCAGACAGCACUCUGGACCACAUCGAGCGGCUGACGGCCCGCCUGGUCGACCGGCAACAGGGCCCAGAAGACCCAGGCCAGCGUCUCACAGGUGUACCCGGCAGCCUUUUAGUAGGCCAUCCAUCAACCGGGGGUUUCGGCCUGCUGCCGCUCCGACAGCACAUCCACGCUCGCCACGCAGUCUGGGCCGUGCGAUUCAUUGCACAGGCACUACCGGCGGCAGGUUGUGAAGGUAGGGGUGCGGGAGGGGAAGUAACCGGGGGAGCAGGCGGAGACGAGGAGGUGGCAGCGGCAACCAACAGUGAGGCCCGGGGCCUACACCCGUGGGUACGCACGCUGUCCACCUACCUGGAACUCACCCACCCUGCACUCCAGCCUUGGGCUCUGACAACCGCCCGGGCCACGGGACCGUGGCUCGGCAGCAGCGACCUUCCCGCAGACAUCAGCCGGAUCGUGGGGGCACUGGGUCACUUACCGCCUUUGGAGGACAUCGGCAGAACCCCUCUGGAACCCGGUGAUUGGUGCUGGGCGGCGGCGCUGUGGGGCAACCCACUGCUGCCCAAUGCUGCAAGCACCGAGGGCCCCAGCCGUCGACCAGGCCUGGAAGCAUACCACGCAGCACUCACACCAUGCAGGAAACUGCGCACGGUGGGGGACCUGGUACGGGUGUGGGAAGCGGUAAACACUAGCCAAGCCACCACCCUCCAGGGAGCAGCCUGGCAUUCGUGGGCCCGUGAGCACCUCGACCCAGCCACAGNNNNNNNNNNNNNNNNNNNNNNNNNNNNNNNNNNNNNNNNNNNNNNNNNNNAGCAGCAGCAACGGCGGGCGCAACAGGAGCCUCGCCACUGGCCCGCGCACGCGCCCGGGCGGUGGCAGACUUCUGGGCGCGUUUGCGCUCGUUCGCAAUGCUGGAGACCCCCAGACACGGCUGGGACAGGGUCGGGCCGCAGCACCCCAUCCUGGCGGUCGUGGAGGAACGGAUGCGGUGCGCAGCACCGGUGGAAAUCACGGCCUAAAUAGCCGAGAUAGAGUCGGAUCGAGGUCUUACCGGAAAGGGAGCAGGGAGAGUGAGAGUGAGGGAGGGGGUGAGAGAGCCAGGAGUAGGGAUAGGUGAGGGAGCGAGGAGAGCAGGGAGGCCCUGGGCAGUUGGAGGGCUGGGCGAGAGGGCAGUGCCCUGAGCGUGGUCUAGCAGGGGGAGUUGAGGUCCCGGGCUGUGUGUGUUUUGUAUACACGUGUGGUUGCCCUCUCCCCGGGAAUUGGGGCCCGUCGGAGUGAGGGGAAUGGGUUCUGUGCUGUCUGGCAUCAGAGUAGAGAAGACGUAGGUGGCUUGUGGGAGUGGAGAGGAGGUGGGAAAGCGGUGGAGGAGAGGGGUUUGGAGGUGGAGAACAGGUGUUGCUGGUUCCGGCCGGUCAGGGUCAGGAGGGGAGGGGUUUCGGUGUGGUAAGCGGGAGCAGGCGGCGUCUGUGAGCCGUGCCUUUUCCGGGCUUUAUUGGGGGGCGCCGUGCUGGCUUGUCAUCCCCCCCGCGGCUUUAGGUGUUUUUGCUGUGUCUCGCGCUGGGCUGCAUCCAAGAGCCCGCAACCCCCAGGAGGAGACUGACGUGCGGACCAGUUUCGCCUCGUUUGUGAGUGGACCGGCGAGGAAGUGGUGCCACCCUCGGGAAGUGUUCGUUGUUCGUUGCUCGUGGUAGUUGAACAGCUGGCNNNNNNNNNNNNNNNNNNNNNNNNNNNNNNNNNNNNNNNNNNNNNNNNNNAACGAAGGGGAAGAAGAAGGGGGUUCCCCUAAAGGGGAAGAACACACCCCAAAGUCUCUUCUUCGUUUUCUUCGUCUUCUUUAGUUCCCCUAAAGGGGAUGAACCAAAGUCUCUUCUUCUUCCCCUUUAGGGGACUCCGUCUUCUUUAGUUCCCCUAAAGGGGUGAAAACGAAGGGGAAGAAGAAGGGGGUUCCCCUAAAGGGGAAGAACACACCUUUAGUUCUUCCCCUAAAGGGGAACUUUAGGGGAUGUUCNCCUUCGGGGAUGAACUAAAGGGGAUGGGGAACAAAAAGGGGAUAACCAAAGGGGAUGACUUGGUACAAGGAAAGGGUCACGCUAAAAGAUUUGGUAAAACUUGUGGACUGUUUUGGCUCCCCGAAGCUAUUCCCCUUCCCUUCGGCAUCAUCCCCUAAAGGGGAACUAAAGUUCUUCCCCUAAAGGGGAAGAACUUUAGUGCUCUUCUUCUUCCCCUAAAGGGGAACUAAAGUUCCCCUUUAGGGGAUGAACUAAAGGGGAAGAAGGGGUGUGUUCCCCUUCGGGGAGACGAAGAAGAGACUUUGGUUCCCCUUUAGGGGACGAAGACUUUGGGGACGAUGACUUUGGUUCAUCCCCUAAAGGGGAACUAAAGAAGACAACCCUAAAGAAGACAACUCUAAAGGGGACAACCCUUUAGGAGAUAUCAUCCCCUAAAGGGGAAGAACAAGAAGGGGAAAUCAUCCCCCUCUGGGGUUGUCUUCUUUAGUUCCCCUUUAGGGGAU